UCUUCCUUCCUUCCAACUCUUUUUUUAAUUAUUUUUCCCCUUUUUUUUAAGUUUCUAAUAUGUCAACUUAUCCUUCUGUUGUCAUUUUAUAUAUAUUAAUUUUCAUUAUUCAACUUUAAAAAGUUACAAAAUAGUCACUAAAUUAUUUAAAAUUUUUUAUUUAAGUCAUUGACCUAUUAAAUUUUUUUAAAAGUUCGGCUGAUGAGCUCCAAGCGACAAUUUGACGAUUGGUAUGGUGGAUUAGUGCCCAUCGACAAUGAAGAACAUAUAUUAGAUCUAAGUUGAGCGGACGGUCAGUGUUGGAGAUCGGAGAAAAAAGUUGUUUUAAUUUGGGUUCGCAAAUUCAUGACGUUAAAGAUUGUUUCAUAAUAAUAAAAAAUAUAUACUAUAGAAGAAAAGAAGAAGGAGAACUUUCGGUUAGUGCAUGUGGUGUGAAUAGAGAAGGCUAAACAAUAACGAUUUCAAUAGUUUGAUAACUUAAACGAAAACUUUCGAAUAGUUCAGUGACCAAAAUAUACAUUCUAAUAGUUUACUAACUUUAAUUUACCCGGAAGAUAUUAAUAUAAAAAAUAUAAGUUAUAUAUAAAAUAAAUAUAUACUCCAUAUAUGUAUGAAAGUUGAAACCCAAGGAAGUGAAAAACAAUGAUAUUAGUCAACUAUAAGAAAAUAUAGGAAAGGUGGUGGGUCGUUUAUUUGAUUGUUCCACACUUGUAAUCAUAUGAAAAUGACCCAAGCAAAAUGCUUAAAUUAUUAUUUUUAUAAUUAUUUAUUAAAAAAAAUGGGUGUUAUGAUCCAUAUGUCUAAAAACAAAUAGAAGUUUCUGCUUUGCUGCUGGGUUUACAUCAAAGCCCUUUUUAUAUAAACAUUCUUUUACAUUUUUAAUUCCCUUAUAUUCUGGAAAAUAUAUGAAGUUUAUGAACUAAUAUUUUGUUAUCAUCUACUUUAAUUUGGAUAGUAACGAUGGUGGUAUCAAAUAUUAUUAGUUUUAUUCGAGAAAUUUUUGAAGUGUUAUUCACUUAGACGAAUGCUAUUAUUCCCGAUCAAGGUUUUCUUGGUAGUAUAGUUGCGCAUACUCUUAUAUGCUCACAAUUUCUUGGUAGGCUCAAGCACUCGGCUCUUGUCAAAGUAAAGACAAAGCUGUGACGGAUUAUAAUUAAAUUGGAACUAUUGAUGAAUUUUUAAAUUUAACCAUUGAAAAAAAUGAAAGGGAGGUUGCAACUGAAGAAGGGAAAGAAAAGGAAAAAAAAGGGUGAAGGCGUGAAUGAGAACACACACAUUCAUGAUUAAACCAAAUGCAUGAUUAAACUAAUUAACCAACAAUUAGACUUUCUAAUUAGAGGCUGUUAAGACUUUGUAAUUGGUCAGCUGACUUUAGCUUGCAAUUUCGUCAGCAAAUUGUUGAUGUUGUUAAGCUAUGACUUACGAAAUGAUGGUGGCUAGAUGAAGGAUGAAAACUUUUCAAACAUUGCAGCCAUGUGGCAUAGAAUAAUUGGUUUGGAAAUGAAAAAGACGUCAUCAUCCACUAAGUCAUGUUCUAAUUUGUUUGUUUAUUUUGGCGUUGUAUCAGUCUAACCAACUUUCUAAGUGAUUACAUACCUGUGAAAUGAAAAUGAUUGUUGUUGCUUUCCAACUAUGCUUCUCUUUUCCACUUUCGCCUCACGGUAUCAGAAUACAAAUUAUUCGAGUUUGAUUCGAAAAAAACUCAAAUCCCAUUCAAUAACUAUCAAACCAAGCUUAAACUAUCAUACUUGAUCUCGAGUACGCAAAUUGAUACACAAGUUUAACUAAACUCAAGUAGUUCAAUUAUGUCUCAAACAAAAUUUAAGCUUAAAAAUUAAUGUUUGAUCAAGCAUGAGCUUACAAAUAUUGAACCGAAUUUUGGCUCGAUUACAUCCUAUUAUUAUGACUCUUUUAGAGGAUCCCAAUUAAAUCUGGAGCCAAACUCAAUCAAACUCAACUCAAUUUUCUACAUUCAUCUAAAGUCUUAAAAAAAACAUUCGUCUCCACCCGAUUUAAACAAACAUGGGUUCAUUCGUUUCUUCUUUGAUCUUUCUUUCCUACCAUUCAAGCAAAACCCAAGACUAUUUUACUGAUUCCGCAUGCGCAAAAGCAUGUAUCUUAGUUUAUUUAUGCCAUUGUUCUAUGGCACCACCUGUCUUGGGAUCUAAGAUACAAAAUAAAUAACAAACAUGUUUUUAAAAAGGAUUUAAUUUAAAAAAAAAAUCAUUCAUCUUCACAUCUCAACUAAAUAAUUGUGAUUGGUUACCAACAAAUUUCACCACGUGCUUUUAAUUCGAUUUCUAACCUUUAAAAAGAGACAAUAACACAAACAAGAUUAAAGACAAAGGUUUGGUCUGAAUCAGUGUAGGAAUUUAAAGAACAUCUAAGGGAAGAAAGCCAAUUUGACAAUUAUUUGAACCAUUGUUAAGCAUAAAUUCUAUCAUGAAGAAAGGUACAGAGAGGGUACAAAAGAUAACUUGAAGAUGAAGGAACUUAAUGAAGGAAGUUGGUGAAAUAGACAAUUUGCAGAUACCCUUUUUUUGCUAGUUGUUGAACUCACUUUUAAAUCUUGUCAACUUCUAUAUAUAUAUAUGAAAACAUGACCUCAUCUCUCACUGAAUAUCACACAAAGAACUUUGUUAAGCAACAUCUUAACAGGAGAAGUUGAUAUCUUAGCUCUCUUACAAGGAGUAUUCUAUGUUUAAGACAUAUUGCCUACUGUUUAGGAAAAAAAAGGGACCAUUAUGCAUAAAUAAACUUAAAAGCUAAGUUAUGGUGCAAUAGGGUAGCAUUACAAACCUAUUAUAAACGUGCUAUAGAGGCCCACAAGUUAAGUAAACUUCUAGAUUAAAUUGGGAUUUUACAAUCCCUCUGUUCUCUAAUGAGAGACCUUGGAUGACCCAAGAGAAAAUGAUUCUAACAUGCAUGAACCAUACUAAAACCGAAUCGCCCAAAGCAAUAGCAUAUUUUACAUAAAGACUACAAUUUUGACGGUUUCAAUGAGUAACUAAUAACUGCUAAAUGCUAAUCGUUUUUCGAAUAUCAAAUGUGACAGUAAGACUUCAGAACCAUACAUUCUGUGGGUUUUAAGGAAUAAAUAAUUUAAGCCAGCAUCUUAAUUCCAUUUAGAGAACACAGGAAAUGCCAAUAACCAACAAGAUCAUCACCUUGCAAGGACAAUCAAUAAGCACACUUAACAAUAUGCAGUCACUCCAUGGACCAUACUAAUCAAACGCCUUUAACACCAUAACAAGACCAAACAAUAAGACUUCAAAACUAUAUGUACUGUGGUUUUUAAUGAAUAAACUACGUAAGCCAACAUCUAAAUCCAUUUAGAGAACACAUAAAAUGCCAAUAAUCAACAGGAUCAUCACAUUGCAUAGACAAUAAGCACACUUAACAAUAUGCAGCCAUUCCAUGGACCAUACUAAUCAAAGUCCUUUAACACCAUAGCCUAUGACCAAAUAUGACAAUAAGACUUCAGAACCAUACAUUCUGUGGUUUUUAAUGAAUAAACAAUUUAAGCCAACAUCUUAAUUCCAUUUAGAGAACACAUGAAAUGCCAAUAAUCAACAAGAUCAUCACAUUGCAAUGACAAUCAAUAAGCGCACUUAACAAUAAAGAAAAUACCAAAUUAAACCAGUAUGAUUACUUCAUUGAGGAACCACAAAGUAUUCUUAGUUCAACAAUCACUUUGGUAAUUCACCAAAACAAAACAGCAUCUUGUUCUUUCAAAUUCAAAAAAAUAAAAAUACUAACAUACUACAGAAGGCUCAUAGAGGGACAAAGUCCUUCCUACUUUACACCAUACAAAAUUCUUCAACGGUACUGCAAAGGAAAAAAAGACAAGAAAACACCCAAGUUUAAGAAACUGUUGAUAUGAACAAUUAUGAAGAUUGAAGAUUAAGAUAACGUUAACCAUCAAAAGAGUAAUACCUUGAUGAAUCCGAUUUCCUUGGCAUUGCUACGGAAGCACUGCCUGCAACACAUGAGACCGUACUUCCUGAUGAUGGCAUGGGGGUUCCCACAAACACGGCUAUCAAAACAAAACAAAACAAAACAAACAACCCUAAGUCAUUGUAACAUAAUAAAACACAACAAGACAAUAACAGAUUUGACAAAAGCCUAAGAUGCUACUACUCUCACAUUUAUUACUAAUAAUCUCGAACAAAGCAAAUUCCCAGCCACUAACACUUAUAUGCAAAAAUAAAAUUGCUACAUCGUUCGAUUAGGUAUCGAAGAAAUCAACAACCUAAAUUUUGAUUUCAUUCCGUUGUACUACUAUAUGCCUAAAAUAAAACAUCAGUCGGAAAACUAGUAAUACAUGCUAAGGAGUUAACAAAAAUAGCUCUUGGGAAUUUUGCAAUGCAAUGCAAUGCAAAAAAAAAAAACAGAGAGAGAUGAAACAGUUACCAGGCGCGAGAGCCAGGGCCGUAGGUUUGGGGGUGAGAGUUCCAGACGUUAGAGUGACCCAUGAUUGCUCUGAAAAUGCGAGAGAAAUGAGACUGGAAUUGAAAACCCUAGAUUUCACGGAGGUGUUUGGAUCAUUUAGAAAAUGAUUAUAUAUAUGCGGAGCCUAAAACCCUAGUUUCCGAAUUAAGCGGGGCCCCGAUUUGCUGACCCGUAUACAGCUGUGGGUUUGAUUGUUCCAUAAAAGCCUAUUUAGGCCCAAUAACAUCUCCUGGCCAAACUAGUUUAUAAAUGGCCCAAUAAUAUGAUUAAAUUAAAGAUGAUAUAUAAAUGAUUUAAAUUGAAGUUGCAUUUUUAAAUCGGAAAAACACAUUAUUUAAUUAAAAAACAUAGGGUAAACUAUAUUAUUAGUUACUAAAUUAUGAUUAAGUUUUAUUUUUAGUCACUUAACUAAAAAAAGUUACAAAUUGGUGACUGAAUUAUUCUAAAGUUUUCAUUUAAGUUUUUAAACCGUUAAAAUCGAUGUUAUAUGGCUUUCUCUGUUCGAAAUAACUAAACCAGUUGGAAGCUCUCUUCCCCCUUCUCAUCUACAGUUUAGUUUUUGUCAUGAAAUAACUUUGGACAUCAUGAAUAUGCAAACCGAAAUUCAAACAACUUUUUUCUCUAAUAUCUGACAUUGACCGUUAGAUCGACUUGGAUUUAAGGGAUGCUCUUCUACUCAUUGAUUGGUACUAAUCUACCGAACUGAUCGUCAAAUCGUCACUUGGAGCUCACUGACGGAACUUUUUUUAAGAAAAAGCUUAAUAGCUCAAUGACUUAGAUAAAAACUUUUGUAUAGUUUAGUGACUUAAAUGAAAACUUUUGAAUGGUUUAGUGAUCAAGUUGUAACUUUUUUUAGUUAAAUGAUCAAAAUGAAAAUUUAACCAUAAUUUAGUGACUAAGGGUAGAAUGUACCCAAAAAUAAAAGCAUGGAACUAAAUUGAAGGAUAUUUUAACCCUAAAAGACUCGUCUUUUGCUGGCAGGCUUCAUGGCGAACCGAGCGGGCUCUUCAUCGUCACGCCUGGUAACCAUUGAUUUCAUCACUAAUUGAUCUCUAAAUACAGCUUCACUUGAAAAAUAACCAUCGACACAUUUGUUCUUUAACACUUCUGCAACUAUUCUGCUACUGAAUUUUCUUGAGCAUUCCAUUUCCCAGUAGUUUCUUCCAUUUUCACUAGUUUUUUUUUUUAAUUCAUUUGCGUUUUCAGGAAACCCUUCACGAAGAAGAUGAUUACGACUCAUACGGCGCCGAAUCAGGAUGGGUGGAAGCUAAAACGCACUGUGAUCACUUGCCUUCCCUAUCUUCUGAUCUCACUCACAUUCCAAUCCCUAGCACUCCCUGCAGCAGGUCAUUAUCCCCUAUGUUUUUUGAAUUCUAUAAUUCUUGUUAAACUUCUUUAAUUCAUGUCCUUGUUUGGUUGAUUAUUUUGAUACUUCUAAUAAAAAAUUGGGUUUAGACAUUUAGUUUUGUAACAUAUUUGCAGUUAAUUUUUUGGCUUAAUUGCCUAUACCUGAAGUGAUCUUCUGAUUCAUAUUGAGGGACUAUUAAUAAUUGGCGAAUCUAGGAAUACAUGGUUAAGGGGAUCCAAGAUUAAAUUAUAAAUUUUUGUGUUAAAUUGAAUCAUUAAGCUUUUAGAAUAGCUAAAAUGCAAUUUUUAUAUUUUAAUCAAGGGAGGCUAAGGUCCUGCCUAUGGCAUGUAAAUGAGAUACCAGUGCUUAUAAGGGAUUCGAGUUCAACUUGAAAAUUUUGAAUUCAAUUUGGUAUUUAUAGAGUGAGCUCAAGCUUGCUAUCAAUCAAGCCAGCAAAAUUUGAGCAUUUUAAUACUCAAUUCAAAUGGAUCAUGAGCCUAAUCGAGUUUUCUUUUUUAGUACAUUUUUAUAUUAUCAUGUAGAAAGAGCUUAACUCCGAACAAGCUUAAUCAAGCUAGAGUUCGAGCUUGAAUACGAAAAUUGAUCAACAAGCUUAGUUUAAGCUCAAGCUUGAGUUUAGAAAUUCAUGUUCAAGUUGAGCUUGAGACAAGUAUUGAGUCCUGAACUUUGAGUCGAGUUUGAGCUUGAACUUGUCACUAAUCGAGUUCUGCUUGACUCGAUUACACCUGUAGGCCCCUGCUUGCCCUCCUUUGCAUCCACCUCUGCUAUUAGUAUUUUAAGUAAUUGAGCUACUAAAACAUCUCUGAAGUUUGCAUUUUUAGGAUUCUUUAAUGUAGAUUUUUAGGGCAAGAUCAUACGAAUUCAUUAUCCUAAUCUUACAAAACAUUUUAUGCAUACAAGGUGCCAGCACCCAAGUGAGAAUUGGUUAUGCUUGUCCUGCAAAGUUGUGCUUUGUAGCCGUUUUGUGAAUAAGCAUAUGCUUGAGCAUUAUCAGCAAACAACCCAUUCCAUAGCGCUCAGUUUUAGGUAUGUAGUUAUAAUUGCCUUCUUUUUUAACUUCCCAUUUUGCUAUAUAUUUGUUGCUCGAGAAAGAGAAAGUAUCUACGGAAGUUUUUCUCGGUAACUUCUUUUUUCUUGGUUGUGUGAAUCCAGUGACCUGUCAGUUUGGUGUUUUGCUUGUGAUUCUUAUCUCGAUGCUCAAUUGAUUCAGCAACUGCGACCUUUUCAUGAGACAGCUUACAUAUUGAAAUUUGGUCAAGCCCCUCCUUUUCGGUCUGUUGAAUCUUCUCGGGUGGAAGAUAAACCGGCCAUGGAUGUGCCAUCAAGCAGUUGAAUCUGGUAUGGUUUUUAGACCGAAGGGCUGUAAUGGCAAAAGAAGGCUAGUUUGGAAUUGAAUCAAACAAUAAAUUAGUUGAAUUUAAUUAUAUGAGUUCUGUUCUAUGCAUACUGAUGGCUAGAAAUAGAUGGCUUUUUCAGGUUCAUAUUGCCUCUUCCAAAUACAAAACCACAUAUAUUUACUCAGUCUAGGUUAAGGCAGAGAAAAUUUUGCAUACCUUAUUCAGCUGUUGAGAUCUUGCUGCCCUUAUGAAUUGUUUCAAUCUCAACACAUUUAAUAAUUUACACAAACAUUUGAUCUUCUGCCCAUAUAAAUUUACUCAGUCUAGGUUUUUAUCUGAAUUGUUCUUUGAUAUUGAAUAAGUCUUCAUUAGACGACCAGGCAUUCUGUUACACAGAAUUUGCUGCCAUGUCAUAGACCUUGUAUUACUAAGGUAACCUGUGUGUUUCGGUUGUCGAGCAUUUGUUCAAGUUUCACUAAUGCACCUGCAUUCGUGUAGACGGAUUAUUUUCCGAUAGGGUAGUGAGUUCCCUCGGAAUGGAUCCCUGUUAGAUUUUUGUUUAGAUGAUUGUCUGAUAGAUUCGAGCACGACAACUUAUCGAUGUUUAAGUUAGGGGAAUCUCAGUGACUUAUGUGAAAGAUACAAAUCCAUGAUUGAACACAAACAUUAAGUUUGCACGAAAAAAAUCAGCUAGUGAGUUUUUUACAGGCUUGUGAAAGAGAAUUUAAGAUAAAUUAUAGAGUACCAAGAUACAACAUAGAUAGAUGAUAUGCAUUACAAGCUGUCUUGACAUCUCCGUUCUUUCUGUGGAGUUUCGAUGUUUAUUUUUUAAGAUGAGGAAAGCACGCGUACACGUCGGACUUUGGAUGCUUCGCCUCAGCGUGCUCCCGGCAUUUCACUUCCGUUGUGGUACACAUGAAUGUUUGCAUACACACCUUGCACUGUUUUCAGGCACCAUCAUAAACCAGUUAUGUUAUCAGAGGAAACCCAAGCAAAGGACGACAAUGAUAUGAACAAGAAACCAAAACCCGAGUCAUGUAUCUGAUAAUGUAGUUCAAUGUGUCUAAAUUCAUUUUGACAGUAUCAACUAGUGAUGUAACAUGAUGAAUGUUCGAAGUUAAGAAAUGUUAUUUCUGGAAUUCUCAAGUGCAUUUAUUACCAAAUUCCACUCAAACAGAACACUAGAAAGGCAGUUUUUGCAAUCAAUGAUUACUUAUAAGAAUUUUAGGAAGGCUCAGACAAUCAUACAAAUUCUUCUCAUCAAUAUUUGUAACUUGAGAAAGUUCAUGCAAGAGAAGCUUAAAUUCAAGUAUUGUGUCUGCUCGUGGUUUUCUUCAAUGGAAGAUGUAGAGAAAAGGCCAAUUCCUCCCUAAAAUGUCUUCCAAGUGUCAUCUGUUGGGAGUCGAUAAAUCCCUCAACAGGUAGGUAUUGCCCUCGGUUGGAAUUUGUCUCCCAACUCUAACGAGAGAUCAAGUGCUUGAGGCAAUGGUUCAUAGAGCGGGAGUAACUUUUCUUCUAAGUGGCAUACACCACGCACGGUCCAUCUCAACGAGGUGCUCCAGCUGUGUGAACCUAUCACCUCAAGCAUUCAAGCUCUCGACUUUCCGAAGACAAACUCUUAUCACUUUGAAGACUUCGGUCUCCCUCGACAAAACAAAAUAAUGACCAAAAGUCUACUGACAAUGAACAAUUGACAAGCGAAAAACACUCUCAAAUCGUAAUUCGCGCGUAGGAACUACGCAAUAAGUUCCCAUGAAACCAUACAAAGCUUUAAUCCAAGAAUCUCUCUCAAGAAUUUCAACAAACACUCUCUUCAAAAUACAUCACAACAAAAAUAGUCAAACUACAAACACAGAAAACUAGCGAAGGAAAUCCCAACUUUUUCAAAGGAAGAUAAACAAAUAAAUCAUAAACCACUGGACAAAAACAACAGAUCAAGCAAAGUAUAGUUUUAAAAUCAAAGAAAGAAAUGAAAACCAGAGCAUCCAAAGAUACUACCUGGAUGGACAUGGCCUUCUUGUUAGACUCAAGCUGGCUUCCUAUCAAAAAACCAAAGCUUAAAGAUCAAUGAUGGAUCUAACUAAAAAGAUGGUCUAAAAAAAACAGACCCAAAGAUUAGCAAAGAGAUGGAGAAAGAAAGAAAAAGUGGAAAGGAAGGAUUUGGGGAGCACCUUUGCCAGCAGCUUUUUGCUUUUCCAAGUUCUUCUCACGGGCCAUCUUGGAUUUUUGGCCAUUUCCUCCUCCCAUGGUGGAUUGAUGAGGGAAAAAAAGAAGGGUUUUUUGAUCGAAUUGGAAGUGAAAACUUGGAAGAGGGAACUAUCAGAGAUGAUUAAGGCAAAAUAAGGGAAAUGGGGGGCAGAAUAGAGACAAGACUAUGAACCACAAAGAAAGUAGAUUCGAAUAAAGUAAUGCAAGUGGGGCCAAAAGGAUAAAGGCUGGAAAUCGCCGAUAAAGGAAAACGCCAACUAGUUGAAUUUAGGUACAUCAGUCAGAUCUGUUACUGUUCUAUAUAUCACCCGAUUGUGAGGUGGAAUUACAGGGUAUUAUGGGGGAGUUUGGGUUCCGAGCGAGUUUAUUUAAGGUAUUUAGAUUAAUUAUUUAAGUUCGAAUUUAGUCAAAAAAUAAUUUUUUUUAUCUAAAUUUAAUCUAAUUUAAAAAAAAAUUAGAUCUAAUUUGAUCCGUAUAUAUUUAAUUUUUUUAAGUUACUUUUGUUAUACAAUUAUAAUAAAAUAUAUAAUAAUUCAGCCUGAAGUCCGACCCGAUAAAUCUCUCUCUAUAUAUAUAUUUAAAGAUUCUCUUUGAGAGGAGGGUACUUCAUACACUCUUUUUCUUUUAUCUUCUUCUUCUCUAUUGCUUCACCAGAAUGUCUUUCCCUUCUUUUUCCACGUACUAAGAAUGAUAAAAUAAAAAUUUUUUAACACAUUAAAAAUUAUUUAUAUUAAAAAAACACUAUCUUAAAUAUAAUAAAUAUUUUUUAUAUUAAAAAACAUAAAUAAAAAUAUUAAAUAUUUUAUUGUAUUAAAUAUAAAUUUUAAAAUUUUAUAUUUUGGUUUAGGUUAUUUAGUUGAAUAAGUUUUUUUAAAAGUUUUGAGUAAUGAGUUUAAUUGUUAUUGGGUUAAUGAUUUAAUAUAAGUAUAAAUAUAUAUAAUUAUUAUUUAACAUAUAUAUAAUUAAUAUAAUAUUAUUUUAUAACAUAAUAUUCGGGCUGAAUCGAGCUCGGGCCAAGAAAAUCUUACUAAAAGCUCAAAUCAUAUAGAAAAUAGACCUUAAUUUUACCUAAGCUCAUUUUUUGGGUGGAUCUUGAGGCUUGGGCUAGCGGUCCAGCCCAUGAGUAGGUCUAGGUGGAAUAAUAAAUAAAUAUUUAAUGUUUGAAUUUAUUUUUUAGUAAAUAAGUACCGUUAAACAAUAUUUUUUAAAUUGAAUUGGUGGUCGAACCGGUUAGGCCAUCAAUUCACUGGUCCAAUCGAUUUAAUUAAAAAAUUAUUAAUUAAAAAUUUUUUUCUAUUCAACUGAUUUAAUCGUUGAUUAACGAUUCAACUGAUUUUUUACUUAAUUUAUACUGAUUCUUAUAUACAAAAAAAUAUAAAAAAUAGUUAUAAUAUUAUAAAAUUUAUAAUUUUAAUCAAGAUAUGUAAAUUUAAAAGAGGGGUAUUUUGAUAGUUUUUAGGGGUGGGCCGAUGCAGGCUUGAUCAAAACUGAGAUCAAUUUCAUCCUGACCCAAAACUCGAUUUUCUUUUCAAUUUCAUCCCCUCUCUAACCAAAUCGGGUUGAAAUCCAAUAGAUUUGGGUUAAUUUGCUAGUCAUCAAUUAUUGCUUGGACCCUGUCAACUCUAAGAUCAACUGGAUCUUCAUCAAUUGCCCUCAAACAUUUUACAUGAAUGUUUCCAAAAAAUAAUAGCAAUUGGAAUUGAAAAAUUAUUUUUGUGUCGUUUUAGUUCGAUUGGUAUCGGUAUUAUUGUCAGUGCAGGAGGAUGUGGGUUCAAGUGCGUUGAAAUGUAUUAUCCUCCUAUUUAAGGGUUGAGAAUGGGCUAUGGGUAGUUUUAGACUUAUUAUAUCAAAAAGAGCAAAUAUGAUUAAUGUUAAAAAAUAGACCCUAAAAACUUGACCAUUUUUUUCUCUUCUUUUUUACUUGAGAAUAUUACGGGUAAAUUUCAAUUCCAAUCCUUCUAUUUUUUAAUUACAAAAAAUGGUUAAAUUUUAAUCUGAUCCCUAUAUUUCACUCAAUUUUGAGAUUUAAUUUAUAUAUUUUAAAAUUGACAUGACUUGAUAUCUCAACUUUUAUAAUGUCAUUGGUUAGUCUAAAUAUUUUUUUCUCGUUAAAACAAUGGUGUGAAUUUUUAAGAAUUGUUAGCACCAUGAAAAAUCUUUGUUAAAUUCGGGUUUAUUACAAUGUUAUUUUUUUGUUAUGUGGAUACCAAUUUAUUUUAUUUUAUUUUUUUGAAAAUGCCACACCAACACAAUAAUUAAGACAAUGUUAACAAAUAGACCUAAAUUUUUAAAUUUGAAAAGUAAAGAGACUAAAUUUUUUAAAAUAAAAAUUUAGAGAUUAAAUUCUAAAUAUACGAAUAAUACAAAAAUUUCAAACAAAUUAUAAUUUUUAAAUUUUUACACUAUAAAUUAAUUAAUAAUUAAUUAAUAAACUCAACAAAAAUUGUGGGUGAAACCAUACUAGUAAGUAGUAACUAUACAUAAAAUGUAUUGGACUUGCUGCCACGUGUCACACCCAACUAUAUUCAUUUUCUAUUCUUUUUGCAUUUUUACCAAAAACUGUUAAAUUUCAGCUUUGGUCCCUUUAAUAGGCCUAAAUUUGAGAUUUAAUCUAUAUACGUUAAUUUCUAAAAUAAUAUGUCCCUUAUAGUUUUAUAAUGUUAUUAUUUAGUACAAAUAGUUAAUAUUGUUUACUUUUUUAUUAAAACAUUAUGUGGUUAUAUAUAAAUUGAAUACCCUAAGUCUUAGAGACUAACUUGUGGCUUCCCAAAAUAUUUGCGUUAUUUUUUCUUUUUUACAUUAUAAGACAAUGGUCAAAUUUUAAUUUUAACCCUAAACUGUAUUGAAACUUGAGAUUUAAUCUAUAUACUUUAUUUAUCUUUUACAUAAUUCGGUCCCUCUAAUUUUAUAAAGUCAUUAGUUUGUCUAAAUAGUUAAUAUUGGUCAACUAUUUCAAUCAAAAUGUUGGCGUCAAUCUAGAAAAAAAUAUUUCAUCAUGACGAUUUUGAAUGGGUAUUUUUAAGAAAAAUUGUAAUAAAUAUUUUCAAUGUUUUUUUUAAUAUAUGGCUACGAAGUGAAUAUAUAUUUUUUAAUUUCAAAAUGUCAUACUUGAGAAUUAAUAAAAGAAAUUUAACGAUGGUAUCAAUUGGACCUGGAAUUUUAAAUCCAAAAAGUAGAUUAGUAUAUUCUCAAAAAUAAAAGUAAGGGGACUAAAUUCCAAAUGUAUGAAGUGUAUAGGGACUUGGAGAAUAUUUUAACAUUUGAAUUUUUUACUUUAUAAUUUGACAUAAACAAAUAAUCAACCCAACACGAAGUGUGGGCUAGGAACCACGCUAGUUUAUAUUGAAUUUUAAGUUCAAGAUAAGUACAACAAAAUUACCUCUAACAUGGUCAAAGACGAAACCAAAAUAAUGUUGAUAAUUAAGAAAUAAAGAAAUAUAUAAUUGUUGAAGGGGUAUCGACUUCUUCCAGAGAUGUCUUCAAUAUGCCGUCCUCUAAGCAACCGACUGAAGCCCCCAACAACCAAAGGUAUUGUCCUUGGGAGAGAGUAUUGUCCCCAGCCUCCGCGAAGAGCCAAUGUGCCGUGAGUGGCUACCCUGAAAGUCUACUUCAUACAUGGGUGCCUCGAUUAUACGUAGACAUAUGACCACUCAUUGAGAGGCAAUGAAAGCAUCUCGCCCUUGGUGGAGUUUAAACCCCUCACCAAUAACAUAUAAGUCACUUAUUGGGGUAUAUCUGACCCAUAUAGAUCACAAUGACAAUCUUUUUUAAUUCAUUUUCUUCUUCUUCUUCUUUAUCAAGCACCGUCAAUUUUAUUUUCUAUCCACAUUUUCGCUGUCAAUUUUUUUAUUCUAUUUUUUCAUUUAACUAAACGUACCUUAAAUGUCAGUUUGAAUAUGACGCGGAGCACGUGUAAAAUACAUGAAUCAAAUUGUAAUUAAAGACAUGUUUAUAAUGUAUUUGUCACAUAAAUAACUUGAAUUUGACAUGUUAAAAGAAACAUAUAGCAUCAUUAAUAGGGGUGAAUUUAGAAAUUUUCUAAACAUUGGAAUUGAAUUAUAAAAUUUUUGAGAGUUCAAAGUGUAAUUUUAUAAUGUAUUAACUUAUAAUUUCAUCAUUUUAAAAAAAUACAUUUUUUUAGAGAUGUAAAGCAUAAUUUUAUCAUUACAAAAUUUUAAUUUAAUCAUUUAUAAUAAAACUAUAAAGAAACUUCUUAGGGGUGGGUUUCAAAGCCCACAUAUCCCCCACAUUGUAUUAUCCUCUUAACGUCCAAUGAAUGUCCGAAAUUAACCUAUAUUAUUUUUUUGGUAAAAAAGUAGCAGAAAUCAGCUACAUCAACAUAGUUCUAAUGAGAAUUUCCCAUGGUUUCGAUUUGCUGAAGAUCAGCUAACAACAAUCCUCUAAUAUUCAUUGGAGGCUAUUUAAAAGUGCAAAUCAUAUUUAAAUCUUCAGCAUCCAUCUUCGCCAAGUAAUCCACAACCUUAUUUUGUUCCAUUGGAAUAUGUCGAAAUUAAUAGCUAAAUUGAUGGAAGGAGCUAAUUAUAUGAAACCAUAUUUUGAAGACUUAAUCAAAAUUCUUUGAAGAUUAGGACCAAAUUAAAAUCUAAAUUAUAAAUUGAGAACCACUGCUGCAAUUAAUCUAAAGAGUAUCAUAUAAAGCCAAAUUUGGCGUUAAAACUUUAAAUUUUCUAUUUAUUUAUCAGUUUCCCACCGUACAAGUUUUUUCCCGCGUUUCUUCGAAGGUUUCUAAUAACUUCUAUUGGUUUCCAUUUCUUAAUCCAAAAUAUAAUUUACAAAGUAUGAAGUUAAUUAUUUUUGUAAAAAAUGGAAGCUUAGUUUGCAAAUCAGAUCAAAACAUUCGGGAUUUUAGCCAUUUUUUCAGGUGAAUUACGAGCGCAUCGGAGUUAUUCUACACUCGAAGGUCGAGUGGGCCGACGACCCGACCCGCAUUCAGGAUUUGGGUCCUUAAUUGAUCGGAAUUACAAUCGCGCCGGAAAUCAUUUCAGUCACCAUAAUCGGAGGCUUGAUUUGGACGGCCGUGAUCCUCUCCGCCGUAUUCUCUACGCUCACGUGGCUUCUCCCUUUCCCUACGCUCAUUGCACAUAAUGUUUUUUUUUCGUUUGGUUGCUUAGAAAAGAAAAACGGAAAAAGGAAAAAAAUAAGUAUACGAAUUAAUAGAUGUUCUUGGAAGUGAAAAUAGAUUGAAUUUUCAUUUUGUUGAAAUAAAUUUUGAUUAAUUAAUUUAUUUUGCUUUGAAAAUCAGUAGCUUAAAGAUAAAUCUAUUAGUUGAAUUACUGAAAGUAGUUAUGAAAUGUAAAAUUUUCUCGAUAAUUUAUCUGAGUUCUGAGCCCUAAGCUAAAUUGCUGUAAAUUUCAUCCAAUAACAUAUAAUAUGUAUACAGAUAGAUAAGAUUGCUUGAUAUUGCAUUACCUUGUGAUUUGCUUUUACUUUGGGGAAAUUACUUAACAGUUAAGUGCAUUGAGCUAGUGUUGCUAGUACCUCUUCUUCAGUAAUGAAUAUUUUGAGUGUCUUUCAGAGAAAUGCUAUAAUGAAUUUGGCUUUGUCAUGCAGCAACCAGUUUGUGUAAGUAGUUCAAGUAGGCCACGUUUAAGUUCGAACUAGCGACUUCCCGGAGUUUUGCUGCGAGUAAGAGGCGCGUCCAUUUCUUCAAACAGGUUGGUGCUUAGAGCUCUCUGCAAGUUUCAAAUUCAUAGCACUUGCAUUGGUUGUAUUUACUGUGAUUAUUUACCUUGUCAAGUAGAGCUAGUAAUUCUGCAAGUUCAUAGCAUUUGCAUUAAUGCACUUAUGGCACUUUUAGUGCUUUUGCUGCACUAGUUGGACUAAAAAUAUAUCCACCAUUCUUGCUUUGACACCAAUUUCCAUUCAACCCGUUUAAAUUCUCGAAGGACAGCAUAUCUAUAACUUUCUCAACUCUACUAGAAUCCAAAUCAUGAUUUUGCUUUUUUGUUCUACUUUUAUUUCGUGGAUAUGUUGAGUGGUGCAAAAUGAUCAAAAGGGGGGCAACUAUUAAACUAUCAACUUGUGUCAUAAUCUGUAUAGGACGAUUCAGUGUCAUAUAUGGUUGAUUGUGAUCCAUUAUUGUUGCUGCAUCCAUAAAAUGAAAUUGUGGGUCUGACUGGGUUUAGCAAUAAGGAAAAGAGGUACCAUGUGAUCUUUUAGGAAGAUAGAUGGCUUGGGUUAUCACCGGUUUAUGCAUAGAUCAAUUUCAUAGGAGUAACCUAAAAUGCACUCUGAUGCAGCAAUUUGUCGGUUGCAUUGUCACUAGUGUAUUCAAUUUUCAAUAAUUGUUUUGGCGCUUGAUACCCUAGCUAUUUUUUUAUAGAAUUGCCUGCUAUAAUCAUCAUGUUUCAACAGACUUUUUUUUGUCCCUCUUUAGACAUUAGAUAUUCUGGUAAAAUUUUGCUAUUAGUCCAUAUACUAUGCACAAGUUGCAAAUUUUUGUACUUAUACUCUAAUUUGGUUAUUUUUAGUCUUUGUACUUUUCAAAUUUUGAAAAUUUAGUCCUGAACAAUGGCUGACAAAUUCAUUAAGUUAAAAUUUGUUAUUUCCAACAUCUUAUGCCACAAACAUAUUAUCACAUUUGUAAUUCUAUGUUAACUUGCUAUUUUCACAUAAUACUUCAAGAAAAUCGUUUCAUAUUAGUUAAUAAAUUUAAUAGCUCUUGUUUGAGUCAAGAUCGAAAUUUUAAAAUUUGAAAAAUAUAAAGAUUAAAAAUGAUCAAUUUGAAGGACGUGGAUUAAAUCCACAAUUUAACGCCAUAGUAUGGAACUAAUAGCAGAAAUUUUAGAGUACAUAGACUAAAACCUGCAACUUACAUAUAGAACAUGGACCAAUAGCAGAAUUUGACCACUUAUUUAUAUUCUUGAACAGAUUAAAUUCACUCUUUUUAUGCUCAAAAAAAAUCUGUCAUUACUUUGAGCCUACUUCUGUUAAUGCAUUAAAUCAGAUAUUUCUUUUGCUACUCCCCAGCUAUUAGUAGUACCAUAAUUUCCAGGCCCACUGCUGCUUGACUUGCAUCACUAACAACCAAAACGGUCCAGUCCCACUGCCGGUGUGCUUCCCAUGUAGUAUAUUAUUGUUAUUUACAUCACUUUCCACUACCACUAUUACCCAGCUAACUUCCUAGUAAAUUAGCAUUUCUAACCAUGUGGACCACUAGAACUUGUGGCACUCAGUAAUGAAGAUAUUUAUGUUUCUGUCUUUCAUUACGCAGUGGACUACUUCAAGGUCCGAACUGCGGUUUAAACAUUUUAUACUUUUUUUCCCUUUUUCGUUUUCUAAUUUACUUAUUUUGUCCUUGUUUUAAUUUUUUGAAUUUUCUUUUGACUGAAUCAGAAAUCAGUAUUUUGAUUGAUUUGAACGUCGAUUUAAUUUUUGUGACACAGCUAUCAUGUAGGCAGAGGUUUCGUUCACUAGACUUGCUUAGAUCUUGGGUUAGAGCUUGUGGGAACUGACCUUACUAUAGAAAAAGCAUAUACUAUCUCUAUUAUGUACCCAGUUGCAAGGUAUUUGAAUUAAAUCCCACUUAAAAAGUAUGAGAUUUUUAGUGAAAUUUAUAUGAACCAUGUUUGUCUCAACUUCAACAACUAGCUUUUGAGGUAUAAUUCUCCAUUGAUCUAUUUUUGUUAGUGCUUCAGUUUCCUUAACAUUGAUAGCGUGUGAACUUUAAAAUGUAAAGUAUCUAUCGGUUUCAAUGUCCCUUUCCUUGCUUGACCAACCUGCCCUACUUGUUUUCCAAAAUGGACUGAAACCAAAUUGUUUUAUGUUGUUGUCAGCUACAGUAUUGGUACUCACCAUGCUCAGAGUCUCAACCUCUAUGUUAAAACCUUUUUCCUUGAAAUUUCCUAGGCAAUUUUGGACACAUAACAUACAUAAAAAACAAUACAAAUAUAUAAUAUUAAUAUAAAAGUAUGUCAAUAGUAAGUUUAAGGUUAAAAUAUAUCAUAAGUCCUCAUGUUUUUCAAAAAUCUAAAAUUUAAUCUUUGUAUUUUGUUAAAUUUAGAUUUAUUAUAAUGUCUUUUUUUUAGUUACAUAGCUAUCAAAUGGAUAUUUUUUUAUUUUAAAAUAUUAUACUAAUAAAUUUAAUAAAAAAAUUUAACUAUAUUAAUAAUUAAAUCUGAAUCUUAAAAUAAAAAAAGUGAUACAAUUACUGAAAUAGGGAUUAAAUUCUAAAUUAGGUAGAAAGAAUUUACCUAAUCUGAUAUGACAUUUAUCAUGAUUUGAAAGUUUUGUAUUAAAAUGCCAAUUUCCCCACACGAGAAAUGUCACAUGUAUCACAACUUGUUAGGAUCAUUAUUUAUAAUAAACAUAAAAGCAGAUGUAAAUCAUAUCCCUCAUUUGACUCUCUAGAGGCAAAAAGAGGGAAGCAUAUUAUACUCCACUUAAUACAUUGAACAUAUACUCUUCCUUUUUCAAUUGUAUAAAAUAUUCAUUUAAGAUAAUCUUUAUCAUGAAGAAAGCUAAAAAGAAACUUAAAGGAAAAAAUGAAAAAAAGGGGAAAAUGAAAGUUUAAGUUUUACAGAAGAUCCUUAUACUAUGAAUUUUUUGUAUAUCUAGUCCUAUAUAAUUUAAUAUUUCUACUCCUAUUUUACCAAACAGGUAUUUUUAGUUUGGAUGUCAACUUUUUCUUCUAAUUUUGCUAAAUAUUAUAAUAGGAUAUAGCACUUGACUGUACAUCUACAUUUUGUACAAUUAGAUAUUAUUUUUGUAUAUUUAGAAAAAGAAUAAAAUUAUAAUAAAGUGUAUAAAAAAAUGCAAAAGUGAUAAUGUAUUUAAAUAUUAAGGUAAAAUUAAUCUCAAGUUAGACCCAUGACAACCCACUACCUCUACCCCUAUAAGCAUUACAAAAAAGUGAUUGAGGGUUAAAAAUUAUCAAAGUAUAGAAAAAGGACUAAAUCCGAAAAAAUGAAAAAUGCAGAGUCCUUUAUGAAAUUUUACCAAAAUGAAAACGGAAACUUAAACGCGGAGAGUACAGCAGUAUUCGGGUCUUUGGUCAUCUUCCUCUUCACGCGGCAUCUUCCUCUUUAAUCGCCAUUUUCGCUUUCUCUCUCAUUAUAUAUCUUUAAAAACCAUUCUUCAACCUAACAAAAAAAACCACAGCAACAAAAAAGAAAACCAUACAAACAAAUCCUAAAAGACUCUCUUUACAACGUAAAGAGCAAAAACCCCAACAGCAAAACGUGUAGUAAUAAGGCAAAAACACGGUAGGGAAGGAAGGUUGUUAAUAUAUACAUAUAAAAGUUAUAACGGAAGAAAGGUCGAACGAUUCAAAAAAACCCAACGAUGGCUAUGAUGUUACGGUCGCUCGCUAGGCCGCUUGAACGUUGCCUUGGGUUAAGGGCCGGUGGGGAUGGUCUCAUGUGGCACACUGAUCUUAAACCUCAUGCUUCGGGCGAGUACUCAAUCGCCGUCGUUCAAGCCAAUAAAAACCUUGAAGAUCAAGGCCAAGUCUUUACAUCUCCUUUAGGUACCUAUGUUGGUGUUUAUGAUGGUCAUGGCGGACCCGAAGCUUCCAGAUUUGUAAACAAGCAUCUUUUCCCAUUUCUCCACAGUAAUUGUUCUUUGACCCUUUUAAUCUUUUUCUUAAUUAUUUUUCUGGGUUUUUUUUUAGAUUAUCUGAAAUGGGGUUUUCUUUGCGUCUAAUUUUUCAAGAUUCAAAUAUUCUUUUGUGUUUUAAUGGUCAAAGAGAAUUUUGGGUUUUUGUCAGUUAAUGAUAUUUUGAACAACUUACAAAGUGUCUAUCAUGCACGUUUAUUUAGUUAUUAUUUGUGUAUCUGAAUGAAUAUGAAUUACUUUGUCUAAAUAUAAAUCUUUAUGCGUUUGAAAUUGGAAUUUGGUUCUCAAGAUUCUAAAACCAUUCAGUUUAAUUUCAAUUUUUGGCACCUUUCACCUCCUUGCUUUAUUGGGUUUUGUCAGUGAAUGGUUGUGUUCUUGUUUUAAUUUUUCUGUCUUAAUUGUAGAAUUUGCUACAGAGCAAGGGGGAUUAUCUGCAGACGUGAUAAAGAAGGCGUUCAAUGCUACUGAAGAAGAGUUUUUACAUUUGGUGAAGCAAUCAUUGCCCGUAAGGCCUCAAAUUGCUUCAGUUGGAUCAUGUUGCCUUGUUGGUGCGAUAUCCAACGAUGUGUUGUAUGUGGCGAAUCUCGGCGACUCGAGAGCAGUUCUUGGCAAAAGAGUUUCGGAGGAUAAGAAAAACAAGGUUGUGGCAGAGAGGCUAUCAACAGAUCACAAUGUUGGAGUUGAGGAAGUGAGGAAAGAGGUUGAGGCUCUUCAUCCUGAUGAUUCGCAUGUCGUGGUUUACACUCGCGGAGUUUGGAGGAUUAAGGGCAUAAUCCAGGUACUUAACAAAAUCUAUUGGCAAACCCAAUUAUAAGAGUUUUAAGUUGAAUCAGACAGGUUGAAGAACAGUUCAUGUUUUGGUUCAAUGAAUUCGAUGGAUAUACAUGUUUCUUUCCAUCAAUUGCUUGUAUGUUUGUAGAAAAGGUAUAUUUACAAAACAAAUAAACAUUGUGCAUCCUCUGAAUCAUAAUGCUAAGCUUAUGUGACUAUAUGGAGUCUUCUCUCUUUUCUUUUUCGGGUUUUUUGGGUUCCUUUUGUUGAUUUCUUUCCCCUUUAACUUCAGCAGUUAAAUGGUUCUCUGUAAUGGAUAAUGUUGGUCUAAGCAUUGAACUUGUUUCUUUAUUCAGGUGUCAAGAUCUAUCGGUGAUGUUUACUUGAAGAAACCCGAUUUUUAUAGAGAUCCAAUCUUUCAACGAUUCGGAAACCCUGUUCCCCUUAAAAGACCAGUUAUCACGGCAGAACCCUCCAUCCUUAUUAGAAAGCUUAAGCCCCAAGACUUAUUUCUGAUAUUUGCAUCAGAUGGCCUAUGGGAACAGUUGAGCGAUGAAACCGCGGUAGACAUUGUUUUCAGAAACCCCCGAGCUGUGAGUAUUUACCUUUGUCUUAUUGGUUAAUUUAGUCUUCAUUAGCAGCUGGACCGAAUGACAGAGUAUUGAUUUUAAGUUUGCUUGUAUUACUUGCAGGGUAUUGCUAAGAGACUGGUAAGUGCCGCACUUAGAGAAGUUGCAAAGAAAAGAGAGAUGAGAUACGGCGAUAUUAAGAAAAUCGAGAAGGGAAUAAGACGGCAUUUCCAUGACGAUAUAACCGUGAUCGUCAUUUACCUAGAUCAACACCGAGGCUCUUCACAUAACAUAGUUAAACAUAAUGCCAUGGGGUGCACGACGGCGCCAGUCGACAUCUAUUCAUACAAUGCAGAUGAAGGAUAUGAAGGAGAUUUACUUCAAACAGUUUCUUGAAUACACAACAGAAUGAGUUAAUAUUAGGUUUAGCACACUGACUUUUUAUUCUUUUUCAAGUCUUAUUCAUGUAUAGAGAAACCAAAUGAUGGGGUGGGAUUGGUUCUUAAACCAAUGUUUCAUUGGGAGAAAAAUCGAGAGUUUGGAAGGUAAUUUUAGUCACCUCAGACGGAUUCCGACACAGGCGGCUAUAGGUGUUCCGGUUGAAGUUCUAACGGUUACCGAAAAGGCUACAUUGUUUUAUUGGUUUAUUAAAUUCAUUGCUUAUAUUAUAUUUAAUUCGAAGUGAGUAACUAAAGACAAUUAAUUACGUUAUUAAUUUUUCUUGUCAAUUAUACAUAAUUUUGAUUGGUGUAAUAACAAAUUUAACCCUUAAUAUUUAUAUAUUUUGUGCAAAUGUUGACAGAAUAUGUAAAUGUUGUAGGUUAAUUUCGUUAAAUCGUGAUUAAAUUGACAGAACAUGUAAGUGUUAUGGGUUAAAUUUGUUAAAUCAAUGUUAAAUUGACAAGAAGUAUAAACUUUAAGGGCGAAUUUUGUUACUAUACCGAUAGAAAAAGUAUAAUUGAUGAAAAAAUAUUGAUGUUAUGAUUAAUGGUCAUUAGUUGCUCACUUUUAAAAUCGACAAGAUUAAAUUGUUAUAGUUUUUUUGAGAGGGACCAAUUUGUUCAAAAUGAAAAUUGAGAAGAAUCAAAAUGUCAUUGUACCUGGUUCUUAUACAUACCAUAUCUAAGUUGUGAAUUUAGUUUUUGUACAUUAAUUUACUCAAUUUCAGUCUCUUUACUUUUUAAAUUUAAAAUUUUAGUUAUGAUUUAGAUUGUAAAUUAAAUUCGUUUCAUUCUAUUAUGUUAUUAGUCUUAUACUAUUAUUACAGUUGUGAAUUUAAUUCAUGUUUUUUAAUUUUAUCAUUUUUAGUCGUUAUACUUUUCAAAUUUUAAUGCAAACGAAAAUAGUUAAAUCCAUUAAACGUAGGUUUUCUAUGUGUGCAAUAUAUGAAAAUAGCAAAUUGCAACUAUUAUUUGAUCGAGACUAAAAUUGAAUAAUACAAAAAAUACAAAAAUUAAAAUUAAAUAAAUUAAAAGAUAGAUAUUAAACUCACAAUUUAUUCAUAUACAUAAACUAAUAACAUAAUUCUUAAUACUCUUAAAUUAAAAACAACACUUAAUAAACUACGAGAGUUAGGUGAGAUGACAAAUAUCUCUCCUAUAUUAACCAGUGGUUGAAAGUUUGAUCCUCGCAUUGGGUAUAGAAUAACUUUAAAAACUCGUAGUCGGCAUCUAUUAUUUUAAUAGACCUAAAAAUGCGGAGAAUUAAUUACUGAACUCGCUCUAAGCAUGACAUAACACGACAAAGUUGGCUUGUAAUUUGUAUAUCUAAACCAAAAGGGAAAAAAUGUUUUGCGAGACAAAUUCCUUAAACUGAAAGACAUGGGAAUUUUGGCAACUAGAUAGCAAUAACCAAACUUGUUAGGUGAAACGAACCAAACUAAAGCACAAAACGACAAUCAGUUGCGCUAAAGUUAGGAUGUCUUGUCACUUUUAAAUUUUUAUUAUACAACUUGCUUCACUAAACAAAUACUAUUUAAUGAACUUUUUAAUAUUCUUACUCUACUUUUCAAUAAUUCAUAAAGCUAAUAAAUAUAUUAUAUUCUUUCAAAUUACUUUUCUUUAAAUUAUUUUUUCUUUAUUUUAAUUGAAAAUUUUUAUUGUAUUAAUUGCAUAAAAAUACUCAAAAUUUUAAUUUAUUCUUUAAUUUCGAAAUAUGUUUAAACGUUAAAACGUUAAUUUUGAUAUGAUGUAAAGUACAUUUAAAAUGCCCGAAUUAAAUUGUAAAUUUAUGUAUACUUACAUCAUUAAUAACUUGGAUCUUACGUAUUAAAAAAAUAGUGUUAAUAAAUUUUAGGAGGGUUAACACUUUUAACUGUUAGAACGAUUUUUUUAAGUAGAAAUCAUGUUGGUACUCUAACUAGAAUGGUUAUACUUUAGUUACUUGGGUUAACUGUUAAUAUUAUAAAAAGUAGAAGAUUAAAUUACAUUAAAUAAAAUUAUGGAGAUUAAAUUUUAAAUUUGAGCACAAUAAAGGGACCAAAACUAUAAUUUAACUCUUUUUAAAUUCAAUAUUUUGUUGAAGGAUUAAAUUGGGGUUGAACUUGAAACCUACUUCUAUAUUGGGGCUUGAACUUUUUUUUUGUCUAAGUUGCUCCCUAAACUUAGCAAUUUUUCUCAUAUUGAAGUUUGAACUAGGCCAUUGUUCUAAGGGGCGAAGCCAAAAUUUUUUUUUUUGGGAGUUGGAAUUAAAUUGUAUAUUUUUAUGGUAGUAAGAAUGUAAUUUUACCAUUUUAAUAGCCUAUGUCAUUAUAAUUUUAAAGGAUUAAAUCAAUUUUGUAUUAUUUAAGAGGUUAAAGUUCAAAUUUAUCAUUACUAAUUUAAAAUUUUAUAAAUUAUAAAAAGUUUAAAUAGAAAAUUUUUCAUUUUAGGGGGAACUGGGGGCCUUGCCAACCUCUCUGGCUUUGCCAUUGAUUGUUUCCAUAUUGGAGCUAAACUUGACAAUUGUUCCUACAUUGAUGCCUAAGUUUUAGGGUUUUCAAAGAAACAUCAUGGAUUAAUUUGGAUCAAAAAAGGUUCAAGCCCCAAUAUAAAAACAAUUACCACAAAAAAAUUCAGGUCUCAAUAUGAAAAUAAUUACCAAUUUCAGGCCCAAAAAGGUGAUUUAACCCUUUGCCCAACCCCAUUCAAGUUACCAAACGAGAGGAAAAUAACAAAUUCCUAGAAAAUCUACAAUUUUGUGCGCUAAAAAAGAAAAUACAAAUAGUCGUUUCAGUAUAAUUUUCUCGGAAAAUAACCAAAACCCAGUCCUUUAAGCUUCAACAUCCAAAGAAAAAAGAAUGACUGCAAGUCAUUUGGUUGCUGAAUCCGUGUGGAAAACAAUAGAGUCAACUCAUUCAGGUCUUUCUUUUUUUCCCCCCUUAUUUAUUCUUUCUAUGUAGAAACUAAAUUCCAUCUUCUUCUUUUUUCCUUUUUUAAAUCCCUAAAUUUUGUGAUCUUAUGACCCAAAUUGGCCAGUAAAUGAAGAGCAACUAUCAAUGUAAGCAAUACUCAUUUUCUUUUAAAUCUUUUAUUCUUGGGCUUUUUAAAAUAAAAAUAAAAAUAAAAAUGGUGGGUAUUGAUUAAUUUUGAAUUUUCUUUUAUUGUAGCUUGCAUUUUCUGUUUGGUAAAAACUUCGAGAGAGCAACAAGGAUAGUUGACCAAAGGGGUGUCAAGAAAAUCUCCGGUGAACCCAGCGGUCGUUUUAUCUUUCAGGUUCAUUCUCUUUGUUGCUAUCUCAAUUUUUGAAUAUUGGUCGAAUUCUCCUAUUAGUCCAUGCACUCUGCAUAAAUUGCAGAUUUAAUCCAUGUUCCUCGAUUUAAUGUUUUUAAUGAUUUGUUUUUCAAAUUGUAAUUUUAGUAUCAUGUUAUAUCUAUUUAAUUUAAUUAUUUUAUUUCAGUUAAUAAAUUUCACUGCUAUUGGAUAUAAGAAUAAAAAUGAUAAAAUUUUAGAACAAAUAUUAAAUCUAUAAGGUUAGGACAGAAAAAUCCAAAUAUUAUAAAAUUAAAAUUGACCAAAUUAAAAUAUGUAGACUAAAUCUGUAAUUUAGACUUAGUAUAUAUACUAAGGGAAGAAUUUGUCAUAGAAUAUUUGGACGAGUUGUCGGCUACCUUAUGUGUAAAAUAUGGUCAUUUUGGCAAAUAUUCCAUUUUAAGAACUUUCCUGGAAACUUUUCUGAAACUGUGAGCCUUGAGAUAAAACCCGAAGCAGAAUUGAGACACAUCAGUAUAUAUCCAUUUGUAUAUCUCAAUAUAUAUAUAUAACAUACGCCUGUCUAGUUAGAAUAUUUGGACAAGUUGUCGGCCACCUUAUCUGUAAAAUGUGAUCAUUUUGGCAAAUAUUCCAUAUUUAAGAACUUUCCUGGAAAAUUUCUGAAACUAUGACCCAUCAAGGCUCUUGGCAGAAUCGUGAGAUAAAACCUGAAGCAGAAUUGAGACACAUCAAUAUAUAUAUCCAUUUGUAUAUCUCAAUAUAUAUAUACAGACGCAUGUGUAGUUAGAAUAUUUGGACAAGUUGUCCUCUACCUUUUCUGUAAAAUGUGAUCAUUUUAGCAAAUAUUCCAUCUUAAGAACUUUCCUGGAAAUUUUUCUUAACUAUGACCCAUCAAGGCUCUUAGCAGAAUGGUGAGAUAAAACCCGAAGCAGAAUUGCGACACUUCAAUAUGUAUCCAAUUGUAUAUCUCAAUAUAUAUAUAUACAUAGGCAUGUCUAGUUAGACUAUUUGGACAAGUUGUCAUCUACCUUAUCUGUAAAAUGUGAUUAUUUUAGCAAAUAUUCCAUCUUAAGAACUUUCCUGGAAAAUUUUCUGAAACUAUGACCCAUCAAGACUCUUAGCAGAGUCGUGAGAUAGAACCCGAAGCAGAGUUGAGACACAUCAAUAUAUAUAUCCAUUUGUUAUAUAUAUACAUACGCAUGUCUAGUUAGAAUAUUUGGUCAAGUUGUCAUCUACCUUAUCUGUAAAAUGUGAUCAUUUUAGCAAAUAUUCCAUCUUAAGAACUUUGCUGGAAAAUUUUCUGAAACUAUGACCCAUCAAGGCUCUUAGCAGAGUCGUGAGAUAAAACCCAAAGCAGAAUUGAGCCACAUCAAUAUAUAUAUAUCCAUUUGUAUAUCUCAAUAUAUAUAUACAUACGCGUGUCUAGUUAGAAUUUUGGACAAGUUGUCAUCAACCUUAUCUGUAAAAUGUGAUCAUUUUAGCAAAUAUUCCAUCUUAAGAACUUUCCUGGAAAUUUUUCUGAAACUUUUUUUUCCCAUUGUUUGGUGCUUUAGGUUGUGGGAGAAUCUAGAAGAAAAGAAGAAUAUUUCUGUUUUGCUGAACAUUAUUGUGCUUGUUAUUCAUUCUUUUAUGAUGUAAUUAACAGAGCAGAACAGCUUUGUGUAAGAUUUCUUUAUUCCUUUAUUCCCCUUAUUUUAUUGCAUUUAAUAUAUAGGUAAAAUUUUUGAAAUUGAGCAAAUUGGUCCCUCUAAAAAAUUAUAGCAAUUUAUCUUUGUCAAUUCCAAAAGUGAGCAACUAAAAAUAAUUAAUCAAGACGUUGAUAUCAUUUGUCAAUUGUACAUAGUUUUGAUUGGUAUAAUAACAAAUUUAGCCUUGUUAUUUACAUGUUUAUACAAAUAUUGAGUUGCAUUUAUUAAAUCAGGACAAAAUUGAAAGAAUAUGUAACUUUGAGAGCUAAAUUAUUUAUUAUACCAAUCAAAUUUAUGUACAAUUGAUGAUCAAAAUAUUAAUGUUGUGAUUAAUUAUUCUUAGUUGCUCACUUUUGAAUUAAAACGGAUUAAAUUACUUCAAAUUUUUUAGAGGAUUCAAUAUGCUCAAUUUACUUAAAUUUUUUUAGAGGAUUCAAUAUGUUCAAUUUUAAAAUUAAAAGGGAUUAAAUUACUUUAAUUUUUUUAGAAGAUUCAAUAUGCUCAAUUUCAAAAUUGAGAGGGACUCACCUAUAUAUAUUUGCUGUAUUUUCAUAUUUUGUUUUGCUUUUGUGUAGUGUAAGCAUCAAUUAGCUGCAAGGCUUGCUGGAUCAUUGGGAGCUUGUAUUGAAGUUAAAGUGUCUGAUGAACAGCUAGCUGUAUUACUUUCUGAGCUCUAAAUUUUUGUAGUAAAAUCGUAGCGGGUCGGAUCCGAAAUUUAAUCUAGUUGGUUCAUGCAGUUACAUUUAAAGAAAUGACAUUCAAUAAAUAUGAUUCAAUUUUUGAUAAAUAAAAAUAUUGUUUGUAUGUUUAACAACAAAAAGAAUGAACAAAUUAUAAUCAUCAAAUCAAGGAACAAUAUUGUGAGUUUUCAUCUUUUUAAUCCAUGAAUUGAACGACGUUUUCGAGUUUCGGAACCCGACAAAUCCAUGUUCUUUGCUCUUGUUCAUGCUAUCCAACAGUGACUUCCCCGAAAGCACCGAAUCAACGAACUGCCAUGCUCCGGCAUUGCUCAAUUUCAUCGGCAAAAGACCGUUCUCCCUCACGAUGUUGUCCCACACCGGACCUUUGUCUUUCAUCAUUUCAACCAAGCUUGGCACCUUCUCUUCGGUUUCUUGAAAUCCGUAGUGUUCGAUACCGAACUGGUCAGCUAACACUUUCCAUAAGUCCUUCCACUUAAACACAUCUCCAUUGCUACAAUUAAAGGCUUCGUUUUUCGCUCGCCGGCUCAUUGCUGCCCAUAUUUGAUGUUCUGCAAUCAAAUCCGCAUCCGAUGCAUCCCAGUACCCUUCCCACGCUUGUCGGUUCCCCGGAAACCUCAACGGCUCGCUUUCAUGCUUACAUAUCGACGCGUAAAUGCAUAAACUCCGAACUAUAUUCAUCGAACUAAACGGAGAAAACCCAAAAACCAAUCCCGGCCUAUGAACAGACCAUGUCAAGUUCUCCUUCUGCUUCACUUCUUCCAACAAAACAUCCUCGAGCGUAUAACACAAGUUUGACGACUUAAGCCUCGGAAGAUCCUCGCGAAAAGGAGGAUCAUGGGGCUGAACAUGAUAUUUUCCGUACAAAUCAAUCGGACCGGUGUAAUGCCGACGACCGGUUUGCAAGCAUAUAUGUUUCAACUUGGGUGAAUUCGGGAUUACCGCUUUCAACACGUUCCGUAACAUAGUACCAUUGAUAACGCAGUUUUCAUCUUCAGUUGAUCUCUUAUCCCAUGCAACAUAAAACACAUGAGUCACAUCGUUAAGCUUUGAUAAUUUAUCACAUGUUUCUUCUUCAUCUAAAACAUCGCAUUGUAUGUACUCAAUAGGCAAAUGACUAGUCGAGGCUGGUCGAGGCUGACGAGCAACACCGUAGACCUUCCACGGUCCGCCGGGAAUACCGGAGAACGGAAGAAUCUCGGCGAGACUGUUACCGACUAUGCCGGUGAUGCCAAUGACCAAAGCAACACUCUUGUACUUGGAUUGUUUAUCAUGUUCUUCCAUUUUCUUCUGUAAAAAAAAAAAAAAUCUGGGUUCAUUAGAUUAAAUGCAGAGAAAGAGAACCCAAAAAAAUGAAUGAGCAUUAACGUACCUUGGCAGCACCAAUGGCUCCUGCCCACCACCAACUCAUUGUAUGUUUUUCUUUUGCUGUUAAUGAAAAAAAAUGCUGAAUUACAUCCUUAAACUUUGUCUGCAAUGUUUUUAUAGUGAUCCGCUUUGAUAAAAGUGACGUCUGGGAAUUUAAAAAAGGAAAAAAAAACCAAUCUUAUCUAUUUACAUGUAUCAACUACAGCUCAACAAGAACUUGUUAUCAAUUUGAUUUCUUUAUAAUAAUAAUAAUAAUAAUAAUUUUAGUUGGGAUAAAUUACAAGAAUAGUCACUCUUGUUUGUCUUAGAUUAUAUUUUAGUCAAUUAUGUUAUCGUUUUGUUACGAAGUGGUCACUCUACCGCUAAACUCCGUUACCUCCCUAGCGGUAGUUCUACGUGACAGUUAAAAUUAAAUUUAUUUAAUUAAAAACAUAUUUUCAUCCCAGUAGCUGGACAUCCAAGUUGGCAUUUAAAACAUGUUUGGAUUGCUACGUAGGACAAUCGUUAGGGAGGUAACGGAGCUUAACGGUAGAGCGACCAUUUCAUAACAAAAUGAUAACAUAUGUGACUAAAAUAUAACAUUUUAAACAUAAAUGAUUAAAAUGUAAUAUGAUUCAAACAAAAGUAACUAUUUUUAUAGUUUACCAUUUUAUUUUUAAUUUGUUUGAAUAAACAUGGAUACAACACAUAUAUUUUAUAUAAAAUAAUUUAAGUGGCGGAAUUUUUUAAAAGAAAAUCAGAAAGGACGUGGAAAAUGGGUUAAUUGGUGAAUAUGUGUAAAUCCUUCAAUAAUUGAAUUGGUCAGCCAACACUUAAAGACUAAGGAUUAGACAGCUAGUAAACACAUCAGCAUAUAAUCAAGCUUGCGUGGAGAACCUAGCGUGUAAGGAAACAAUACAUCCUUAUCUAUUCACUAAAUCUUCUAAUGCUAUGAAAAAAAAGGAUAGAAUUUUGUGAAUUUUAUAAUUGGAAAGUUUAAGGAUAGGAAAUUAAUAUGAAAUUUGGCUUUUUUGUUUUUUUAAUUUGUAUUCCAAGUUAGUUUUUUACUAUUUAAGUCAAACAUUUCUAUUGGGUAUUGUUAAAUUAACAUGAGUAUUAUUGUUAAUAUAGAGGAAUGUGUGUUUGAGUGCGUUGAAGUGUUAGGUCUGUUCUUGACGUUUUUGGGCCUUAACAAAACAAUAAAAUGGGUUUCAAGUUCCUUAAAAGUUGAAGAAAAAAAAUUUGGUCCCUAAAAGUUGGUAAAAAAAAUUUGGCCUUUAAAAGUUAAAAAUAAGAAUUUUGGGCCCCUUAACAAUUGGAGAAUAAUAUUUUAGACCCCUUUCAGCCUUGGGCUCUGGGAAGCCGCACCUCUAGACGACCUCUAGAGCCAGGCCUGUGAAGCGCAUUAUCCUCUUAUUUAUGGGUUGGAGUAUAAUCAGAACCUAUAAUGAGAUUGUUAAAAAAAAUUUUAAAACAAAAAAGUUUUAAGAUGGAUUGUGAAUUUAAGGUUUUUUUUUAAUGGUUACAAGUUGCUUGGAAACAAAAUAUUAGUAAAUCAGAAUAGAAAAAUAAAUAAAUAAAUAAAUUGAAAACAAUUAGUCUCUCGAUAUGAUAAAUUAAUUUUGUUUAACAUUCGUUGUAACGACGGUUAGAAAGAAAACAAGCAGCGAAAAAAAUAAAAGAAGAAAAGAAUUGACACAACCGAUCUUUGUUAAUACAGUUUAGACACAGUGGUCCUAUAUUUGCGGAGCCUCUCCCAGUGAAUGAUUUUAUUCAACAAUCGUUCGGAUCACCUAUUGGCUUAAGCCCGAUUACCUUUACACAAAGAAAUAAUUCAAGCUUCAAUAUUGACCCCAAUUGUCACAAAUCACUCACCCAAAUACCUCACAAUAUGAUAGACUUUAAACUCCUAUUUAAAAGUUGAAAUUAUCCCAUUAAUUAUCUUUAGUACCCCAGGGUGAAUCAAACUCAGUAUAAACGAAACCUAUUUAAGGCCCAAGUCAAUAACUUAAGUAGAGAAACAGUUUCGUUAUAAUUGGACAUAAAACAAACAGCAAUUUUCCCAACAAAAACAUAAUGGGGAGAGCGAGACUUAUUCCUAAGUUGGCAAAUGCAAUUGCUCAGCUGUUUGUUUCAUGCAAAACUUAGUUGGCAAUUAACAAAUUCAAAUAGGCUCAACAUCUUUAACCUAUGGAUAGAAUUUCUAAUGCCAAUUUGAAUUCCUUCCUUCCAAGAAAUCCUUCAACAUUUUUAUCUCUUUGUGCAAGCAUUAUUGUAACAAGUCCAUCUUCUUAACUUUCACUAGAGAAUCUGUGGUGAUAUGGAGUUUACAGUAAACCCUAUUCGAAUGGGGAGUAACAAUCCUCUUUUGUCCGAUGAUUCUUUUGUUUUGGGUAAGAAUUCCAAAAUUCAUUUUACAAAGAGUAAACGAAAGUUGUGUUAUUGUUUAUGGGAAUACAUGAAAGUAAUCUAGAGUCGAGCAUUUUAUACCAUUUGUCUUAUAGAAUUUUGGGUUAACUUCGUUUGGUCGGUAAAUUUGACGAUAUAUGUCAUGUUAAUCUUUCUAAAAAAGUAAAUGGUGAAUUACAUUAAUGGUUAUCUAAUUAUGAUUUUUUUUUAUCACCCAACCAUAAAAAAUUACAAAAUAGUUAGUCAAUUAUUAGUAUUUUUUUUAUCAUCCAAUUAUAAAAAAGUGACAAAAUAAUCUUCAUUUUCAUGUUAACCGACUAAUAACUAAAAAAUUAAUUGAAUAAUUAGAUGAUCAUUUUGUAAAAUUUUCAUAGUUAGGUGAUAAAUGAAACUAUAAUCUGAGUGUCCUCUAUUAUAGUUUUGAGUAUAUAAAUAAUAAAAUUGCACAUCCUAUUUGAUAUUUUUGAGCAAAAGAAAAGAAAAGAAUAAUGAACUUGGAUACAUGGUAUUAGAGCGACUUAUGAUUGCAAUUGCACAUCCUAUAUGAUAUUUUUUUAGCAAAAAAAAAAAAGAGAAAAGAAUAAUAACCUUAAAUACAUGGUAUUAGAGCGACCUAUGAUUGCAAUUCCACAUUGACUUCCCAUAGGAUGGAUCAAUAGGUACUCCAAGUCAAACUCCUAAAGUGUGCAGUAGGAGAAAAUAACAACAAAACCCAUGACAAACGCAACACGAGUUUAGAUGGAGAAGAAUAUUAAGCGAAACACUAAAAAAAUUAGAUAACAUUAUUAAUCCCAUAUCAAAAAACAAAUAAGAAAACAAGUAGACUUGUACGCUCUAGGAAAGCAUAUGACUAAUAUCACUAGGGGGGUUUAGCUAGGUACAGCUGAUGGUCCCAAGUUGAAAGGGACUCUUGAGUAUCGCUGAUGUUUUGACCUUAGUCCUAUAUAAUAGGGGCAAAACACUAUCUAUCCGGCGCGUCCACACCCAAUGAGAUAGAUUUUUGGUCACCUAGACUGAAUGGUCUAUGGACGCCUCUAAUCCAGCUGACUUAUCCUAUUUUAUACACAAAAAUGUUGAAAUCUCUAAAUAAUGAAGAGUAAACUAAAAUCAAAUAGCUUCCAUUAACAAGACAUGGGGUUAGAGCUUAGGGUUUAGAAUUAAUAAAGAAUCAUGAUUGCAAGCCAAACCUGGAUCAUUCAUAUACAUUAGAUGACAAUGAUAUCUCUAUAAGUUUUAGCAUUAAAACUAGGUUUGAGGAAACAUCAAAACAGAAAAUCCAAUUUGCAGACAUAAAAUACUUCAUUAAUUACAUUAACAAAAAGCUUAUCAAACAUUCCUUUGGAAAACAAUUUUGCAAAGACACUGUUAACUGCACAUAAUGAUUUAUAUUUGACUUGUAUAAAAGCAAUUGUACAUACCUUUUCAAGAUUUUCAAUUCCCCUCUUUCUUGUUUCAUCUGCUAUAUAAUACAAAAUUCCCCAUCAGCUACAUGCAUAGCUAAAUAGAGCUUUAGGCAUUCAAAAAGCUAAAGAACACAUGUUGGCCUCGAGGAAACACACAGAACCGUGCACAACGUCACAUUUCCACUUUCUCAGCAUGCUCGAAUUGAUGAACACAACGAACAGUGCUAACACAAUACUAAAAAGGUUUUCUUUAUGGAAGACAACUUUCUAUGACCAUUUUUCCACGACACGCUCUGAUAAUCUAAUUUCCUCAUCCUUGGAAAUAUGUGGAUCUAGCUUCUGAAGGUUGUCAAUAAAUGUCUUUGCCUCAUCACGCUGAUUGAGUUUACAAUAUCCAUCAACUAUGGAAUUGUAUGUAUUCUGGUUUGGUUUACAGCCGUGCUUGAUCAUGAAUUGGACAACAUCUAUGGCUUCCUCAAACAAGGAAUCAGCUGCAUAGCUUGCAACAAAGGUAUUGUAAGUGAUAACAUCUGGAACAAGGCCAGAAUCACCCAUUUCUGAAAAUAUCCGAGAAGCCUCUUUCAUUCGACCGUUUCUACAAUAGGCAUAAAUAACAGUGUUAUACGAGAUUAUAUCUGGUUUUAUUCCUUUUGCCUGAACUUCCCUUAAAAUUUGUUCUGAUUCCUCGAACUUUUCAGAGCGGCUAUACAUAUACAUCAAACUGUUGUAGGUCGUCAAGCUCGGAGUAUACCCACACUCAUUCAUGAAGUUCAAGAUCUCAUUUGUCUUGGAAACCAUCUGCCUCCUGCCAUAUAUUGAGAGCAUGGCAUUUAGAGUAGUUAUGUCAGGUGGAAAUCCUUUCUUCCUCAAUUCCAAGAAAGCACGCUCUGUAUCCGCAAGAAGGUCGCAUUUACUAUUAACCAAAACAAGAGUCUUUAACAGCACAGCAUGAGGUUCGAUGAUACCGGAGUAUAUCUCUUCCGCUAGGGCAUGCAUCCGAUCUACCUGCUUCCCAUUGGCAUAAACAUGAAGCAAAGAACAGUAGGUUAGCUCAUUGGGUUUGCAACGACCGUCUCUCAUUUCAGCCAGUAUUUUCUCAGACUGCUUCCAAAGCCCUCCCCGUGCCAAUGCCGCCAAAACAGCAUUAUAUGUAGAAAGGUCGGGGGUAACUCCAGCUUCCAGCAUUCUCUUAUAAAUAGCCAUGGCUUGAUCAAAAGCACCACAGCGACUGUAUGCACUAAUUAAAGUGUUGAAUGUGUCCCUUUCAGGUACAAACCCUGCCCUCUUCAUCUCCUUGAACACUCCAGACACUUCUACAUCCAUUCCAUUUUGCCCAAAUACUGCCAGUAGUGUAUUCCAAGUAACAAUAUCCGGUGCACCAUUGCAUGCCUUGAUCUCGUCAAAAAUCUUCAUCAUCUCAGUGAACUUCCCGCGGUUACCGUGCAUCUUAAUUAGAGCAUUGAAAGUGCAAAUAUUCGGCUUGCAACCAGAAGUUCUCAUCUCCUCAAAAACCGCCAUUGCAGACUCAUCUUUUCCGGCCUUGGCAAAUCCCGACAAAAGAGUGGUAUAGGUAAAAACAUCAGGCUUAAUCCCUUUUCCCUCCAUCUGUGUUUUCAAGUCCAUUGCUUCCUGCAACAGACCAUCCCUAGCAUAAGCGGAAAUCAACGAAUUAUAAGUCACAGUGCUAGGGGCAAACCCAUUAAGCUCCAUCUCUUUUAAAACCUCCAUAGCUUCCUUCGGACGCCGAGACUUACCAUAAACAUCCAACAAUGCAUUGUAAGUAACAUUAUCUGGAGUAAAACCAGCCAAUUUCAUUUCAUCGAAAACCGAAGCCGCUUCCUCAUGCAAAGACCCUCGACGACAGCUACUUAUAAGCGUAUUAUAAGUAUAAGCAUCAGGGGCAAUUCCAUCACUUUUCAUUCCAUCAAAAAGAGCCAUGACCUUACUCCAAGGCAUGCCCAUUUUACCAUACACAUUCAAAACCACAUUAUAAGUUAUCAAAGUAGGUUUACAACCCUCUUCCUCCAUUUUCUUAAAAACCACCAUGGCUUCCCUAUACCUCCCACUACCAGCAUAAGCAGUUAUCAAUGAAGUAUAAGCAUAAACAUCAAGACUAAACCCUUCUUUGUGCAAACCAUUAAACAAAUUAGCUGCAACAGAAACCCUCCCCUCUUUCCCUAACAUACUAAUAAUAAUAGCAACAACAGAGCUAUUCAACACCAAUCCACAAUCAUUUCUAGCUCUAACCCAAUUGAAAACACCCAAAGCCAAGUUAGAUUUCUUGUAAAAACCCAAAGCUUUAACAAUUCCCACCACUUCCGCAGCCAAAAAAUCAGCUUUCACAUCUGGGUUUUCUUGGUAUUGCUCAAACAACUUACUCAAAACAACAUCAAGUUGAUUAGAAUCAAAAGAAGGUUCAAUUAAGGAAUUAAGAACCUGCUGACCUUGAGCAGAGAGGUUGUUAUGAGUCCAACGCUUCCCACGGUUGACGUCACGUGACCGGCCGAGACGGUUCCGGGUCCGGACUUGUGGGUCGAUGGGUUGUUGGGACUUAGAAUUAUGUCGAAGAAGGAGGUCUUGAAAGACUGGAGUCGAGGGAGCAGGUGAAUUGGGUUGUGAAGUUGGGUUUUGUUGAGUGAAGUGAGUUUGGUUUGAUAAUGGGGUUUUAACAGGUGGGGGAUUUGGAAGGAGAAGAGGGAGAGCAAGCCUCUCUGCCAUUAAAGAGAGGAUAAGAAAGUUGCAGCCUUUGUAUCUAUGGUUGAGUUAGAAACAGAGAGGGAGAAAAAGAAAAGGGUAAUUGAUAAUUUUAGUGCGCUUUCGUUAUUACUUGCAGAGUCCACAACUUUUUUUUUUAGAAGUCUAAGGCUUAAAGGGGGACAUGACAAAGAUAUGCGGAGGAUAUUUUAGGAGGUAAAAGGGAGAUUAUAUUCUUCUGUGGUUAAGAAUGAACUAUUGAAAUACUAUGACCAAUAAAAGGUUGCCACGUAAACUCUGAAAGCGGACUCUUAAGUCAAAAUUGGUGACGUUUGCCCUCUUCAAAAUUAGUUCGAUUAGACAAAUUAUACUUAUUUAAACAUUUUCUCUUUUAUUUUUAUAUAAAAAUUAAUUUAAAGUGAAGCUUAAUAUUAUUAUAUUAAUAAUAUUUUUUAUUUUAAAAAAUAUUUAAAAUUAAUAAAAUAUUUAUAAUUUUCAAUAUUAUUAAUCAUACUUAUUUAAUUAUCUAUUUCUAAUCAUAUUAAUAACUUAUUAUUUUAAUAAUUUAUUUAAUAAUUUAAUUUUAUUUUAAAAAUAAAUUUGAAAAAUAAUAAUUUUAAAUAAUAUUCUUCAUAUAGUAUUGAAAAAUAUUCAAUGUUAAUAUUUUAAUAAUAAAUAUUUAUUACAAUUAUAAAUAUAUUACAGAUAAAUAUUUUGUAGUAUAAAUGUUAAAAUAUGUCAUAAAUAUAUAUACUCCUCACAAAUUUGAAAUUUAGUCCCUAUUCUUUUAUUUUCAAGAAUUUAAUCAUUCUACUGUUCAUAUUUAAAAAUCAAGUCCAAUUGUUAACAUUGUUAAAUUUUUUUUGUCAAUUUUGUUGAUGUCAAUUUUUAAAUAAAAAAUACUUGAUAUUCAUGUAACUAAAAGAUGACGUUACAAUUAACAUGAAUUUAACAAAAUAUUUUUAAUAAUGCUAUCAGAUGAACCUUAAUUUUGAUAUAUAAAAGGUAGGACUAACCCAAAAAUAAAAGCACAUGGACUAAAUUUCAAAUUUACGAAAAGUACAAUGACUUAUGACAUAUUUUAACCUAGUAUAAAAAUAUGAAUAUUUUAAUUAUAUAAAUUUGAAUAUUUGUUUAAGUAAUGUUUAGCUUCAUUUAUCCUUUACAACUCUAAUGUGUCAAUAUCUAUUCUCACAUAUCUAAUAUAUAUAAUUAAAAUUAAGUUUUAAUUAAGCAUUAUUUAUUAUUAAGUUUAUAUAUGACACUGAUUAUUACAAAAUAUUUUCUUAUUAUAAAAUAAAUUUCAAUUGUUAAAAGGAAAUUGCACUGUAAUAUUUUAUAACAAAUAUAUUUAUGUCAUGUUUGUUUUACAAAGAACAAUGUAAAAUAUAAAUUUAUAGAUAUAAAAUAAACUCAAUUAAACAAUGAAAAUAUAAGAAAAUCUCAUAUGUAUGUUUGUUUCAUUGAAAACAACUUUUAUGAAAUAUUUAUAGUAAAUCUGUCAAAUAACAGAAAAUAUUAAUUUUUCAAAAAAGUAAGUCAUUUUCCAGAAAUCAUUUUUCGGAAGUCAUUUUCAGUGAAACAAAUGGAACCUAAACUUGAAAAUCGUAAGUUAACUUGAUAUUUUUUUAGGCACCUAAUACUAUUAAAAUAUACUGACAUAACACUGACGAUCAAUUGGAUGGUGACACGUGAUAACCUCACAUUUUUUAUUAUAAAUAUUAUAUUUUUUUAUUUUGCCACGUGUCAAAAUAUAAGGCUAUCACGUGUCACCAUUCUAUUAGUAGUCAACGUCACAUCAGCGUAUUUUAAUGAUGUUAGUCAAGUAGCUAAAAAAACACAAAGUUGACUUAUAAUUUUUAAGUUUAGGUACCAGUCAGGGCCAAAAUUAAACUAUGUAAUUGAUAUUUAUGUCAUUAUUGUUGUUUAUUUGUGUAACUAAGAAUUGAUGACUUUAUUGUUUCAACCACUAAUUCGGUUUCCAAAAAACAUUGAUUCAAAGGAAACUAACCUAAACCGAACUAUAUAAUUGAUGUUUAUGCCAUUAUUAUAUAUGUGUUUAUAAUAACUAGAAUCGAUAACUUAACCGUUUCAACCACCUCUUCCAACUUCUAAAAAAAACAUUGGUAAAUGGAAGUUAGAUUAUUUUCAAAUCUUCAAGCUUUAUAAGUUAUUGAAUCGAGUGAUAAAAUACUUAUUAAUUCAUAAAAAGUUGAUGAAUCGUUUGAAAAGAAAGAAAAAGAAAAAGAAAAACCAAUGCUAAAAAAUGCUUGUUUCUUAUUUAGAAGUCCAAUUCAACUCAAGUUGUGUUUAGUAUUACUUUUAAGAAGUAUUUUUGAGAAAAAAAUACUUUUGAGAUAAAAACAUUAUUAAAUAAAAUGCUAAAUUGACCCGCAAUCGAUACCUGUGGGNNNNNNNNNNNNNNNNNNNNNNNNNNNNNNNNNNNNNNNNNNNNNNNNNNNNNNNNNNNNNNNNNNNNNNNNNNNNNNNNNNNNNNNNNNNNNNNNNNNNNNNNNNNNNNNNNNNNNNNNNNNNNNNNNNNNNNNNNNNNNNNNNNNNNNNNNNNNNNNNNNNNNNNNNNNNNNNNNNNNNNNNNNNNNNNNNNNNNNNNNNNNNNNNNNNNNNNNNNNNNNNNNNNNNNNNNNNNNNNNNNNNNNNNNNNNNNNNNNNNNNNNNNNNNNNNNNNNNNNNNNNNNNNNNNNNNNNNNNNNNNNNNNNNNNNNNNNNNNNNNNNNNNNNNNNNNNNNNNNNNNNNNNNNNNNNNNNNNNNNNNNNNNNNNNNNNNNNNNNNNNNNNNNNNNNNNNNNNNNNNNNNNNNNNNNNNNNNNNNNNNNNNNNNNNNNNNNNNNNNNNNNNNNNNNNNNNNNNNNNNNNNNNNNNNNNNNNNNNNNNNNNNNNNNNNNNNNNNNNNAAUAUAUCUUAAAUUUUAUUUUAUUGUAAUUUUAUAUGAAUUGAUUAUAAUUUUAAUUGACCGAAUAUAUAUCCUUUAUUAUUUAUAUUAUAUUUGUACUUGUAAUUUUUUUAAAAAUUUAAAUUAAACAUGCCCUUUUUUUAAAAAUGUAAAUAUAAAUAUUUGUUUAUAUUAUAAUGUGUUUAUAAUAAGAGUCAGAUUAUAUAUAUAUAUAUUUGUAAUAGAGUCAGAUUAUAUUUUACAUCUUCUGUUCGAAAAAAUUGGAAAAUUAAUCAACAGAUAAAAAUUAAAUCUAUUCUUAUUAUUAAAAAUUAUUUAAUUUCUGAAAAAAUUCUUAUAGGUAACCUUUUAGAUCUUUUUUAGCUGUGUUUAUUAAAAAAAAUAAAAAAAUAUAAAAGUAGUUUUUUUAGAGUAAAUGUAAAACUUUAAAAUAAUUGUAAUAUGUAAAAUUAAAAAUAUUAAACUAUUUACAACCGUCGGAUUAAAAAUGAUAUAUUUUUGAAUGAUGAUGAAGAUCGAUUCCUGAUGUAUAUAAAUACUGCCUUCUAUUCCCUUCAGUCUUCGCUUCACCCACUUUCUCAUUUCACACGGGUUGUGGCGUAGUUUAAGCAGAGAGGGUGCGCAGGAUAAAGCUAUUCACCAUUGUUUCAACAUGAAGGUUUGUAAUAAAAAUUUGUUUCUAUCAGCAUUGCUUUGCAUUGCUGUUGCAGGAGUUUUGGGUCAAGCUCCUAGUAAUCCUCCUACGUCUACGCCGGCGCCACCCACACCACCGGCUUCUACUCCUCCUCCGACGACUCAAGCACCGCCUACACCAACCGCCACUCCGCCACCGGUUUCUACUCCUCCUCCCACUUCAUCACCGCCCCCAGUGACAGCUUCUCCACCCCCAGUUUCAACUCCUCCACCCAGUUCUCCUCCUCCUGCAACUCCACCACCUGCUUCUCCUCCUCCUGCAACUCCACCUCCAGCUUCUCCACCUCCUGCCACUCCUCCACCAGCUUCUCCACCUCCCGCCACUCCACCACCUGCAACCCCACCGCCAGCAACUCCUCCUCCUGCUACCCCACCACCAGCUCCAUUGGCUUCUCCUCCAGCCACAGUCCCAGCUAUCUCUCCAGUACAAACACCAUUGACAUCGCCACCAGCUCCGCCGACCGAGGCCCCAGCACCUACCCUCGGGGCUGCUACGCCAGGUCCAGCUGGAACUGACACGGUACAUUUUCUCUUAUUCCACCAUUUUAUAUCCUUCUUCUCCACCUACGAUCAAGCUUUAUUAUCGGUUGAAAUUUAAGCCUUUACAGCAAGACUUAAAAUAUAAUUUUAUUAAUGGUUUUAUAAUAUUAAAUUAUAAUUUUAUCAUUCUUACACAUUAAUAUAUAAUGUGAUAAAAUUUUUUACUUUGGGUACCGUGCCAACUUCCUAACGUCGCCCUUAAUCUUACAUAAACAACGAUCUGAGCUUGUCUCGAUAUUAGCUAACCCUUAAGCCAUUAGAGAUGGCUAUUGGUUCCGUCUCGACAUACCUUCAACAUAAUCUGAUUUAAAAUUAAAUACUUAUAUCUAUUUUUUAACACAAUAUUUAAAAUUAUCUAUAAUUUCUUCUCAACUUAUAAUUAAAAUAACAAUACUUCAGCGUAUUCAAAUUUACGUACCUAUGUUAAUCUAAUUUGACAAUAAUAUUUAUGUUAAUUGAAUUAAAGCUUGAGAUAUUAAAUUUAAUUAAGACUCAACAUUGACGACAGUACGAUUCAACGUAUUAGAUUUAAUUAAUGUUGAUUUUGAACCUAUUAUUGCAGAGUGGAGCAAAUCAAAUGUGGACCGUACAAAAGAUGAUGGGAAGCUUAGCCAUGGGAUGGGCUCUGCUCAAUCUGAUGGUUUAAAACAAAAGAGUGCCUCACAUUUGAUGCAAUAGCUCUGUAAUGUUUCAUUCAUUUGCUUAUUUCGGCCUUGUUUUUCUCGUAUUCUAUGGGCUGAUGUCUCAUAUGGGACUUUUCUACUAGAGAGCCUACGUUACUUUACCAUUAUAUUGUAUUCUUUGAGACAUUAUUAUUAUUUUUUUACCUUUUGAGGACACUCUUUUUUUGUAUUUGAAGGAAUUUAUUGUUUAUUUUGUUUGGAAUAUGUUUGGUUGGAUUUAUUCGAUUCAUAUAUAUUAUAUAAAAGUAAUUAUGUUAUUAAGAAACGUAGUAAGAACUUACAAAUAUAAGGAUCGAAUCCCGAACUUCAUGCAAAUCAAUUUACAACCCACACAAGUUUAACAUUAAAUUAACGUGAUUGGUUAGUAAAUUCAUGUUUCUCUGUUUAAUUUGUUGAAUUCUUAUCAACUUUUUCAAUUAACAACAUGGAUCACAUCGACUGAUUGAAUCAGUUAUCUAAUCAAUUGAAUUAGUUAUCUGUUGUAAACUUGUGAAAAGAUAAUAAAAAAUUUAAAAAUUGAUAAUUGAAUUCACGAUCUGAACAAUUAAAUUAAAAAUGCAACAUCUUAUAACAUUGGGAGGAAGGGAAAACUGAUUUCUUAAGCAACUUAGGAUUGGAAGUGUAAUUAUAAUGUGAAUUACUUACGGUAGAAAAAGUGUGUCCAAAAUUGGAGAGCAUGCAUGUGGAAAGAAAUGAUUAAGAAUGAUAAUGACUUUAGUUGGUUAUAGUCAUAAAGACUUAUAGAUGAAGUUAAACCAUUAGGUCCACCAUUUAUGGGUUCCCUUUAUUUGCUUUGGAGUAGCUUUGAGAGUUGAGAUCCAUGGGAUGUGAGAAGUAGACUUUGAUUCAUUGGGAACUAGCUACAUUUUUCUUAGUCCUACCAUCAAUCCUAUUAGUGAUUAAAUUAUUAGUGGUAGCUAAUCCAAUAUAAUUAUUUAAUUAAUUAAAAUUUUAUAAAUAAUUUAUUUCUUAUCUCAACUUUUAAUUUUUUUAUAUAUUAAUUAAUUUUUUAUCUAGGUAAUUGGUUCGAAUAACACCAUAUAUUAUGAAUGAAUGUGUGGGGAUAGUUUGUUUUGUUGUUUUGUGAGAACUCAUGCUCUUGCACUUUUAAAGGACAAUCUCUAUAAACCGUAUUGGCUGUUGUGCUUUGGCCAAAUGGGUUGCUAACUAUCAUAUUAUUUUCAGUAAAAUCUAAUUGAAAGCCUUUCUCUUUUACGAUAGAAGUGCAUAUGUAAGAGUGUGUGUACCCUGAGUCUAUCAAUGCAUGCACACAAGAGUCAAGUAAAGAGAAAGUAUCAAUAAUAACGUCAGGUACAUCCUGCUCCUCUUGUGGCUUAAUACAAUAGCAUCGUUCUGGUACCAGAGUACUUGAUUUAAUCGGAAUCUCUUUCUUAGCUCUCUGACUACUCCCAGCAUUGCCAUUCCUAAUAAACUUUCUAUUUCUUUGAGAAGUGGGGGCAGAUCUCUCUGUUUGUGUAGGGUUACUGGCUAUCUUCUUAGCACAAUCUUUGAAGAGGUGAUCUUUGGAGCCACACCCAAAGCAUGCUCCUGUAACUCUCCAACACUCCCCAGAGUGGCUAUUGUUGCAGUGCUCACAAAUCAACUGAGAUGAUCUUCUCACUAACCUUCCUGUACUGGCCACAGAUGUCACCUGCUGUACGGACCUAGCUACUCAACCCUGACUCAGCCUCUGACCAUGCCUUUGAGUGUGAAUUGGUGUAGAAUAUGAUUGACCCUGAGAAUCCCUAGCCUUUUGGUAGCUGGAAAUGAUGCAUAACUAGUCUGUCCCUGACCUCGCUUAAUCUGGCUCCAAUUCUUUCUUUUCUGCUCUUCUUGCUUAACUUGCUCUACUUUCAAAGCUCUCUCCACUAAGGUAGAAAACUCUUGAAUAUUCAAAGCUGCAAGGGGUACCCUAAUCCCAUUAUUGAGGCCACGCUCAAAUCUUGCGCACUUAUCUGCUUCUAUAGAUACCAAUUCUUUGGCAUACCAGCUGAGUCGUAUAAACUCUCUCUCAUACUCAACAACAGUCAUAUCAUUCUGCUGAAGAUACAAAAACUCUGCCCUCCUCUUUUCUAAAUAGAUAGCACCAAUGUACUUUUUCUUGAAUUUAGCUAAGAAAAACUCCCAAAUCAAUAAUUCAUUAUUUGACAUUUUGAAACUAAUAAAAAAAAUUCCCCCUUUAUUUCAAAAACAAAAUAAAUCAUGUGACAAAAAAAUUUAAUGAUAUUAAUACAUUUUAAAAUUCACGUCAACAUUUUAACUAGAAUAAAAUAUUUAGUAUAAUUAAUAAUAUUAUAAAAGUUGAACUAACAAAUUAUAUAAAAAAGUAAAGUAUAAAAAUUUAAAUUUAAAUUUAAUCAUUAUUAUACAAUCUCAAAUAUAUAAACGGAUGAUAAUUGAAAAUUAAUUAUUAUUUUAAUGUAAAUAAAAUUUUAUUUUAUUUUUCUCCCUAAGCUAUUAAUCAUAACUUCUAAUUUGUCUGGAAUGAAAUGAAAUUUUAUUUUAGCCAUGGAGGCAGGGAACACGGUCAAGGAACAAGGUACAAAUGGUACACAAAACGUUGAGGUUCACUAGGGCUGUUGGCUAUGGCGGGACUUAGGGAUCAUGGACAAAUUACAAGAAACGAGGCUAAUUGUAUUUUGUCUCUUUAAUUUAAAAAAUGAGUAAAUUAGUCUUUAUAUAUUAAAUUAAAUAGUAAAUUAAUCAAUCUAUUAAAAUUUUUAUCUAUUUUUAUUGUUAAAAACUAAUUCCUAUAUGUUAGCAUGAAAUACACACGGUUAUUCCGUCAACCACAACCGAUUUUUAAUAGUAGAAGUGAUGAAAUUUUUAACAGUUUGCUCUUUGAUCUUACAUAUAGAGAUUACUUUAUCCAUUUUUUAAGUAAAGAGAAUAAAAUACAAUUUGACUCAUAAUAUAGGGACUUCCAUAAUACUUUUACCCUCCGCACCGAUAAGGUUUAUAAAAUAUUCAUGAAACCCGGGGAAAAUGAAACAUUAAGAGAAGAUAUACUUCAAUACAACUAUGCAAAUAAUCUUGGCCAUUCACAGAUUGAAAAAACAAUGAAAUUCCAAACGCUUCAUUCAAAGAGACAAUUCAAGAAAUAUGUGACUGAUGAAAAAAACUAUAUUUUGUAUUUACAUUUUACUUUCACCAGCACUAUGAAACUGCAACCAUACAGCAAUCAUUUAACACAUUUUACAGCAGGCGAGGCAAUAAAACUAGUUAAUUCCACCUCAUUUACCAUGCCUUGUAUUCAAAAAAAAUUCUCACAGAGGAUCACAAAUCCAUAAAUAUUUGGAAACCUGUGAAUGAAGAUGCUCAAAUUUGAGAUUAAUAGGCUUAAAGUAACGUAUGAAAAAUGAUUUGUACCUUGUAACUUCUGAGGGGUUUUACUCAAAUGCAGUAGCUACCAAUAUGAACCAUUGCCAACAUGUGAUGAUUCUAUCUAUGGUUUAUCAUACAUCCGUUCUCCGAAUCAUGAUGUCAGUGCCGCCAUUCUGCGCUUCUUCUAAAGGUGGAUUGCGUUCUCUCCCCUUUCAUCCUGAGGGAAUUCACAGGUUUCAGUGAUGGAUAAAUCACUUGGGGGGAUAAAACAAUCAACAGAAAGGCCUGGUAUGUUAAAGGCAACCUCUUCGAUCGUCCAAGUUUCUUCCAUCUUUGUUUUCGUAUGGUUCAUUGCAACUUCUCCAAACCUGAAAAGUGUAACGACGGUAUGUCCAGAAUGUGCUAUCACGAUACCUUCGACAGGAUGGUAAUCUUCGAGAAAUGUAUUGAUUGUAGUUUGCCAAUAAACCGUAUCACCGCCAGUAGAUUGAACGCGAGUUAAAUGUGAAUCUUCCAUUUGAACAAGUAGUCCAGUCUUCUGACUGAAGUAGCCAAAUAAAACAUGCCUUAUGAUCUCUGCAGGGCCUUCACUUCUUGCCUUGAGUGUCCGAGGACCGGCACAUAGCUUGAGGAUGAAGCAAUCUUCACCAUUAAUAUUUUUUUCUCCUAUGCAUCUUGCAUUAGCAAACAUGAUAGCUGUAGUUCUAGGGUCAAGACCCUAAAGCAGGAAUAUCAGAAAACUGAGAAGCAGCCAACGAUCAACAAUCGAAUAAAGGGAGGAAAUUUCUCACCUGAAGUGCACGACGCAAGGGUCUAACCGGCCCCUUUGCGGUGUGUGCACCAAGCCAAGGUGUAUACCUCCAUACAAGGUUCCCAUUACAACCAGCAUGAACCUUGCAGCCACUGACCGCAAGUUCGACAUACCACAUGUCCGGAUUCAUUUGCCAGAGUACAAACCAACCGGACUCGGCACCUCUAGAGACAUUACAGCUCUUAACAAUUCUCGUGGCGGUUUCGUAUUCACAAGCUAUCAUUUUGAGCUUUCCCAUUGCAUACGCAUUCUUAAUGGAGCUUUGUAACUUUUGAACCCCAGUGGCAGCUAUAUACUGCUGCAAUAUGUAGUGAGCAGAGGAAGUUUCCUGCACACCAUACCGCAAUCAAUGGAAAAAGAAUAGAAAAAAGAAAAAUUAAUAAUGGGAAAAGUGACAGCAUUUUAGCACUUGAAAUACAGCAAGGAAUAAACCCUAAUAAUGAUCCCUGCAGCCGUUAAAACCCUGUUUUUGCGCCUGAAAUUCUAAGUUCUAACAAUAUCUUUUGUAUCCAUCUGUUUGGAACCCAAGAAAAUUGUAUAUUUCUACAUGAUUUUUUGCAUUAAACAGGUAAUUAAAAAGAGAAAGAAUAAAAGGAGGACUAACAAUGGAAGUAUCUUUGAUGCUCAAGUGAGACAAAGGAUCAUUGGAGCUAACAUGAAUUGGAGCUAAAGGGGCGCCCAUGAUUCCAAGCAACAGCCUUAGAUUAGACCUUCUGUGGUUCGUGGAAGUACAAAACUGUCCUUUAACCCAUUGUCCUGUCACCGACCCAACCCACUUCGGAUCCCCGGAUUUCCCUCGGUCCGGCUCCGGACCUUCCAUGAGAGGAGAUAACGCUUCACCGACUGGCCUUACAGUCCCGGAUCUCGCCAUCAACGGUUCCGGUUUCACCACGUGAGCACCGCCAUGGUGGUUGUCUUUGUUUCCACGUAACGUAGUGGACAUGAGUGAAAGGGGUCUUGCAGGGCUGUUGGACCGCGAGCGGGAAGGUGAAAGCCCGCGAACUAUAUCUUCUUUGAGAGCUGAGAGAAAACCUUGCUUUUUCUCCAUUACUGGCCUGGUUCUUUUUCCUUUCCUUAAAAAAUUCAAAAUAAAUAAGUUUCCUUCUCUGAUUUGGAGCUGAAUAAAAAAAAAAGAAAACCAGAGACAAGAAAAAGGGCGAAAGUAUUAGAGAGGAGAAGGUGAGUGCCCAAGUUCCUUCAUGAUUAUGGAGAGAGUAAGAAGUGAGAACCCGAGAGCAGAAAUAUAUGCAUGUAUGCAUAAUAUUUAUCUUCUUUAUUUCAAAAAUUAGUAAAUUAGGCAUUAUUCACUAAAUUAGUAAAUUAAAAUUAGUAAAACUUACGUGUCACUGUUUAGUUAUUUUAUUAGUUAUAUCAAUUUUAAUAAUAAAAAUUGAUAAAAUUCUUAACAAAAAUGAUCAAUUCACUAUUUGAUCUAAUAUACCGAGACUAAUUUUUUCCUAUUUUUAAAUAGAGAGAGUAAAAUGCAAUUAAACACUAGUACAGUAGCCUAGAACCAACAAGUGUUGGUGCAGUGGUAAGGCAUACUGCAUUUUCAGAUAAAGAAAUUGGAUUCAAACAUUAGAUAUGAUAUUAUUGAAAAAAUCAAUCACAAAUUCAGGAAAGACUAACUUUCAUGAACCAUGAAACCGACCUAAUGAUAUCUCAACAAAACGACUAGUUUAAUUAUAAUAUGAAUUAUUGAUGCUAAUUUAUGUUGCACCGUGAGCGAAAAAUGUAAUAUUAAAAUCAUAUUUAUAUAAAAACUAAUCAACAAUUGAGUUAUUGUUAAAAUAGUAAAGUAUUUAUGAUUAAAUUUUAUUUAAAUAUUUCACAUAAAAUAAUUAAAAAAAUAUUAUUCUAAAUAUUCAAUCUUUUAUUAAAUAAAGACUUCUAAGCAAUUUAUUUGAUUAAAUUGGUAUACAUUAUAUAUAAUAUAAAUACCAAAUUUCAUAUAAAUAUAUAAUACAAAUAAUAAUUAGAAAUGAGAAUUUAUACGGAUUAGGUGAGCCACUUUUUUUCCUAUUACGUUUAUAGAUUUAUAUAUAAUAAAUUUUAUAUGUAUUAUUUAAUUCUUAUUUUGCACUUAUAAAAUGAGAUAAUUAGUCGAUUGAGUAUUAGCUUAACUGAUAUGAACAUUAUUACCAGUGUAAGAGGACGCGAGUUCGAAUGCGCUGAAAUGUAUUGUCCUCCUAUUUAUAUGUUAAAAAAGAACUUUGAGUAAUUUUAAACAUUAGUUUAUGUUAAAAAGAAGAUACAAUAAAAAUACAAAAUAAUUAAAUAAUAAUAAUAUGGCAGAACAAAUUGGGAAAUCCAAAGCAGAGUGUGAACAAAUUAUAUAGGAAUGGUAUUGAAAACUUAGUCGUAAAAUUAAAGCAAUAUCAUGACAUUGGUUAUCUUAGAUUUGGAACUUGUUGCUCUUACCAAACAAAUCCUUUGUCCAAUCAACAAAUUUCGUGAUGUCAUGAUGUGACUAAAUUAAACUAAAUUCGAUGUUUUUUAAGUAAAGUCUCGUUUUUAAGUUAUGUGGAUCUAAAAAAAAUUAUUUAGGAGAAUUUUAUUUCGAUUUAGGAAUUUAAUUUUUACAUUUAAUCGAGACUUAAUAUAAAGUUAUAGUAUUUGGGAGGUUCAUAUAUUAUAGGGAUUGGAUUAAAUUAGUAUCUCUAUUGUUAAAUGAAUUAAUUUAGUCCAUAUACUAUUAAAAAUAAUUAAAUAAGCCUAAAUUGUACCAAAAUUAACAUUUAUUGUAUAAUAAAUGUCUUAAUUUUUUUUUCAAUCACACUUCAAUUUUAAAUAAAAGAUUUAAUUUAUAGAUCCAUAAAAAGUUUAAAAUUAUUACUCUAUUAGACAAUAAAUGAUAUUUUUUAAACAAUAAAUGUUAACUCUGUUCCGGUUUAGCCUUAUUAGAUUCUUUUUAAUGGCAUAGGGAUUAAAUUGAUCCAUUUAAUAGUAAAAGAACUAAUUUGAUUAAGUUCCUAUAAUAGAGGUCUGAAUUUUGGAAUUAUUAUCGUUAGAAGAGUCUUACCUGAAUAGCACCCUCGGCCUAAAUAAGGUUAAGCUUAGAUUGUAAAACGAACGAAGGCACCCGUAAUUAUAAGAAAAAAAGUUCAUUGUAUAAAUAUAAUUAUAACGGCUAAAUCAAAUUAAUCCAUUUGUUAUUAAAUGGAUCAAUUUAGUCCUUAUACUAUUUAAAAGAAUCAAAUAAAUCUAAAUUACAACAGAGUUAACAUUUACUGUAUAAAAAUGUCUUGAAUUUUUUUUUCAACUACAAUUUAAUUCCAAAACCAAAAAUUUAAUUUACAAAACCAUGAAAACUUUAAAAUGUUAACUUUGUUUCAAUUUAACCGUAUUUAAUUCUUUUUAACAGUACCGAAAUUAAACUGAUCCGUUUAAUAAUAGAGGGACUAAUUUGAUCACAUCUAUAUUCACCUAUAAAAUUCUAACCCUUUUCAUUAAAUUGUAUUUGUACUCUUUUCGUAAAUAUGUUGAAUGCGUAGAUGGUGAAUGUAACAUUCCAUCCUCUACUUAUCUUUAAAUUCACAACACGUUAUAAUAAACACAUCUCACCUUUCACUUUUUUUUCUUAAAAUUACUUUGCAACAACUUGUUUUACUGCAAAUUAUGUCAUUGAUUAUUGUUUGCAAGUAAUCAUAUUAUCAUUAUUACUUGGCUUUGCUUAAAAAAUAUAGGGUAAAUUGUUAAAAUAGUCACUUUUAUUUUUCUCAAGUUAUAUUUUAGUUAUUUACGUUAAUAUAUUGUAACAUUUUAGUCAUUGAGUCAUUAAUUGCUAUUAACGGUGUAACGGUAAGCUGAUGUGGUACAUUAAAUAAUCAUUUCAAACAAAAUUUUUAGGUUAAAUUACACAAUUAGUCCCCAUAUUUUUUUCUUUUAUGUUCUUUUAAUUUUUUUUUCUUUAUUUCCAUUAUCUUCUACUUAUCCCUCUAUUUUCCUUCCUCCUCCAUCUCUUUUAACAUAAAAUGAACAAAAUUAAAUUGCUCAAAACGAAAAAAAUAUAGGGACUAAUUGUAUAAUUUAACCUAAAAUUUCCAUUUAAAAUGAUGAUUUAACGUGCCACGUCAGCUUACCCUUACACCGUUAACGACAAUUAACGUUCGGUGACUAAAAUGUUACAACAUGAUAACGUAAGUGACUAAAACGUAACAUUUCGAACAUAAGUAACUAAAAGAUGACCGAGAGAAACAAAAACGACUAUUUCGAUAGUUUACCCAAAAAUGUAUAUUUUAUAAUUAUUUGAUGUUGUUUUUAACUCUAUCCAUAUAUUUAAAGUUUCUAACAAAAUGACACCUAUUUUUUAUAAAUGUAAUAAAAAUAUUUAACAGAAUUUUAAAUUCAAAUGCGAAUAUUUAAAAAAGAUGGUAUGAGAAUCCCGUGUGUUGGCUUGAUGGUCAGGGUGUUCACCACCCUAGGUGUGAUCUGGAUUCGAGUCGCGUUAAUUAUGUUGUUGUUAAGGAUUUGGUCUCCAAUUGUAAUUAAAAAUAAUUGCUAUAAAUUGUCACCUUUAUCUCCCUUUUUUGUUUUAGUAAAUCUUAGUUGUCCAUUAAUUUUUUGUUUUUGAUGUGGAAUUGUGGGGUAUUUUGGACGGUUUGAGUCUUCUUAUUGAGUAAGGAUAUGACAAGGUGCUUAUUCAGUCUGACGGUUUUGAGGCAAUCAUCCAGGUGAAUCCUCCAAAAGGGUCCAAUUCUUUCUUGAUUUGGAAGAUCCAUCAGAUGUUAUCCCGGUUUAGACAGUGGAACAUUAGACACAUUUCUAAAAAGGAUAAUAAAGAAGCUGACUGCUUGGUCAAAUUGGUCCAACAUAUAUCACAUAAUUUACUUUUGUUUAAGACUUUCCCGUCGGAGGGGAUAGUCUAGUUUUUGUAAUUAGUUUAGUUAUGCUAUUUUUUUCACCAAAAAAAAAUCAUGGUCAACAUCUAUUCUAUUAACGAGCCUAUAGAAUGCGGAGGAUUAAUUACUGGGCUCGCUCCGAUAGAUACUUAGAAAAAUAAAAAUGAUAAUAAUAUUUUUUUUAAUAUUCACACAUAGCUUGAAAUUGUAAUUAUUUUAUCAAAAGUGAGGUUUUUGUAUAUUUAAUAGUAAGCACAUUAUUACCCAAAUUUAUUCAUGGAUUAUAUACACAAAUAUGAAUUUUUUUUGGGAAAUUAGGUGGAUUUAUGCACCCAAAAUAAAAAUGUUUAUAGAAGAUUGAGUUAAGCUUGAAUACACAUAAAUUUUUUUAUUUGAUCCGGUUUAAAUUAAAUUUGUCCGAAUAUUGCAUAACAUGAUUAAUCUAAUCGAUCGACGUAUCUUAUUAAAAGAAAAUAUAGGUGAAUAAAAUUGUAUAUGAAUCGGUCGAGUUAAAUUUGACUACAAAUAAUUUAAUUAUUUUAUCCGAUUUAAACCAAAUUUGUUGGCAUGUUAGAUGGGAUGAUUAAUCCAAUCAAACAACGUAUCUAUUAAAAUAUAGACAAAAUAGAGGGAAAAAGAAGAGAAAAUUUAGGUGAACAAACUGAUUUUAAAUAAAAUUAUUUAUGAAUUCAUCAAAUUAAAUUCGAGUCUUGAAUCAAUUCAAAUGGAAUAUGUCGAGCUAAAUGAUUAAUCGAAUCUAUAACCGUAUCUAGUGCAGAUUAACUAAUUAAUCUAAAUAAAUUGUUUAUAGAUCGAUCGAAUUAAUAACAUCUAAAUGACUUUUUAUUUAAUCUAAUUUGCUGAAUCAUAUGCUCGUGCCUAACUAAAAUGUACUAAAAAAAAGUAGACAAUUUGAUCUGAAAAAAUUACGGAUCGAAUUAAAUUUAAGUGUGAUUCUUUUUUUUUAAUUCAAUUCAAUUUAAAAUUAUUGGAUUGGAUUAUCAACCUAACUUAUAGAUAAAUCGGUUGAAUUAAAUUCUAGUCGAAUAUAUAUAUUUAUUACAUGUGCUAAAUUUAAAACUAAGACAAAACAACAAGGGGCAAAGAUCAAUAUUUGAAUAAUUAAAAAUUUUAUUUAUAAUUAUUUAAGGAUUUUAUCAUCAAAACGAAGGGCAAGUUUCGUUUUUUUUUUUAAUGCAUGAAAAGCUUAAACAUAACAUAAAUCAAAUAAUCAAACAACACUACUUCAAGCUUUAGCAUUUUUGGCUUCCUCACCGUCUUUGGUCUUCACCGAAACAUUUUUGGACGCCCCAAUUGGUGUCGAAGUUGCUGGCGGAGGAGGAGUUGGGACACGAGCCACCUUGGAUGGCAGUGCUUGAGUGGAAGGUGAAGGGUUGUUAAUCUCUGUUGCGCUGUACGAUUCGAGAGCUAAGUUGUUAUCAAAAGACCUGAAAACAAAUUGCGAGAGCUUCCUUUGACGACGAUUGCGUAUUGAAGACAUCAUAAGAGGAAAAACAAGAAGAGAAUAAAAAGCAAAGGAGAUUUUGAUAUUUUCUUGCAAUACAUAACACAAAUGAAAAAUAUAGACAUCAAAUUUUUUUAUAUAAAAAUAAAUUUAAAAAAUAUAAUAUAUCAAAUACACCAAAUAUUUUAUUAAAAAAUAGGGUACAAAAAUUACCUUGUAAUGUUAUUCUUUUUCGAGAUUAUUUGUUUUAGUUAUUCAAUUCAUUUUUUAAUUUUAUAUCAAGUUUCUUUUCAUUCCAUUUUAACUUGUGUUCAUAUUUUUUCUUCUUCCAUAUUUUUAAUAUAUUUAUAUUAUAUUCAUGUUUUUGUUAUAAUUAUAAUCAUAUGUUAGAAUACAUAAACUUUUAUAUAACUUUCACAUGUUAAAUAUUUGGUAUCUAUUAAACUCCAUGUGUUGAUCUGAUCGUGUUCAUCGCCUCAAGUGUGGCCUAAAUUUGAGUCGUGAUAGUCAUAUUGUUAUUAGGGCUUUACUCUCUUGUAAUUUACCAAAAAAAUUAUUUGUUAUAUAUAUAUAUAUAUAUAUUUACACAUUGUGUAUGCAUGUCGUAUUUAUAUUAUUUCCAUAUUGUAUUUUACUUUUUAUAUAGUUUGUCCUAGUGAUUAAAUUAAAAGAUUAAAUUAAAAAUAAGUUUUAUGUAUAUUUGUAUUGUAUUAUAUUUGAUAUAGUUUUUCAGAAUAAUUCAAUUGUUUUAAAAAUGAUUUUUGUGUUUGCCUUAUGUUUUAAGUUAUUUGUACGGUUAAAAACCGACAUACCUAAGACAUAACUAGUUAGUGACACGUGGUGUGCCACAUGUACAUCAUACUAAUAUAUGAAAACCAGUUUUUAAGAGUAAAUAUGGAUGAAAUUUUUAACAGAAGGACUGCUUUGCUUUUUUAUCUAAUGUACAGAGACUAAUUUACCUAUUUUUUAAUAAACGGGACAAAAUGCAAUCUGACUCUUAUUAUUGGAGCCUCCAUAAUAAUUUUAUUGGGAAAUAUUUAUUUAAAAUUGGAUUUUUUGGUCCGUGGAGCUCAGGAUAAAUAUGUGGCAUAAAUAAGAAAUGUGAAAAUAAAUAAAAAUUAUAUCACGAUAUGAAUAUAUGAAUAUAAAAUAUUAAUUUAAAUAAAUAAUAUAUAUACAUACGAGUUGUAAAAAUUAAGUGUGAUGUAAUCGACGUUAUAGAAAAAAUGGGUAAAAAUACCAUAAAGGACUUAUACUAGGAGUUAAAUUGUAUUUUACUCCCUUAACUAAAAAAUGAACAAAUUAAUCUUUGCAUGUUAGAUCAACAAGCAAUUUGUAAUGACCCAAAAUUCAUGGGCAUCGGAAAAGUAUAAUAUCGGGCCUCCGUCCUAGUAAAUUGAGUCCGAAAAUAAUUAUUAGAAAUAUUUACGAGACUAGUAGUGUGUUUAAUUAGGUUUUAAUUAAGUAAAUUUAGCUUAAUUUAGAGUAAUUAGUAAAAAGGAUUAAAUUGAAUAAGAGUAAAAGUUUAAUUAUAGAUUAAAGGAAAAUAACAGGGACCAAAUGGGCAAUUAAGCCACAUUUGGAAGUUGAGGCGGCAUAACAUUGUAAAAAUCUUAGAUUUUUAUAUUAUUAUUUAUAUAAAUAUAUAAAUUAAUUAUAAAGUAUAUUAUUAAAUUAAUUACAUUAUAAAUAUUAUAUUAUUAUAUAUAAAAGAAACAAAACAGAAAAGAAACAGAAUAGAAAGAACAAAGAAACAGAAUAGAAGAGACGAAACAGGGGAGAAGCAGGGGAGAAAGAAGAAAAAGAAGAAAAAAGGGAAAAUAGGGUUUUUGAAGCUUGAAAUUUAAAUUGGUAAGUCAAAUUAGCCCUUUUCUCUUAAUUCUAAUGUUUUAAAAGCUUUAAAACAAAGUUUUGAUGGAAUUAAGUUGAUAUUUUGUAAGUUCAUAGGUUUUCAAGUAUAGUUUAUGUUGAACAAAAGAGAUGAAUUAGGGAUUAACUUGAAGGAAUUUUAAGUUAGAAUUGAAAAAGGGAUUAAAUUGUAAAAGAAACUAUAAGUUUUAUGUUUUAGGGACUAAAUUGAGGGAAAUUCGAAAUUACCAAAAUAUGCUGAAAUUUUGAUAGUUAAAUUUUAGUUUGGAUGAAAUUUGAAUAGAAAUAGAGUGUGAAUUGAAUUAGGAAAGUAAGUGAAUUUAGUUAGGAUUAAAUUGAGAAUAAGAAAGAAAUUGAAUAGAAAUUUAAUUAUUAUCAUAAUUAGUGCUGAAAUUAAUAGUAUAAAUUAUUAUCAUUUUCGUAGCUAGCAAAGAACCAGAAGCGUCGGCACGGAAGGGAAAAGAGAAGAUUAUCGAGGAGUAAACUCGAGAAAAUUACGGUUUGUAUUACUAUAAUUCAAAUUAUUUAUUUUUUUUUAUGUUAAAUUUUAAUUUAUGUGUCUAGUAAAUGAAAUGUGAGGUAAGUAUUAAUAUUAGUAUUAGUAUUAUUAUUAGUAUUAUUAUUAUGAGUGGGAAUUAAAUUGAAUAGUUGAUAUGAAAUAAUAUUUGAAUUGUUUGUUGAUUGAAAGCGGGAAAUGAAUUUAAAUCGAAUAGUGACCGAUAUUAAAUUGAAUGGAAAUGUAUUGAGUUGUGAAAGUAUGUUAAUUGCGGAUUAAUUAUUGAUUGAAAGGUGGAAAAAUGAUUGAAUUGAAAGUGUGAAAAAGUGUGAUUGAAUUGAGAAUAUAUGUGAUUUAAAUACCCUAUUAACUAGUCGGGCUGAGUCGGAUAUAGUUGGCAUGCCAUAGGAUUGGAAGAGUUCAGGGAUACUUCGACCUCGAGUCGAUGAGACACUGGGUGUCACUAUAUUUCUUCGGAUAGAUUCGAUGAGGUACUGGGUACCAACUUUCUUCGGCUUUGCCGAUGAGACACUGGGUGUCAACUAUUGCUUCGAACUAUCCGAUGAGGCACUGGGUGCCAUUCUGGUGUGUUUGGUUGGAUCCGUGUAUCCGCCAAAGUCCGAGUUUUGUUAAUAGGGUAAAUGAUGAAAUGAUAAACCGAACGAGUUGGUCAAACGAGCUAUUGAAAUGAUAUGAAAAAGUUGAAUUGUGAAUUGAAAUGUGAAAUGAGAUUGAGAAAUGAACCUAAGGUUCGUGAAUUAUUCAAACUCAAAUUGUGGAUAUACGAUAUUGGUUGAUGAAUUGCUAUUGUUGAAAUAUUUAAUUUAAAUUGUAUAUACGAUUUAUGCAUUACAUGUACAUUAUUGUUAUAAUUUGAAUUAUGGUAAUACCACUGAGUAUGAAUUACUCAGCGUACGGUUGUUUCCGUGCGCAGGUCAAUAGAAGUCAAAGGUCCCGGUUCAGCAUCCAGAUUAAUCCCGGCUUCGGCAAAACUUGGUGAUGUAUUUUUCCUUUGGUAAAGGUGGCAUGUACAUAGAUUGUGUAUAAAGGUUAUUAUGUUUUAUUAUAUAAUGGUUAAAAAUGUUAGUAUUAAAAGUUUAUGGAUUUUAAUGAAAGAAGUCUAUCUAUUUUAUCUAAUUAGUACAUUGUUAAAUUUUAAAUUGGUAUUGUGUAGAUUGAGUUUGAUUAGAAGUAUUUAGAAUAGAAAAUGUGAAUGUGAAAUGAAUUGGUUGAAUUGAUGAUAUUUGGGAACUAUAUGGUUUUAAUUUGCAGGGGGUUUUAUGUAAAAAUAAGCAGAAAUGCUGCCGAGAUUUUUAUAAAAAAAAAAUGAAGUCAUUUGGUAAACAAAUUAAUAAAUUUUAUGAAUUAUUUUAAUAUAUUGGUUAUUUAUUUAAGAAUUGUUGUAAAUCGUUCGAUACGUCCGGUAAUGCCUCGUAAUUCUGUUCCGGUGACGGUUCGGGGUUAAGGGGUGUUACAUUUUAUGGUAUCAGAGCUAUCAGGUUUAGCCGAUUCUCGGCCUAAAUCGAGCUCGGAAUUGAGUCUAGAUGUACAUGCCACUGUCGAGUUAAACUGAGUCGGGAUUUUUGGAUGCUGACCUAUUUGUUUGUUUUGUUUUAUAGAUUAAAGAUGUCUGAAGAAAGAAUAAAUGAUACUGAUGAAAGAAUGUAUAGUGAAGAUAGAGAAUUAGAUGAAACAGAAUCUGUUGCACCGAGUGUGAAUCCGUUAGGCAACCAACCUUCUAAUGUAGAACGAGAAAAUGUCAGAGAUAGAGAUGAAUCCCAAUUACUGAGAAUUAUAGCUGAUGCAUUACAAAGAGUAGCAGGAACUACUCCUGUUACGACUUCAGUACCUACUGUUAGACGGGCUCCGAUAAAGGAACUGAGGAAAUAUGGUGCCACUGAAUUUAUGGGUCUAAAAGGAGUUGAUCCAUCCAUAGCUGAAAAUUGGAUGGAGUCGACUAAAAGAAUUUUGCAGCAAUUGGAUUGUACCCCCCGAGAGUGUUUAAUCUGUGCCGUAUCGUUAUUACAAGGGGAGGCUUAUCUAUGGUGGGAAUCAGUGGUUCGACAUUUACCAGAGAGUCAGAUAACGUGGGAUCUAUUUCAGAAGGAGUUUCAAAAGAAAUAUAUCGGAGAGAUGUAUAUUGAAGACAAGAAACAAGAGUUUUUGUUGCUACAACAGGGUGAUAUGUCAGUAAUAGAUUAUGAGAGGGAAUUCUCGAGACUCAGUAGAUAUGCCUCUGAGUUUAUUCCGACAGAAGCCGAUAGUUGUAAAAGAUUUUUACGGGGUUUACGAGACGAGAUCAAAGUGCAGCUAGUAUCCCAUCGGAUCACUGAGUUAGUAGAUUUGAUUGAACGAGCUAAAAUGGUGGAACAAGUUCUGGGCCUCGACAAAAAGACUGAAGUUGUUAGACCAACCGGGAAGCGUACAGGAACUACCAGUUCGAAUCCUCAGCCGAAAAGACCAAAGGAAUUCCAAAGUGGUUGGAGAUCCAGUUUCAGGUCAGACAGAGGUGGUAGAAGUAGGGGAAAACAGACGAUGACAUCUACUGGCAGUGUGAGAGGUCCUUCCCGAGAAAUAGAUAUUCCAGACUGCCAACACUGCGGAAAGAAACACAGAGGGGAAUGUUGGAAAUUAACUAGAGGCUGUUUUCGAUGUGGUUCUACAGACCAUUUCAUCAGAGACUGUCCGAAAGUUGAUAGUACUGUACCCGUGACAUCACAGAGAUCGGUAUCUACAGCUAGAAGCAGAGGGUUAGGAAGAGGUGGUUCGGUUUCAAGGGGAGGAAGUAUUAGGAGAAGCAAUGAUAUUGCUACUCAGCAGUCUGAGGCUAAAGUACCUGCCAGAGCUUAUGUGGUCAGAACACGGGAAGAAGGUGACGCCCACGAUGUAGUAACAGGUAUAUUCUUACUAUAUUCUGAGCCUGUUUAUGCUUUAAUUGAUCCCGGAUCUUCACAUUCUUAUAUAAAUUCAAAAUUAGUUGAAUUGGGAAAAUUUAAUUCUGAAAUAUCUAGAGUGACUGUAGAAGUGUCGAGUCCGUUGGGGCAAACAGUAUUAGUGAAUCAGAUCUGUCCGAGAUGCCCGUUAAUUAUACAAAAUAAAACUUUUCCUAUUGACCUGUUGAUUAUGCCAUUUGGAGAUUUUGAUAUAAUACUGGGGAUGGAUUGGUUGGCUGAGCACGGAGUGGUAUUGGAUUGUUAUAAAAAGAAGUUUAGUAUUCAGACAGAAGACGGGGACAGAAUUGAGGUAAAUGGUAUCCGUACUAAUGGGCCGACACGUAUUAUUUCGGCAAUAAAGGCUAAUAAAUUGCUUCAGCGGGGUUGUACAGCGUAUUUAGCCUAUGUUAUUAAUUCUGAUUUGGUUGGUAGUCAGUGCAGUAAGAUUAGAACCGUAUGUGAGUUUCCAGAUGUAUUUCCUGAAGAGCUACCGGGUUUACCACCUGACAGAGAGGUUGAAUUUGCUAUAGAAGUGUAUCCGGGUACAGCACCAAUCUCUAUACCACCGUAUCGAAUGUCACCCACUGAGUUGAAAGAGUUGAAAGUGCAGUUACAGGACUUGUCAGAUCGUGGAUUUAUUAGACCGAGCAUUUCACCUUGGGGAGCUCCAGUAUUGUUUGUUAAAAAGAAAGAUGGAUCGAUGCGGCUUUGUAUUGAUUACCGGCAGUUAAACAAAGUGACGAUCAAGAACCGGUAUCCGUUACCCCGUAUAGAUGAUUUAUUUGAUCAGCUAAAAGGAGCUUCAGUAUUUUCAAAGAUUGACUUAAGAUCUGGGUAUUAUCAGCUGAAGGUAAAAGAAAGUGAUGUUCCGAAGACUGCAUUUCGUACUCGAUAUGGUCAUUAUGAAUUUUUGGUGAUGCCGUUCGGGUUGACUAAUGCUCCAGCUGCUUUUAUGGAUCUGAUGAAUCGUAUUUUUCAGCCGUAUUUAGAUCAGUUUGUGGUGGUUUUUAUUGAUGACAUAUUGGUUUAUUCGAAGUCAGAGUCAGAGCAUGAUCAGCAUCUCAGAACCGUGCUACAGAUUCUGCGAGAAAAACAGUUGUACGGGAAACUAAGUAAAUGUGAAUUCUGGUUACCAGAGGUAGUUUGUUAGCUGAGUUAAGAGUCAAGCCGGUGAUGUUUGAUCAAAUCAGAGCAGCACAGUUAAAAGAUGAAAAGUUGAUGAGGAAAAGAGAAAUGGUACAGUAUGGUGCGGUAGAAAAUUUUAGUAUUGACGAGCAUGAUUGUUUGAGAUUUCGGAAUCGAAUUUGUGUUCCAUCUACUUCUGAGAUUAAAGAAUUGAUUCUCCGAGAAGCACAUGAUAGUAUUUUUGCUUUGCACCCAGGAGGAACGAAGAUGUAUCGUGAUCUACGAGAACUGUAUUGGUGGCCAGGAAUGAAGAAAGAUAUAGUUGAAUAUGUCAGUAAAUGCUUGACUUGUCAGCGGGUAAAAGCAGAACAUCAGGUACCAACAAGCCUGUUACAGCCUAUUACUAUUCCCGAGUGGAAAUGGGAUCGCAUUACCAUGGAUUUUGUUACGGGGUUGCCAUUAUCAGUGAGUAAAAAGAAUGUUAUUUGGGUGAUUGUUGAUCGACUCACAAAAUCAGCUCAUUUUAUAGCAGUUAGAACCGACUGGUCAUUACAGAAGCUUGCCGAGGUUUAUAUUCGAGAAAUUGUUAGAUUACAUGGUAUUCCGGUAUCAAUAAUUUCAGACAGAGAUCCUCGAUUCACUUCGAGAUUUUGGAAGCAGCUGCAUGAAUCAUUGGGUACUCGACUUAGUUUCAGUACAGCUUUUCAUCCUCAAACUGAUGGACAAUCUGAACGAGUAAUUCAGAUAUUAGAAGAUAUGCUUCGAGCUUGUGUCAUUGAUUUUGAAUCAGGUUGGGAACGUUAUUUACCAUUGGCCGAGUUUGUUUAUAAUAAUAGUUUUCAAUCUAGUAUUCAAAUGGCUCCAUAUGAAGCACUUUAUGGUCGAAGGUGUCGAUCACCAAUAUGUUGGACAGAAUUAAGAGAAAGAAAAGUGAUUGGGCCGGAAUUGAUUCAAGAGACAGAAGAAACAGUUAAAAAGAUUAAAGAUAGACUGAAAGCCGCUUUCGACAGACAGAAAUCUUACGCAGACUUGAAACGACGAGACAUUGAAUAUUCUGUUGGUGAUAAGGUAUUCCUCAAAGUAUCGCCGUGGAAGAAAAUUUUGAGAUUUGGUCGGAAGGGAAAAUUAAGUCCGCGCUUUAUUGGGCCGUAUGAGAUAGUGGAAAGAAUUGGGCCUGUUGCUUAUCGAUUAUCCUUACCUCCAGAGUUACAGAAAAUUCAUGAUGUUUUUCAUGUUUCGAUGCUUCGGAGAUAUAGAUCGGAUCCUUCUCAUGUUAUUCCCACUGAAGACAUUGAACUUCGAUCUGAUUUAACUUAUGAAGAAGAACCAGUUCAAAUAUUAGCACGAGAAGUGAAAGAAUUAAGAAAUAAACGGGUUCCUUUAGUAAAAGUUUUAUGGAGAAGCCAUAGUGUGGAAGAAGCAACUUGGGAACCGGAAGAGACAAUGAGAGCACAAUAUCCUCAUCUCUUCUCAGGUAAAUUUCGAGGACGAAAUUUAUUAAGAGGGGGAGAAAUGUAAUGACCCAAAAUUCAUGGGCAUCGGAAAAGUAUAAUAUCGGGCCUCCGUCCUAGUAAAUUGAGUCCGAAAAUAAUUAUUAGAAAUAUUUACGAGACUAGUAGUGUGUUUAAUUAGGUUUUAAUUAAGUAAAUUUAGCUUAAUUUAGAGUAAUUAGUAAAAAGGAUUAAAUUGAAUAAGAGUAAAAGUUUAAUUAUAGAUUAAAGGAAAAUAACAGGGACCAAAUGGGCAAUUAAGCCACAUUUGGAAGUUGAGGCGGCAUAACAUUGUAAAAAUCUUAGAUUUUUAUAUUAUUAUUUAUAUAAAUAUAUAAAUUAAUUAUAAAGUAUAUUAUUAAAUUAAUUACAUUAUAAAUAUUAUAUUAUUAUAUAUAAAAGAAACAAAACAGAAAAGAAACAGAAUAGAAAGAACAAAGAAACAGAAUAGAAGAGACGAAACAGGGGAGAAGCAGGGGAGAAAGAAGAAAAAGAAGAAAAAAGGGAAAAUAGGGUUUUUGAAGCUUGAAAUUUAAAUUGGUAAGUCAAAUUAGCCCUUUUCUCUUAAUUCUAAUGUUUUAAAAGCUUUAAAACAAAGUUUUGAUGGAAUUAAGUUGAUAUUUUGUAAGUUCAUAGGUUUUCAAGUAUAGUUUAUGUUGAACAAAAGAGAUGAAUUAGGGAUUAACUUGAAGGAAUUUUAAGUUAGAAUUGAAAAAGGGAUUAAAUUGUAAAAGAAACUAUAAGUUUUAUGUUUUAGGGACUAAAUUGAGGGAAAUUCGAAAUUACCAAAAUAUGCUGAAAUUUUGAUAGUUAAAUUUUAGUUUGGAUGAAAUUUGAAUAGAAAUAGAGUGUGAAUUGAAUUAGGAAAGUAAGUGAAUUUAGUUAGGAUUAAAUUGAGAAUAAGAAAGAAAUUGAAUAGAAAUUUAAUUAUUAUCAUAAUUAGUGCUGAAAUUAAUAGUAUAAAUUAUUAUCAUUUUCGUAGCUAGCAAAGAACCAGAAGCGUCGGCACGGAAGGGAAAAGAGAAGAUUAUCGAGGAGUAAACUCGAGAAAAUUACGGUUUGUAUUACUAUAAUUCAAAUUAUUUAUUUUUUUUAUGUUAAAUUUUAAUUUAUGUGUCUAGUAAAUGAAAUGUGAGGUAAGUAUUAAUAUUAGUAUUAGUAUUAUUAUUAGUAUUAUUAUUAUGAGUGGGAAUUAAAUUGAAUAGUUGAUAUGAAAUAAUAUUUGAAUUGUUUGUUGAUUGAAAGCGGGAAAUGAAUUUAAAUCGAAUAGUGACCGAUAUUAAAUUGAAUGGAAAUGUAUUGAGUUGUGAAAGUAUGUUAAUUGCGGAUUAAUUAUUGAUUGAAAGGUGGAAAAAUGAUUGAAUUGAAAGUGUGAAAAAGUGUGAUUGAAUUGAGAAUAUAUGUGAUUUAAAUACCCUAUUAACUAGUCGGGCUGAGUCGGAUAUAGUUGGCAUGCCAUAGGAUUGGAAGAGUUCAGGGAUACUUCGACCUCGAGUCGAUGAGACACUGGGUGUCACUAUAUUUCUUCGGAUAGAUUCGAUGAGGUACUGGGUACCAACUUUCUUCGGCUUUGCCGAUGAGACACUGGGUGUCAACUAUUGCUUCGAACUAUCCGAUGAGGCACUGGGUGCCAUUCUGGUGUGUUUGGUUGGAUCCGUGUAUCCGCCAAAGUCCGAGUUUUGUUAAUAGGGUAAAUGAUGAAAUGAUAAACCGAACGAGUUGGUCAAACGAGCUAUUGAAAUGAUAUGAAAAAGUUGAAUUGUGAAUUGAAAUGUGAAAUGAGAUUGAGAAAUGAACCUAAGGUUCGUGAAUUAUUCAAACUCAAAUUGUGGAUAUACGAUAUUGGUUGAUGAAUUGCUAUUGUUGAAAUAUUUAAUUUAAAUUGUAUAUACGAUUUAUGCAUUACAUGUACAUUAUUGUUAUAAUUUGAAUUAUGGUAAUACCACUGAGUAUGAAUUACUCAGCGUACGGUUGUUUCCGUGCGCAGGUCAAUAGAAGUCAAAGGUCCCGGUUCAGCAUCCAGAUUAAUCCCGGCUUCGGCAAAACUUGGUGAUGUAUUUUUCCUUUGGUAAAGGUGGCAUGUACAUAGAUUGUGUAUAAAGGUUAUUAUGUUUUAUUAUAUAAUGGUUAAAAAUGUUAGUAUUAAAAGUUUAUGGAUUUUAAUGAAAGAAGUCUAUCUAUUUUAUCUAAUUAGUACAUUGUUAAAUUUUAAAUUGGUAUUGUGUAGAUUGAGUUUGAUUAGAAGUAUUUAGAAUAGAAAAUGUGAAUGUGAAAUGAAUUGGUUGAAUUGAUGAUAUUUGGGAACUAUAUGGUUUUAAUUUGCAGGGGGUUUUAUGUAAAAAUAAGCAGAAAUGCUGCCGAGAUUUUUAUAAAAAAAAAAAAAUGAAGUCAUUUGGUAAACAAAUUAAUAAAUUUUAUGAAUUAUUUUAAUAUAUUGGUUAUUUAUUUAAGAAUUGUUGUAAAUCGUUCGAUACGUCCGGUAAUGCCUUGUAAUUCUGUUCCGGCGACGGUUCGGGGUUAAGGGGUGUUACACAAUUUGACCAUUUCUGUUAAAAAAUUUAUUUAUUUGUACUAUUAAAAUUUGACAUGACUAACGAAAUAACCAAAUAGUGACACAUGGUGAUGCAAGCCUCAAUGUCCAAUUCUAGACCCAUGGAUGCAAUGAGCUUUUUUUUUUUACCUCAAGGCCCAAUAACAAGAUUAAAAAAAAAGUAGAUCAAACCAAGAUUGAAUGAGAUUGCCCAAGACUUUGUUACAAAGAACUUAGAAACGCAUACGAGGAGAAAAGAAAAUCAAGAUUCACUUUAUUGUUUUCAAGAAAAUCAAGAAACCGAAACUUGAUCAAAUUUUACUUUUUUGGGAUAUAAUCAAGAAAAUCAAUAUUUUAAAUAUUGGAAUUCUUGGUCCCAGAAACUAAUUCUUGAAGCCAAUGCGCGAUGGAUCACACUGUCGAGCUUGAACGAGCCAAUUUUGGUAGCGAACGAAUCACAAUUUCAAGUUUUUGAAAAUCGACCCAUUUGGGUGUCCACAAGCCCAAGGUGUCCCUCCCCCCAAAUGUUAUUGUAUUAUUCAUCUUUUGUUUAAAUAAAUAUUCUUUGAGUUUAUCUCUCCAAGAAUUGUUCUUGAAUUUUUUUUUAGAAGUUUUACCAAUCUUUUAGAUUGUAGGAAUCAAUUGGAGGGGAGAUAAGAGUCAUUUGAAGAGUGCCGUGAUUUAUUCAAUUUCAAGACUCCUUAAUAUACCUAUCAUGCCAUUUUCAUCUUCUUCUUGCUUUCUUCUUUCUUUUGUUUAGGUUUCUGUUCGAUUCUUCUUGUUUUCAUUUUAAUCUUUAUUUGAUUCAAUUUCAUGUCAUGAACAGCCAAAAAUGACGUUCUCCCAUCACUAUUCCUUAAGAAACACUCAAAAAUACUUAUUUUAUUUUCUUCUAGUGUUGGUUUUUUUAUUAUAAAAUAAUUUUGUUUUGGCUUAAAAAUUCAUUCUAAUAAAUCGUUUUGAUUGUUUUGUUUUAGAUUUGUUUGGAGGCUUUCUUAGAGUUCAAGAACGGUUUCUUUUCUUCCAAUAAACCCUAUUAAACUCAUUCUUGAACUCUUUUUUGGCCGCCCUUCUCUUCUUUACUCUUUGAUUUUCUCUUUUCAUUCUUUUAAUUCAAGAACUAAUCUGAUUUUGUUUCUUUGUUCUAAUCUAAAUCGGUCACCUAUUAUCUCAACAAAAUCGGUUCAAAUAUUCUCCAGUUUAUUGGAUCUUCAUCAUUCUUUGUUGGCCGCACCUUCCUUACCUAUUUUCUGGAAUUUUCAUUCGAUUUAAUACUUAUUUUUUCAAAUAUGUUCUUAUUAACCUAUUUUCUCAUCUUGGCAACCUUAAUUCAAAUGGAGUUCAUUAUGAACAAGUUCUUUCCAUAACUGACUUGAUUUCAUUUGCUACUGUUGACACCAUUUUUUGGAUGAAAACGGAGUCAACUUGGGUUUUGAAAAAUGAAACGGGAGUCGCCACCAAUCCUUUUUUAUGAGGUGUGAUUGGAUCACCUUGGAAAGUGGUUGUUUUUAAUAAACGGUUUGAUUUUAUUAAAACAACAAGUUUGGUUCACGAAAUUCAGAAAAACGGGUUCGGGAGUCGGUUACGCACGAGGAAGGAUUAGCACCCUCGAUACGCCCAAAAUUGGUACCUAGUUGAUUACUUAAUGUCUUAAUGUCGAAAAUUGAGAACUUUGAAGAAUUUUAAAAAUACGAUCCUUUUAUUAAAACGUUGAAAAUUUUUAGGAAAAGGGAAAUAUUUCACGUUAUUCGAGAAAGAAAACCAUAUCCAAAAAAAUAGGACACAAUGUCUUGAAUUCCCGAUAUGCGACUGAAAAAUGCUUAUUCAAAAAGUACUUUUAGCUAUCUCGGAUUUGAAAGCGAGAUCACAACCAGUAAGUUAGGACGCAAUCCUGUUUUAAUCCCGAGAUUAUUUAAAACUUGAAUUUGAAAAGAUUCGUGUAUUUAGAUUUCUUGUGGAAAUCGAGACCCAGUAAGCUAAGGUACGGCAUUCUCAAAUCUAAACACGAGAUUUUGCUUAUUCAAAAAUCAUAAUUUAUGCAAUGAAAUGAAUUAAUCUAACAUGAAAUAAUAAAACACGAUGUUAAUACUCACAACAAGACAAUAUUGAAUACAAUAGUGCAAAAAUAAUACGAACAAUUGCAACAAAAAUAAGAUAAAUACAAAGUAUAAAUCAAUAACAUACGAAAGCAAAUAAAAUUAAAGCAUUCAUUCAAGUCAAUAAUGAAAAUGAAAUAAAUAAAUAAAUGAAUAAGAAUAUAAAAAAGUAAAAAGAUAUAUGUGUGUGCAUAAAUUAUGAAAAUGUAAAAAUCUAUGUAUGUAAAAAUAUAUGUAAAAAUGUAUGUGUACAUUUAUGUAUAUGUAUAAAGUUAUGAAAUAUAUAAAAUAUAAGAUAGGUAUAUGUAUAUAUUUUUAUAAAAAUAAAAACGUACAUAUAUAUUAUGUGCAUGUAUGCAUUAUAAAGUAUAUAAAAGUAUAUGUAUACAAGGAUAUAUAAAUAAAUAAGAUAUAAAGUAUAUAAGUAUAUAUUUAUGAAAAUUAAGAAAUAUAUAUAUAUAUAGACAUGCGGCUAUAUACAUAGAAUAAUAAAAGAUAAAUAUGUAUAUAUAUUCAUAAAAAUAAAAUAUGUGUAUUCGUAUAUUAAAGUAUAAAGUAUAAAUAAUAUAUAUCUAAGUAGAUAUAUAUAUAUAAGUAAACUUGGAAAAUUAUAUGCGUACACAUACUAUAAAAAUAUGAAUGUAUAUAUAUAUAAAUUAUAGAAUGUAUUAAAGUGUAAGUGUAUAUAGGUAUGUACACAUAUAACAUAAUCUAAAAACAGUGUAAAUGGAUAAACAAUAAAGGCAAAUAAUAAAAAUAAAAGCAAUAAUGACAAUAAUAAUAAUGGUAAUAAAACUAAUUACUUUUUUGUAAUUAAACAAGCAGAAGCGCAAAUAUGAUAAAAAAGAAAAAAAGUCACCUCCAAAAAUCUAUUCUGGUUUUCUAUUUUCCUUAAUGUUCAUAGCCAAAUGAAAGAAGAGAAAACUCUUCUUCUUUUACAGUAAACUUGGCACUUGCCGAAAAGGAAAAAGAAAAAUCAAAGAAAACCCCCCUCUCUUUUUCAUUUUUCUGCGGCCUUUUCAGUCGAUUUUACACUUUUUUUCUAUUUCUAUUACUAUUUCUUCCUCUGUUCUUGCUGCUUGUUUCUUUCGUGUUUGUUUGCAGGUCUUUGGUGAAGGCGGAGGAGUGGCUUGCCGUUUUGGUGCAAGGCUUGGCUGGCCGUGGCAGACCUCGGGCGUGGUGUGCGCUGAGGAGGCACAUGGGCAGCAGAGGGUGCGGCGCCUUGGAUUAGGGUUAGGGUUUCAGUUGUGUUUUACUGAAACUUAGUUAAUGUUUUGGGCCGUCUAGCUUUGGACUUGUAAUUUGGGUUUUAAAUUUUAAUUUGGGCUAGUAUUGUAAUGUGAACUGGACUAUUUUUUAUUUUCUAGCGGGCCGGGUAAAUUUGGGCAUGUACAGCUACCCUUGUCAUUAUUAGAUCUGACUUGAUUGUUUGCAUUCCGGGUUGUUUCAAACACCAAGUUUUGCCUAAUUCGGUUUAGAGUCUUAGGUCAAAUUUGCGACAAUUUUUAAUCCUAUUUCGCACGUGUCCGUAUCAUACGGUGUGUUACAUAUAUUUCAUGUUAACGUACAUAAACCAAUUAUUAAUAGUAGGAAUUCAUGAAAUUUUUAACGAAAGAAUCUAUUUACUCAUUAAUCUAACCUAUAUGGACUAAAUUGCUCAUAUUUUUUGAAUAAAUAAAAUAAAAUGCAAUCAAAUUCUUAAUACAUAACCUUUACCCAAAAGAAUAUUAGUUCCACACCUCUAUAAAUCAAGCCCAAACUAAAAACACAGAGGGUAGGUUUGGAUGGGCGGUGGGAUGCGGUACGGUGCAUGUAGCUUAUUUUUUGUCUUACAUUACAGUAUUUUUACAAUAUUUAAUUUUAUCGCCACAAUUAUUUUUAGACUAACUAUCGUCCAUCCAAACUCACUCUAAAUCACCUAAGCUAAAGUUGCACAUUGUGCCACACUGACCCUGAUAUUUAAGCUAACUUGUUCCAAAAUAAUUCAACUAACAAAAAAAAAGUUGUAUAUCAUUUAUUUGACAGUUACGUGAGAGUUUGUUUUAACUUUGAAAUAUAAAGUAUUCGGAUCUUGAGAUUUUUAAGUUGGAGUUUUGUUUUACAUGAAAAACAUUUAAAAUGUUAUUAUAAAGUUAAUUGGAAUAUAUUCAAAUUUGGAUUAAAAUAAAUUUGAAUAAAGUUUAUACGUGAUGAGACUUAAAUUCAUAAUAAAAUUUAGAUCGAGAAUUCGUAUGUGCAUAAAUACACACGGUGAAAUUAUUAAAAGCAUAUUGAUUUUAUAAAGUAACGUACAUUAUUUCAAGACUAUUUUUGUCUUUUUAUAAUUUAUAUAAAAUGUAGAAUAAUACAUAUACAUAUUAACAGCAUGUUUGGUUGCCAAUACACCCCUAAUCGGUGGGCCUCACUUAUUACGCCUCUAAUCCGUUAUUUGGUUCAAUGCAUUAUUAUUACGGUGCUAAACCGUUACUGACCUAAUCGGUGAAAUCCACCGAUUUCUAAUCCGUCCAUUUUGCUCAGUUUAGGUACUGCUUCACUUUACCCUCCCUGUUUUGCUCCCUUUGUUUCUCACAGUUUCUGCCGAUUUGCUCCCUCUGUUUCUCAUAGUUCUCCACACGCCCACAUCUCUACAAAAAUAACAGCCUUCAAAGUCGGCAGGAUUUUAAGGCAUUUUUAUUUGAGCCCUGUUCUUCUCCUUCUUCCUAGACGUGGGGUUUCCAUUUCCCAGUUCUUCUCAUCCCUUUCUUAAAGUCGGCAUCUUCCUUUGCUUUCUCCACCCAGCACCUUCUUCAAGGUUCCAAGUUCUUUUUGUUUCUCCUUUAAUUUCUGUUGUAUUGAAUUCCAUGGAUGUUAUUUUAAUUUGGAUUUAAUUAUGCCUAUUGAGGUUGUUUUUGCUCUUGAGAAUCAUAAAAAAAUAAUUGGGUCAUUUUUAUUUCAGUUUAUUUUGUGUUCUUUUAGCCUCUAUAGGGUUGUUAAUUAUUAAUCCCUACAUGUUCAUUUGUUUUUCAGUUUCUUUUGAUGGGGUUUUAUUGUUUUAAACGUUGAAAUUUUAUCUAAUAAUGCAAUCUUUCGUAUAUUUUUCAGGGUUUUGAGAGAGGUUGGGGUCGGAUGUUUAAAAUCUAUAUCUGAUAUGUACAACGAAUUAUUUUAUUUUGCUGUUCUUUUGGGCUUGAUAAUGGCUUUAAAGGUCACCAGCUUUUAGCAGUUCUGCUCAUUUACCUUCCGGCAAUUGACAUGACUUGAGUGGCAAAUGUUAUGCUUUUACCUUUUAUAACAUUGAAUUGUAUGCUUGUUGAAUCAUAUUGAAAUGCUAGAUACUUAACUGACUAAACUUGUUUGAAUGUAGGAACUACAGUUCCAUCAAACACCACUACUGCAAUUCUUGCUGCUCCCAAUUUGUCGAAUCCCAUGGCUACAGUUGUUGGUGCUGCUUCAAACCCAUUGUCCAAUCCCAUAGUUUCAAUGGUAGACGGUGUAUCCUCCAAGGUAUUUGAUGAAGUACUGAAAGCAACACCACCUGCUUUGUCAGCAUUUUUGGCUGGCUUGCCUUCUAUCGAGGGUAAUCUUUCAAACUCCUACUGCAGUUGUGCAUGCUGCAAUAUCUAAUGCUGAUGGAUAUUAACCUAUAAUUUGUAGUUGAAUUUGAAUUAUGAUCCAAAAUGCAACAUAUCAAUGAUGAAAUACGGCAAUGCAUCUGCUUGAAUUUCUCUGUCUAGUUGGCCUUUUAAGUCCCUUCUGAUCUGGUAUCCUUGGAAAAUUAUUUGUUUUGCACUCUUGGCAUUUUAAUAUCGUAUUAGAAUAACUAGUUUAUAACUUUGGAGUAAUGAUUCAUUGUAAUUUUACCCAUUUUUAUAUAUUUCUUUAAUUUUUUAAUUCAUCACAAGCUCCAUGCCAUAGGGGCAAAGCUAGAAUCAAAAAAUAAAAAAAGAACCUCAUUGAGGAAGAAAGUUCAGAGAAUAAGGUAAGAAAACCAAAAAAUAUUGCAACUGAGAGAAUAUACAGAGCUAUGUUUCUCCGACUCUUCAUUUUGCUUGAAGUAUCCCUUUUUUAUACCCCUGUCAGAGUCUUCAUUUUUCUUAAAGUAUCUGGUUUCAACACCCAUGCUCGACGAUGAAAGAACCUCUUUGAGAAAGUUAUACAAUAGAUUUUGUUGAAAAAUAUUUGAAGUGAAAAUUUUCAUCAUAGUUUCUGUCAAGAAUACAUUAAAUGGUAUAUGUACAUGUCCACACAAAAAACCAUGUUACUUGGGUUCGGGGAAAGUGUCAAAUAAGGAUAUGGGUAUGGGAUGUGAUCCUUGUAUGAUACCCGUGUGGAUGCAUGUUUGGCCAUCGGUAUGGGAUAUGAUCCUUAAAGGAUUCUUCAAAUAUAUAGAAAAACUUAAAGAAAACUGAAUAUUUCCAUAUCUGACACAUAUUCGUAUCUUGAUAUCCUUAUUUUUUAGGGUUUGUUCUUAUUUGAAUAGCCUUUGUUGUAGCUAUUUGCAAAAUCCUGGUGAUGAACACCUAAGCCUUCAGGGGACAGGGAUAGAUCCCUGGCCAUAAGGAACUCCCUUACCUAUGGUGGGAUAUAUCAUAUAUCCAACUGGAUUGAACACCAUAUAAUUUUAAAGAAAGCGUAGCUAACAUCAUGUAUUGAAAUGCAGCAAAGGAGAAGUCACCGCAGCUAGAUGAUGGUGAUUCAGGAUUUCCUCCCCGUGACGAUGAUGGUGGUGAAGGUGGCGGGGGAGGUGGUGGGGGCAACUGGUCAGGUGAAUUCUUCCUUUUCGGAUUCCUCGCGUUUCUAGGCUUCUUAAAGGAUAAAGAAAGCGAAGAAGAUUACCGGGAUAGCCGAAUAAGAUGAUGAGAGAUUCUCUACAUAUUGAUAACAUUUUUAAAACCUAUAUUGCAUGUUGUUCUUCAUGUUAUAUACUUUUGAGAACCCAAUGCAUAUCGUUCUUCAUGAUAUAUUUCUAUUUUUGGAACCAAUUGCAUAUUUGAACCAUUUGUAGACUUAAUUCAAACAUGCAAAUAUAUUUAGUUAAAAAAGGACUAAAUUAAAUAUCAUCUAUACUUAUUAUAAAGUCUAUAUUUCUAUUCUCGUGACAUCAACUCAAUCAGUAUAGAUAUAAAUAAACAAAAGAUGUCACCAACAAAAGAUAAACAAAAGAUGCAGAAUGUAAUUUUCAAGUUAUAUUUUGAUUUUAGUAAAUUCAUAUAAGAACAUUUUAUUAUUAAAUUAUAUUUAAUAUUAAUUAUUUUAAAUUAUAUAAAUUCAUAUAAGAAAAUUUAUUAUCAAGAAUUUUAUGAAAUUAUAUAUCAUUAUUAAAUUAUAUUUAAUAAUAAUUAUUUUAAAUUAUAUAAAUUCAUAUAAGAAAAUUUAUUAUCAUGAAUUUUAUGAAAUUAUAUAUUAUUAUUAAAUUAUAUUUAAUAAUAAUUAUUUUAAAUUAUACAAAUUCAUAUAAGAAAAUUUAUUAGUUAUAAUAAUUUUAAAUUUUAUUAAAUCAUAUAUUUUAAUUAAAAUAUAUUUAAUAUUAAUUAUUUCAAAUUAUAUUUUAUAGUAUCAUAUAUUAUGAUUUUAGUAAAUUCAUAUAAGAAUUUUGAUUAUUAAGAAUUUUAUUAAAUUAUAUAUUUUAAUUAUAAUAUAUUUAAUAAUAAUUAUGUUUAAAUAUGAUUAAAUUAUUUAUUACUGAUGUUAAUAAUCUUAUUAAAAUUUAAAUAACAAUAACAAUAAUCAUUUACCCAACAAAUUUAUGCUAAGGGUAUUCUAGUCAUUUUAGUUUUUUCCAUUAUGCUAUUACACCUCUAUUCCAUUCAACCAAACACAAAAAUGCUAUUACGCCUCUAUUCCAUUCAACUAAACAAUUGAUUUGCUAUUACGCCUCUAUUCCAAUACAACGAACCAAACGUGGCCUAAGAUUUGAACUCAGGAUAUCGCAGUUUUCACUGUCUAAAUUUUAUCAAUUCAAUCAAAGUUACAUUUGAUUUUUAUAUUAAUUUUUAUAAAUUUGUUACAUUUUUUUUCACUUACAAGCGUGUCAUAAUCUAGUAUUAAUUACACAUUUAAUUAAUCAAAUAUUAUAAUUAUAUAAUUAUACUUGUAAUUAUUUUUUGUAAUAACAAAUGAUUAAAAUAUGUUGUAAGUCUUUGUACUCUUUGUAAAUUUGAAAUUUAGUCUCUUUGCUUUUUUAAUUUCAAGAAUCAGGACCAAUUUUAAAUACUGUUACAAUUAUUUUAUUAAUUUCAGGUUCAUUAUAAUAUAAACUUUUUCAGUUACGAUGCUACUAAAUGAGUGUUUUUUAUUUCAAAAUGUCACACUAAUAAAUUCAACAAAAAAAUUAACAGUGUUAAUAAUUUAAGAUAAAAUUUGAAAUAUGAAAAAUAAAAAAUAUUAAAAUAUUAAAAAUAAAAAUACAAAAAUUAUAAAUUUAACUAAAAUCUAAAAUCAUGAAGAGUAGAAGGAGGCAUAUGUUAAACAUAAACUUGUCCAUGGGUCGGGUCGGGUCUUAACAAAAUUUUAAGUAUUUUAAGUUUGUUUGAUAGGCUCGAGUCUGGUCUAGCCCACCCGUAUUAAAUUUUUUUACAUUAUUUUUUAUAUAAUUUAAAAAAUACAUCACAAACACUAAAAAAAUUAAAAUAAAUAUUUCCCGAUAAAUUGAAAAAUAAAUAAACUACUAGCAAAACUAACAAUAAAAUAAGAGUUAUAAAAUAUCCAAACAAUAAUAAAAUAUUAGCAACAUAAUAAUUAAAUAACAACAAAACAAUGAGAAAAUAACAAGAAAAUAAUAAGAAAACAAUAAUUUUCCUUUUAUUUUACAACUUCGACUUGAAAUAGGGUCUUAUUUGAGACUCGACCUAUUUUCUAAACAAAUAUUAUUUUAUUAUUUAAAUUUAUUUUUUGAGUCCAUAUUUUUAUUUAAAUAGUAAUUAGGGUAAAACUAUAAAACGGAAAAACUCAUGAAAAAGUAUCUUGAAAAGCUGACAGUAGGUGGGCCCAACCCAUUCAUGCGUUACAAUCUUAGUAGUAAAUAGUAAACUGAAAAAAAAUGUUGCCAUUUUGCAUUUGAUCUUCUUCUCCUUUUAUUUUUUCCUAUAUUGCCCAUCUGAUUCUAUAUUUCUUAUCUGUUUCAAAUUAAAGCAGCCAAUUCCAAUUAUUCAACAAAUCUUUUUAAAAACUAAAAAGAAAUUCAAACAAUUUCAUCUUUCGUUCUUCUUCUUCUUUAUGAAAAUCUAAAAUUUGCAGAGCUGGAUCGUUAUGGCUAUCAAAAUCCCAGCCUUAGGAUCAAUGUAAGUAUCUGUUUUUCCUUUCUAGCAAUUCUUUUUUUAAAAAAAAAAAGUUUAAAUCUAUUUCUUAAUUCUGUAGAUUACACUUUUAUCGUCUCAGUUACUGAUUGUUCCUUUUGGUAGAUUUUUAAAUUCUUCAUGGAAACCUAAAAUUUCUUGCUGGAAAUGAUGAAAUGUGAACAUGCAUGAUGCAAACUUAGUUAUUGAUUACUUCUUUAAUUUUCAAUUUUUAAAAUAGAAUCACUGUUGCGUUCUUCUUAGUUACUUUUUAUUUUUCCAAUGAAUUUGGUUGUAGAUACAUCGAGUCAUGCAGGAGGCAUGGUGUUGCACCGAGAACUGGAUUUUUAUCUGCUCUCUUUAAGGUUUGUUCCGAUACGUACUUAGAUUUUCAUGUUCGAAAAUGUUACGAAGUUGCAUGCAUAUUUGUAUGUUUUCCAGUGCCUUGGAAUGAACUUUGAAUGUUGAGAAUUUAGACAAAAUGCGCUCGGAGCUUCUGAUCAUUAGUCUAGGAGUCUCAAAUUGGUUUGCCAGGCUUGUGAUUCUUCUGAUCAUACAGUCGUGCUGCCAGUGUAUUUCAAUUAGAGAGCUGAAUGCUCUUUACAGCUUCGUUGUCUUGUGAGAGUGGCAUUUUAGUUAUCCUGCUCAGAGUAGCAAGAAAUAUGUUUGGCGUCAUGCUUAAUAGUUCUAAGCUCUUUUUCUCAGACCUCUUUCAGGUGGUAGUAGGUAAGGAAGGAUUAAUUUCUGUUGUUCGGUAUAGUGCGGUUGAGAUGUUCUAGGAGUUGGAUUUUGGGGCUCAGUCUUAUUACAAAAUGUUUGAUUGUACACAGUGCACCUUAUCAUCCAUCUAAAAGCUCAGGCGUGCUGUUUAUGCUUAGUUUAUCUAUAAUCAUGCAUGAAGUGAUGCUUCUAGGUGAAUCCUAACAAUGGAGGACUUAGUGAAGUGAAAAAGUUAUUUAGCUGGUUCUAUAGCUUACAAGUGAUCCAAAGACACAGAAAUUGGUUAGUUACAACUAAACAUGGUUAGUGAUGUUGAAUGAGUAAAGAAUGCUCUAGAAAUCCAAAGACCUUGAAGCACAUGCCUAAAAUGUUUGAUAAGUCUCGAAUAUGAAGAAAUAUCCAAAGCUCCCUAUAACUUCAACUCAGGUUAUUAACAUCCCAGUGUUUAGGUAAUAAGCUUAGAAAUGUAAUAUGAAUAAUCCAAAUAAUGUAGUCCAUAUUGUUGUUUGGUGUAGCUUUAGGUGUGUCUGUUAAGGUGGCCCCGGGGAGGGGGGGGGGUUGGCACCCUUUGGUACUAUUGCACAAGUCUCUGUGGUAAAAGAUGGCAAGCUGUUAUAAAGUCUAGUUUGAAUGUUUUUAUACUAACAUCAUAUCCAAAUUUUUGGCUCAAAGGACCGUGUUCUUUCUCUUUAUCAUAUGUGGCAAAGAGAUUGAUUUCUAUGGUUAAAUAUGAUAAACACUAACUACAUCUUCAUAUCUCCUUGGAUUUCUUGAGCUGAAGAAACAUAAUUUUCCUUUCUUUUUCAGUGUCUGUUUAUAAUUAUUUUGCUGAUGUCUGUGCAAGUUAAAUUAGAUAAAUACUUUUCUCUUGGUUGAACUUUUCAGGCUGAUGUUAAAAAAUCCCGCCAUGAGUUAUGUGUACUGGAGAUUUUAUUGGACCAUGUGAAGGAUGUUGAUUUUCAUCCACUUCUUGAAGUGACUACAAGAAUUGGUGAUUCUGAGAUUGAAGCAGUUGAUGUGCUCAAUGAAUCAUCUUGUGCAUUGAAUGGAGAAUAUGCUUUAGUUCUGAUACGAUCUAUUGAUCAGAAACUUCGGAUAGUUGAUCUCCAGGAUUUGUCAUUUGGGAAGGACUUCUUGUGGUAUAAAACAACGUUUAUUAUGCAUUAGUAUUCUUUAGUAAAGUAUCUGAUUUUAUACUUGUUUUAAUGUGUCAGACUUUAUAUUUUUGUUGCCACUCUUCUUAGGGAUAAUAGAAUCGUGAAGUUGUAAAAGUUUGUCUGGAGAAAAUAACUUUAUUGGCUUAACGUGUUGAAACAUUUUCAAACUAAUUAUAAUAAUUUAUGAUUUAAGUGGUACUUCUACCAGUGAUAUUUUAUGAUACUUAAUCUACUUGUGUGUAUUUCAGGAGGUAAGUCUCUGCUUUUAGGAUCUCAAUAGGGAAAGUGUAUAUUUUGAGAAAAGAAGAAAAGAAAAAAUGGUAAAUAAUGCAAUUAGCUAAUACAAUUUAAUGCUUUUGGAAAUGUUAACCUCGGUUUCCCUUUUUAUAAUCAAUCGUGUAGCAUAAUCCCCCAUAUGGUAGGAUAAUGAUUUCUCCUUUUUUUUUUCUUCCUUCGAAAAUGUAGUCAUCAAUGACCAAAGGCUCUUGGUCAUGAUCACACAAGAAACUAUUAAGCUAUUUGUCGUUGUCUUUGGGUUUGGGUAGUGUUGUGAAGAACCUUAACCAAGCCUAAGGUUUUAGUGAGUUGAAACUUGACAACUUGAAAGAGAAUAGAAGAGAACAAUCUACAACCAAAUAACGUUCUCCUUGAGAUGUGUGAGAACGUGUAAAACAGAUUUUAUACAGACUUGUAUUGGCACUGCUUGUGACCAAUACAAACCCAAAUAUUCUUGUCAAGCCUCAAUAUAGAAAAUAAUAAGAUAAAAGCAUUAAAGAGCUUGUUCUUUUACUUAUGGUACUUUUUGAGUAACCUAAAUAUCUAAUGAUUGACAUUGCUGAUUAAAUUUCACUUUUUGCCUUUAUCUUCUCUAUAUCAUAUGUCUUGGAUACUCUUUUAGGCAUAGAUAGAGUAAUCAGGUGCAUAGGAUGGCAAUUUGUUUUAGUUUUAGCUUUAGGUUAUGGUAUGGUUCAUUUUUCCAAUUUUUCCAUGUAUUUGAAGGAUCCUUAGAGGUCAUAUCUCCUUAUCCAUGAGUUGAACACAAAGUGUCAGAUACCGGUACUUCAUAAAAAAUGUAGAGUCCGAGCAACAUAAUGGGUUAGCACUAUGUUGGCAUGAUUUUUGCCAUGGCCAAUGGGGAUUGGCAAUGGAGAAUGUGGUUUCUGUUACACGUGUCCUACAGAAGAUCAUGAUUUUUGGAUCCUUCGUUAUCCAUUUAUUGAUGGAGCUCCACUUUUCCGUAGAAUAAUUUGGAAAUUUAUAUAUUUUCAGUAUUCACCCUUUAUUUUAUUUUGAAUAUUUCAAUAACAUGUUUUUGUUUGAAAAGAAUCUUUUGACGUUAGCCUUGGCAUGCAAUAAUCGGAUGCAUGUUCAAAUUGUAAGAAGGUAAUGGGAGAAAAAAGAUGAGGUUAUUGUACUCUUCUUUGAAUUUGUUCUACGAGUUCUAAUAACAUAGUUCCUUUCUAUAUUGCUUGGUACAAUAUUUUGAAGGUGAUAUUCAUCUGGGAUUUUUUCUAAAUAAUAACCAUCUAGCAGGGUGUAGGUUCAUACGAAUCUUAAGGUAUUUAUGGUAAUUUCGAAAAUCAACUGGGGUGAUAAAAAUCAAGAAGUAGGACGAUAAUUGACAUAAAAGGAAAUUGAUUAUCAUAUUAAACUCUCCAUUCAAUAUAUAAGGAAAACCAGUGAGUUCUCGAUAGUAACGCAUUAAUGUUAUCUAUGUAUCAUGUAUUUAUGUUGAAACAAUGGUUAGUGAAGCUUUAGACAGGUUUCCUUUCUUGAUAGUUCCCUCCGAAUUUUCAGCUUGUAGUCUUUCAUAAUGUAGUAGUAAGUAAUCAUUAAAUUCUAUAGUUACGUGAGGAUAUUUGGAUGAAAUACUAAAUCAAUGCAACUAGAAAAAUCGAUUAGCAUUAUAUGCUUUUCGACACGUGUUAAAUGUUUAUUCAAUGUAACCGAUCUUUGUGAAAAUGACGUCAACAUUGUCGAAGAAGUUAAACGUACCUUCUAGAUUUGAUCAUAUAGUUGUCAUUUAGCUAAAAGUGGCUAUAACUUGUCGUUUUGUUAUAUUUAGAUCGGCUUAGACGGGGAUUUCAUUUGUCAAUAUGGCUUUAGAAAGAUUUGGCUCUUUUUCUCCUUCUCUCUUCCUUUCACCGUCACCGUUCUUCUUCUUCUGCUGCUGCUACUUGAAUAAAUUUUCAGGUUCUAGCAUCACUAGGAACCCUUUGUUCCUUUAGGCUUACUAUUUCUCUUUGCGAACUAAUCUUUAAUGACUACUAUAAAUGCUAAUGCAUAUUUGAAAGAUAUGAAUUAUCUCUGCUUGAGAGGCCUUUGGAAAAGCUCUUAUCACUGUUCUCAUGAAUGUAACAGGAAAACUCCCGUUUCUUUCUUGGUUUCUCAUUUUCUUCUAGCUGUUUUCGAUUUGCAAAUGGUUGAGUGCACAGAGUGCUUCUGUUAGCCUCUAGUAGAUGACAUGUCAAGGAGCUGACUAUCUGUACCAACUGGAGCGAUUAGUUUGAUUUGUCACAGUCAAGUUUAGAGUUUGCUGUGGCUCUUGUUAGAUUGGGCCUCUCCACAUGUUCCCAUUUGGUUUAGGUUGGAUGCUUAGCAGUUACAUUAAUGAUUUCUUCUUGGUCAGCUUAUGAGAGGGAUUAGAAAUACUUCAAACAUUCACAUUUUGAUAGCUGCUAGAUUUUCUUUUGGCAAUGUUUCAAUUAUAACUGAAGCUGAAUGAGUGCUGUUGCAUAAUUUGGAGAUGCCUGAAUAUGGUGAAUAUUUUGGGCCAUUAUUAUGUUAAAUUAGUUUCUUCUUUCUCUAUUUUGCUUAAGUACCCAUUUUGUAAGUUGUGUUACACUUUCUUGAUUACCGCCCCUUAGUUUUGUGCUAUCUAGAUGAUGCAUGUUAUGAUAGUUGCUUUAUCUCUGUUGGAAAAUUUUGUGAAGUUAAUAAAUGGUUUUAUAUGUCUUCGAUUUUUUUUAACUAAUUUGGGUUAUCAUUUAGGGAUGUUUCUCAACGAGGGCUACAAUGCCAAGUUCUAAACUUGAGGUCUUCGCAUUUUCGGAAGCUCAACUUGGUGGGCGAAUUUUUGCGGUUGCACACCCUUAACCUUGACUAUAGCACCAUGCUCAGUAGCUUUCGGGAGGAUUGUUUUUCUUCCAUGCCGAAUCUGAUGUGUCUCUCAAUGUGUGAGACCAGAAUUUCCAACUUAUGGACUACAAUUGCUGCACUUUCCAAACUUCCUUCUUUGGUGGAGCUUAGGUUUCAAAACUGGAUAUGCUGCAAUGAUGUUGGAUCCUCUGGAUCUUCCGUUGGUGAUGAUCAAACUGGACCCAGUCAGCUGAGCAAUGCAUCUCACCUUGAGAUGCCACCUAUUAGUCUUAAUUUACUUAUAGAUCUUGAUGUCAUGACUGAACAGGCAAUAAGAAAUUUGCUUCCAUUCAGUAUGAAUCAGAAUUUUCAAAACACAAAUGAGGACUCUUCGGAUGAUAGUGAAGUAGAUUUUUCUAUUCACCUGGAGAAUGACCAAUUGGACUCAUCACACAGUGCACCUCCUGGGUGGAACAGAGAAAUCAAUCUACCGAGUGAGGUGAAUCUAUGGCCUCUAAUCACCAGGUUCUUUAGCUGUUUUGUUUAUAGCAUACUGUGGGGUAUUAAGGUGCUAAAAAAAUGAAGUUUUUGGUUUGUUGUUUAAUGUGAUAAUGGUAUCAAGGAGAAAUAAUUUUGUUUGCCACACAGAUAAUUCCUGAUAUGCUAGUUAAAUUCUCCUAAGUUAGUAGUUAUUUUUAAUAGUAUUUCCUUAUCAUUUCUCAUAAUCUCUAUCUUAAUAUUAGGUGAAAUUUCCCUUAUUUUAUAGCUCAGAAAUAAAUGAGCAUAUGGUAGGAUUUAGUUCUGGCAUUCACUCUAAAUUCCUAGUAGACUCAUUGACUAUGAGAGUUUCUUUGGAUUGUCUUGUUUAACAUCUUUCUUCUAAAGCCUUGGUUUUGAUAAUCCUUGUAUGUUGUUCUGAUUCAUUUGGCAGGCUACUUCUGCUGCUUUGUCAAAUCAAAAUGGAGAAGAGUCUUCUGAAGGUGCCAUCUCAGGGCAUGUUGCAGAUGUUUCAUUCAAGUACAUUUCUGAACAUGCUUCACCAAUAUGCUUUGAGCAACAUUAUAGGGAGUUCAUGAUAGCUUCAAUACCCCAGUUGAGAGUUUUGGAUAACUUACCUAUCAGAAAUAUUGAUAGAGAAAUGGCUAAUCUGACUUUCUUUAAACAUUUUGAGCGCCUACCUUAUAGAAGAAGCGACAAAGAAAGUGUUGUUAGUAUAUUGCAGAAGCGAGAAAUUAGAGCAAUCCCUUCUAGCUUCCGGACACAAAAGCAAAUGCCAAUGGAUCCUGUUGGGAAGUCGCAACAUUCUUAUGCCCGAUCUCUCUGUGCUGCAAAAAUGGGAUCUUCAGCUUGGCCAUAUAUGCAUUCACUUUCUAUUUCAGGCAAUGAUUUGGGAGAUGAAAACGGUAGCUUUCGUCCAAGGCAGUUUGAAUAUCAUCCGACUAACUCUAGCCUAAUGGUCUUUGGAACUUUAGAUGGUGAAGUAGUUGUUGUCAACCAUGAAAAGCAGAAAAUUGUUAGUUACAUCCCUUCAUUUGGGACAAUGAAUAGCGUGUUGGGGCUCUGUUGGCUCAAGCAUUUUCCCUCUAGGGUGAGUAAAUACUAUGAUGUGCUCCUAAGAGAGGUUAAAUUAUAGUGCUCUCUAACUUCAUAAAUGCGUUUGCCUACUUUAUUUCCUUUUCCUUUUGAAAUUUAUUGUUUUAGUAGAAAGUAAACACUCACCACUUUAGAGAUCUUAACAAUUCUUCUAAAUUUCAUUCCUCAGUGCCAACUGACUGAGUUUUACCUUUUUCAUUCAGCUGAUAGCUGGUUCAGAUAAUGGCUCACUGAAGCUGUAUGAUAUUCAGCAUUUCCCAUCAACUUCCAACGGCUUGCGUACCGCUAGUUCUGUCACCUUUGAUGAGUUUGAUCAAUUAACAUCUGUUCAUGUUAACUCUACGGAUGAACUCUUUCUUGCAAGUGGGUACUCAAAAAACGUGGCUCUGUAUGAUAUCAACAGUGGAAGACGGUUACAAGUGUUCACUGAUAUGCACCAAGAACACAUUAAUGUAGUCAAGUUUUCGAACCGAUCCCCAUCAAUUUUCGCUACUUCAUCAUUUGAUCAGGAUAUUAAGAUGUGGGACUUGAGACAGAAGCCAAUAAGGCCUUGCUACACUGCUACAAGUUCUAAAGGAAAUGUGAUGGUCUGCUUCUCGCCAGAUGAUCACUAUCUUCUCGCCUCAGCUGUUGACAAUGAGGUAAUUUUUAUAAUAGCUAAUAGCAUUAGUUUGAGUGUCUGUGCUAAUCUUGUUCUAUGUAUUUGAACAUUGAGUUUCAUACUUGGUCUAUGAUUAACCUGGUCCUUAAAUUCUGGACUUAAAAAUAAUUGGAUAGAUGAGGCUAUGAAACCACUGAUUGAGAAUAAAUUUAACUAGAAAUUCCAACUAUGAUUUCACCAAUUUUGUGAAAGAUUUUCUGCGAAUAGAUUUUUAGUUUUGCCAUUAUAGGCAUUUUCAUUUUCCACCUAUAUUUCAUUUUUCAGUUUUGAAUCUUACCUCUCCAAGAGGGUGGAUUCAAGUUAACCAGCCAAUAAAUACAAAUUUAGCUGAUAGCACUCUUACAAACUGCCACUUUGGCAGGGUCAUAAUUUGGGUAAUGACUCUCGUGGUUGUGGAAGUGCCACCAUAUUGUACUUCUAAGAGAAUCUAUAUCCUAGUUUCCGUUCCAUUGAACUUGAAUAUCUCAGUUUUUGUUUUUCUUUGGCCAAGACUUGCAAAACUCAAUUGAAAUGCUCUCUUCUUAUUUCGUUAGUUUAAAUUUGGAAUUAAAAUUUUCUUAAUUGUAUUUUGCAAACAUUUAUUCCUUUUCUAAGAAUAUGCCAUUUAAAGGAACCUUUACUUUGAACUUUUAUUAUUGUUAUUAUUGAAGUACAUAUUGGUAUGAUUUUGGUUUGAAAUGUUGACAUUGACAGGUAAAACAGCUCUUGGCUGCUGAUGGAAGCCUUCACCUGGAUUUUCAGAUACCUGCUACUGGCAGCUCGCAAAACUACACUCGUUCCUACUACCUGAAUGGUAAGGACUAUAUUAUAAGUGGGAGCUGUGAUGAGCAUGUUGUCCGUGUUUGCUGUGCUCAAACUGGGAGGCGUCUCAGGGAUAUUUCUCUGGAGGUACACGUGUCUUUAAAUUUGCACAUAUUUUGUGCUCCGUAAUUUAUGAAAUAUAGAUCAGUAUGGAGACACGUGCCCAGCAUGGACCAAAAUUUAAAGACAGGAUAUGCUUUUGGAUAGGUUGCUAAAUUAUAGGAUCGGAUGGAACAUGCUUAACUAUAGUUAUGUGGUUUUUAGGGAUAUCCGCAAGUGAAAUGAUCUAUAAUACGACAGGAAUAAGCCAAAAUAGUUUGUAGGAAUAAAACUUUUAAGAUUUGAACUGGGGCUGAUUUGUUUGGUUUUAAAAUUUUGCUAUACUAGAAAAUCAUUAUAUUAAGGCAAAGAAUCUAAAAGCAGAAUAGGAGAUAGGAACCAAAAAAUGUCAAAAGUCAAAAGACUGCUGAUGAAGAGAAAGCCAGAAACCAAGAAACUAGGCUGCAGUUCGAAAAUUUUAAAGUCAAAAGUAGCAUAGGAUAUUAAUGCAUUCAUCUUGUGCAGGGAAAAGCUUCGGGGAGUUCAAUGUUUGUGCAAUCACUGAGGGGGGAUCCCUUUAGGGUGAGUUAAAUCAUUUUUCUAGUGAUACUUUAUAUAUUGACAUUUAAAUUUUUUUUGUGGAUAUUCUUUCCCACCUUAGUGUACUUUUUUGUUUUAAUCUUUGUUAAAUUGACCAAUCACAAACAUUGCAUGUCGCUGCUAGUGUUCUGGUGACCUUGUUCUCUUGUUUGUUUCUUGUGGAUGUCAACUAUGAAUUACAUGUCUGGAAGCACAAUUCAUAAACCCAUCGUUUCUCAGAUAAUUUAUGAAUCUGGUACACGGAAGAGCAGUCUAUUUUCUAGGGAGUUCCUUAUAUUAAUGAAAAUUCGAAUCAAAUAGCAGAUUGAUCUUGGUCAUUAUAACUAAAUACAUAUAUUUUAGUGGCUAUGAUUAUAUCUUAGGGGUGAAUUAUCACUCUUGGUGCUUCUUCAUAUUUGGCUUUUCCACUUAUUAAUUUUCAAAUAUCCCUGCUUCCAGCCUUUCAACAUGAGCAUAUUAGCUGCCUAUACUCGACCAAGCUCGAAAUCUGAAAUAGUCAAGGUAUAUUAUAUCUCACUGUCUCGUUUUUUUCUUUAUAUGGCCGGGUGUCUCAAUCUUACAUUGAUGCUUGAACCCCAUUUCUUUCAGGUCAAUUUGCUGGCUUCUUCAGAGUGUAACAAGGAAGCUUCAUCUGGUGGGAGCUCUUUCCCAUUCAAUAGCAUGGGAGGUUAAUUUAUGUAUACAUACAAAAGCUACAGUAUCUAUCUUCUGCUACUUUAUGACUCUAUAGGUUGAACAAUCACAGUUUAUACAGGUCAGCAUAUAGUCAAUGCUAACUAUUAAAACAUUGUAAAAUCGAUAAUAUAGAUUAUUAUCGAAUAUACUAGCAAUGAAGUUUUUUAACUCCACAAACCGAAUUAAAAAAUUGUCACAUGUCCUUAGUAUAUAUUUUUAAAAAAAUAAAAAAUUAAAGAUAUGGAGAUGUGGCUGUUUUUUAAUCUAGUUUGUGAAGUUAAACUACUCAGUUGUUAAGUGUAUGGAAUAACAGUCUGAUGUUAUAUCUACAUAAUGUAGGUAACUGAACAAGGGUCUUUCUGUUGCUCUGGAACAUGUUAUUUAAAUGCAACUCUUUCUAAGACUUGAAUGCUUUUUCUCUUUGUUGGGUUAAGCUAAAAUCAUGAAUUCCUACAAAAACUAUAUUGAUUAGGUUAAACUAUGCAUAUGGUCCCUGUACUUUUCAAAAGUUAGGAAUUUAGUCUUACUUUUUAGAUUUCAAAAUUUAGGUUCAAGUUGUUACCACUAUUUUUUUUUGGUUAAAUUCAUUGUUGGGACAUUUAUAAAAAAAAACUAUUCACUCAGUAGCCAUCUAAUUCAAAAAAAAGAUAUUGUAAUUAAAUUGGAUUUAAUAAAUAAUUGAAACUGAAUUUUAAAAUCUGAAUUAAAUUUUUGGAAAUACAAAUACAGUGACUAAAUUUUGAAUUUUUUAAAAGUACAGGGACAAUAGGCAUAUUUUAACCUAUUGUUUAUAGACCUCAUAGUAGCAAUGAUUAUUGAUAAUUUUGAUAUUAAACAUUAGAAAUCAUUGUCCAUAAUCAUGCAGACAUGUUUAGGAUUUGUCAUUUUGCUUCGUACAUAAAAAGUUUAUUUUUGCCAUGCUUAAGUCAAACAUGAAGUUUAAAUUUGUACAUGCCAUUUGCCAACACCAUAUGUGAACCAAUGAUUAAGAAUUUCGCAUCACAUCUGUAGAUUAGAAAGAGAACCAGUCAAGUGUUCUUCAAGGUCGGGAAUUAGAUGGUGGAGGUUUAACUAAAAAUUUAGGGGUUAAUGAGAAUUUUUUUAAAAAGAAAAAGCAGUUUAAUUAAAGUUUUAAAAAAUUUUGAGGGUUUGAUGAGAAUUUUUAAAAAUUUAGAGGGUUUAAUUGAAACUUUUCAAAAAUUUGAAAGGUAUAAUAAUUUUUUAAAAAUAUUUUAGGGGUUUAACUAAAAUUUUUGACAUAUUUUGAAAAUUAAUAAAACUUUUGUGGGGUUAAGCUCCCUAUUAAGGAGUUUAAUUAUCCUCCUUUUAUUUUGUUUUCCUUCAUGUUUAAAUUAAUCAUUACAAAAGAAAAAUUAUUAGAGGGUUUUUUUAAUAAUCUGAUCAUAUCUGUUUUUUUUUUUACACAACUCUUAAAACUUUCUAUUGUCUCUUUCCAACUCAUUAAUAGGAAUCAGCGUAUUUGAACUCAUGUUCUCUUGCAUUGGUAACAAUGCUCAUGCCAAUCGAACUAAAACUCGACCGGCUUCUCAAAUAGAGUUUUAAGUAACUUGCAAUUACGCAUAUCUUUGUUAUAUGUAUUCGAGUUAUAGUUUUCGGUUUGAUUAUUAUUUAAAUGUAUUCAGUUUUGGGUUUUAUAAAAUAAAAAACAAUUAUUUUUUAAUUGAAUUAAUUUCAACAAAAAAUAAAAAUAAUGCUUGAAGAGUAUAAAACACUAUUUUGAGGCUCAAUUUUCAUUUUGUAUUAAUUAUUCUAAGUCUCAUAAUAGCUUAUAAAUAAAAAUCAAUAAACUUAGAAUAAUAAAAUUAUUUAAAUCCCAUGGGAUAAGUUAUUUUGAAAUAACAUUGAUAUUUAGUACAAAUAUGUUUAACAAUUUAACAAUAACAGUCGAUCGAGUCUUAACUUGAUUAGUAUGAGUAUUGUUGUUAAUAUAUGAUGGCAAAGGUUCGAGUGUACUAAGCACAUUAUCUUUCUAUUUAUGGGUUAAGGAGGAAUUAUGGAUAGUUGUAUCAGAAUCUAUAAUAAAAUUGUUAACAGAAAUAAUUUAACACGAAGAAAGUAGGCGCACAAACGGAGAAAAAGUGAAAAAAAAAACCAAAGGAAGAAAGGAAAAGGAAUAUAGCAAUUAACGAAAAGUCUAAAACACACCGUAUGGACAGUGCUUGAAGUUGAAACCCACCGCUCCCUCAUUAUCUGCCAUUAAACCUCCUCCUUACAUCUCAUUCAGUGCACACUCCUUUUUGCCUUUUGCUUUCCUCAUAUCUAUAUAUACACACACACACAGUUCACUAUUACACUCAACAUCUCAAACUACUUAACACCAUUAAAUAAAAAGAAUGAAGGUCUUGUUCGCAACAUUGCUGGUUUGCUCUCUUCUACUAUGUUCCUCAAUUUUGGAACCAGUCAUGGCACAGCCUCGGUCACGUAAUAUUGUUAAUGAUAAUAAAUAAUAUUACCACCUUUUUCUUUUUUGAAUUGCUUCAAGCUUUAAAACCUUGUGUUGUGUUGUUGCAUUGCAGCUUCAUGUGCGGGGAAAUGCAAGGCGAGGUGCAGGAAAGCAGCGGUGUGGGAGCGGUGUUUCAAGUACUGUAGGAUAUGUUGCGAAAAGUGUAAAUGUGUGCCAUCGGGAACUUAUGGGAACAAACACGAGUGCCCUUGCUAUAGAGACAUGGUCACCAACAAGGGCAAACCUAAAUGCCCUUGAACUCACAUUUUCUCUCUUAAUUUCAAAAUAAUAAUGAUGAUGUGUGGAGAUUUCCAUGGCAAGACAUGUCUUUAUAUGUUCAUGAAAAUAAUUGUUCUUGCUAUUUAAUUUAUGUUUAUAGUAGUAUUUAAUCUAUAUAAUCAUUGUCGGGUGGAGUAUCUUAUUUUAUAUUUAUAUUUCAGUAUUUAUGCAAUAUAUUUUAUAUUUAAAAAUUCGAGAAGCAUGAAGCGGCGGAACUUAAAAAAAUAUUUUAGACGAAAUUAAAUUGUAUAUAAUUUUUAAAAGGUUAAAUUAAAUAUUUAUUAUGUUUGGGGAGUCAAAAAGUACAAUUUUAUUAUUACUAAUUUAAAAUUUUAUAAAUUAUAAGGAGCUUAAAUUAAAAUUUUACUAUUUUAGGGGCCUCUACUAAGCUCUGCCACUGUAUAUGUAAUAAAAAGUAUAAAAACUUUUAGGAUAGUUAAAAUUUUGAUGAAGUGAAUUCAAAUAUUUGUGAAUAUUUGAUUUAAUUAAUCACUUGCCCAAAGCUCAAAGGCUUGUCCAAAAAAUUGAAAGGUUUGAACAAAAUACGAGGCCUGAAAAAUAGAUUUGGGUAAAUUUCAAGACUCAUUUUCUAUAUGGAUUGGGCCUUGGACAAAAUUUUUUGGCCUGAACUUGACUCGACCUGGCCUGGAUAUAUUAUAUUAUAAAAAUAUUACAUUAAUUAUAUAUUUAAAUAAUAAUUAUAUAUUUAUAUUUAUAUUAAAUCACUAACUGAAUAACAAUUAAAUUCAUUACCCAAAAUCUAAAAAAAAAAUUAUCCAACUAAAUAACCCAACCCAAAAUAUAAAUUUUAAAAAUUAUAUUUAAUACAAUAAAAUAUUUAUUUAUUUUUUAAUACAAACAUUUGUUAUAUUUAUGGUAGUGUUUUUUAAUAUAAAUACUUUUUAAUGUGUUAAAGAACUCUUAUUUUAACCUUUUUUUAGUACAUUUAGUGUAUCAUAUAUAUUUUAAAUAAAAUUAAUCUAAAAUAUCAAAUAUGGGCAGACCCAGAUUUACCUUUCUUAAAUUGGGUCGGGUUUGAGCAAAAAAAUAAGCCUAUUUUUUGGGUUGAGCUAGACCCAGGCUUGAAACAUUGGUCUAGAUACCUUGUAUGGGUCUAGCCCAAACCCGACUCGACUCAUUAGCUCAUUUUAUAUUUACGAUAUGUUUUAUUUUUACGGAUAAUAAAUAUGGAUAUUCAAAUUCAUUAUGUUUUUUAAUUUUUUAAAAAAUAUAUUUUUAUAAGUAUUAAAAUAAUAUUUAACGUAUCCUAAUAUAUAUGAUGAAUAAUUUUAUUAAUUUGGUUCAUAUAAUAAUAUUUAAAGAAUAAAAAAAUUUUGUAUUUCUCUUGCACGAUAAUUUUUAGAAUUGAUAUGUUAUUUAGCACAUGAGUUUGGUUAAAAUGUUCAAUUUGAUAUACGAGUCUCUUUAACCUAAUUUAGUACUUGAUUUUGGUUUCAAUAUUCACCCUGGUACUUGAGUUUUCUUUUGUCCUAACUAAGUAUUUGAGUUUGGCUUUAAUAUUUAAUUUGAUAUUUAAAUUUUUUUUGUCGUACCUAUGUUUUCCUUACUAGGGUACAUAUGUAAACACAUUAAUUGGGACACAUGAUUUUAUUUAGCCUAUGUACCAAAUUGACCAUUGAAAUCAAACUCAAAUGUCAAAUUGGGAUAAAAAUUUAGUACCAAAUUGAAUAAUGAAACCAAAUUCAGGUACCAAAUAAUAUAUUAACUCUAGUUUUUAUUUGGAUUGCUGUGAUAAGAAACCGGGCCAAAAGCCCAGACAUAAUUUAUCCGGCCCAAACUUUUAAAACAAAAACGACGUCGGCUACUCCACCUACUCCACUGUUUUCAAAAAUCGAAGCCACAAAAAAAUCCACAUCUCUCAGUCUCCGCUUCCCAAAAAUUCAAUUAGAUUUUGAAAUUCCAGCGAAGGGGGAGGAGACACACACACACACACACACACACACACACACAGAUCUUCAAAUUUCAUCAAUGGAUCAUUCAAAGGUUCAAGAGGUAACUUCAAUGAUAAACCCUUAAGCUUUCCAUUUUGGAUCUUUAAUUUGUCUUCUGAAUUUAUUUAUAUAAAUAUUUCGAUUCUUGUCCAGAUCGUGGAGAAGCAGGUAUUGACCGUGGCGAAGGCCUUCGAGGACCAGAUCGACGAAGAGAUUGCGGCUUUAGAUCGACUCGACCAUGACGAUCUGGAAGCUAUUAGAGAGCGGAGGUUGCAGCAGAUGAAGAAGAUGGCAGAGAAGCGAAGUCGUUGGAUCGGUUUAGGCCAUGGUGAAUACUCUGAGAUUCCAGCUGAGAAAGACUUCUUUUCCAUUGUUAAAGCUAGUGAACGAGUCGUUUGUCACUUCUAUCGCGAAAAUUGGCCUUGCAAGGUAUAUACGCCUAAUUUUAUUGAAAUUUCCUUAUUGUGAAUGCUAAUGAGUUAUUGAAUCAAAAGGCAAGUAAUUAUUAUGAAUUUUUUUCUUUAUUUAGAAGUAGAUUUGAAGAUAAAAAGCAAUCUAAAUCCGUCUUUUUUGAGUUGAACCGCAGGUGAUGGACAAGCACUUGAGUGCACUGGCAAAGCAGCAUAUAGAGACACGUUUCGUGAAAAUUCAAGCUGAGAAAAGCCCGUUCUUGGCUGAGAGGCUCAAGAUUGUUGUUCUUCCUACACUUGCCCUUAUCAAAAAUGCCAAAGUCGAUGAUUAUGUGGUAUUGUUAAAUGUUCUUUCCAACAAAAUUUAACAUCUGAAUUUGGUCUUCGAUCUUUUUGUUUUUCACUGUUUGCUAAUAGUUUUUCAUGUCUGUAUUUUGAUGGUGUGAUUCAUUUGCAGGUUGGGUUUGAUGAGCUCGGGGGAACAGACGAGUUUUCCACUGAAGAUUUGGAGGACAGAUUGGCUAAAGUUCAAGUCAUCUUCUCUGAAGGCGAAUCGUCAUCGAAGCCCAGAACACAAACCAAAAGGAGUGUCCGACAGAGCUCGAACCCAGACUCGUCCGAUUCGGAUUAACUGUGGGUUGUCUCGGUUUGUAAGCUUUCUUUACCUGUUUCAGUGGAAAUCAAUAGGAUUUAUCAUCAUUCCAUCUUUAAAUACUGUCAAAGCAAAUGAAGAGAAUAUCAUUUGUUGUAUGAAUGAGAUCAUUUAAUCAUCUAUAUAUAUAUAUAUGCUCAAUCUAAUUUUGCUGUAAUUUUUGUUUCGAUUUAUGCAUUCGGAUUUGGUAAAUUUUUUGUUUCUGCUUAUGCAUUUGGAUUUGGAAACGGGUGAUUGAAAGCCUCAUCUCACAGCAGAGGGAUGUGAGCCAAAAUGAUCAACUGCUUCCAGCUUGUACUAUUUAUCUACUCACUAAGGAUUUUGCAUCGAAUCAUUCUCUAUGAGAGAGUUGGAACUGUCAUUAUUCUAAUAUUACUGUGGAUUUUGUUAAGGAGUAUCUUAAGAAUAGUUUUUCAAGGUUAUUAUAUCUACCAGGCAUAUGCUAUAUGCAAUGGGAGAAUUAAAUUUUGUUCCACCAAUAUUUUUACGGAUUUUGUCUACUCAUUCCUUAGAGUUAGUUGUUAUUGGGUCGGGUCAAAUUCAAGUAGAUUUAUACAUGGUAUCAAUGAUACAUAUAUUAUUAAAAAACCGGCUUGGUCAGAGAAUGUAGGGCACAUCUAAAAAUAAGGAAAAAGUGCCGAGUGAGUCUUCGUUUGAUUGGGGCUAAUGCAAGAGGACAUGGAUUCGAGUGCAUUGAAGUGUAUUAUACUCCUAUUUAUGGGUUGGGAGGGGCGCAUUGUGUAAAAAAAAAAGAACAAAUAUGAUUAGAAUUUAUAACGAGAUUGUUUAAAAAAAUAAGGAAAAUGAAAUAUAAUUUACCUAAAUUUUGUUUAUUUUAUAUUUUUAAUUAAAAAAGUUCAGCUAGCGAGUUUCAAGUAACAAUUUGAUAAUCGGUAUGACGGAUUAGUACUCAUCGGCAGGGAUUUAAAUUGCGGUCGCGGUCGCGUUUUCGGUCGCGUCGCGUUUGUCGCGGUCGCGGACAUAACGGACGCUAUUGCGGUCACUGCGGGUAUCGCGGUCGUGAAUUUUUUUCAAAUUCGCACAACUUACUGUAAAACAUAGUAAUUAUAAUUAUAAUUAUAAAAAGUCACUUUUAAUGAUUUUUAGAGUGUUUUCUAACACUUAUGAACCUUUAUUAAUAUGACAUGAGAACACAACUUUUAUAAUCAUUAAUUAUUCUUAUAUUUAUUUACGAAUUUUCUAAGAAUGUUAUAUUAACUAAUAACAAAGUAAAAAAAAAGAAAUAUUAAACAUUUAUCAUAUUUAAUAAGUUUGAAAGUUUUUAUAAAUAAAAGAAUUGAGAAUUCAUACAUGAGAGAUGUCUUCAAUAUUUCUUGACAGCUUUGAAGAUAGUGAAGAUAUAAAUACGCUGCAAAAGGAAAAAAGGAAUAGAUAAAUUAAUGAAUAGAUUCUCAUUAAUUAUUCCUAUUUCCUACCACUUAUUCUCAUCUCAUUCUACUUUCAUAUAUAAUUUAACAUGCUUCGAUUUUUCAUUAUCUUUUCAUAAAAUAUACUUCAUUCAUUUAUCUAAAGAUAUAUAUUAUUUUAAAUGUUUUAAUAUCAUCAAAAUUAAGAACAAUAACAAAGGAUUUCUUUAAAAAAAACAUACCUUACAAAUAAUGAUAGUGGCACGAUUUAGUUUUCACCAAUUAGUGGAAUGACGAGGAAGAUCAAAUCCUUCACCUUCACUUUGGGAGCGUUCUUGACUUGAUUCUCUUGGCCUUUGUCCAAAAAUAUAUCCAAAAAAAGCAACAUUUUCACCUUGGUUUUCAUUCAAUUGAUAUGGAGGAUAUAUUUGAGGAGGAGGAUACAUGAAAGGUGGAGGUGGGUGAUACAUUGGUGGAGGAGGAUACAUUUGAGGCUGGUAUGGCACACCAUAAUUAGGAAAUGGUGGAUAAUAACCAUAUGGUUGUGGAUAACCAUGUGAAGGUUGUUCUGGUGGAUAAAAACCUUGAGUGCUAGUAGAUGAAUCACUAUACCCAAGGUUACUAGAACUCGAUCUCCUACCACUACCAGAUGAAGAGCCUAUAGAAGUAUGCUUCUUGCCUUUUCCCUUUGAUGGAGCUCUAGGUUCACUUCUAUCUCUCCUAGGUUCAGGAAACAUAUUUCCAUCAAACUCUGAUCUGUCACGAAAAUGUCCACCAGUGGUACCACCCCCAUAUUCUCCUCCAUACUGACUAGAAGACCUAAUUUCACCUCUAUCACCACUAUAUCCGUCAUCCUCAUCAAUUGGACUUAAACCACCACCAUCGGGUCCAUCGCCACUCUGACUUGGAGUUGAACUAGAACUUGAAUGAGACAAAAUUUGUUGUUGCGAUUGAUCAACAUCCAUUUCAUCAUCAGAGGUAUCCACAGGCAACACACCGGCAUUUUCACCAUCUAACAAUGGAUUCUCUUUCUCAUGAAGCCAUUCUGAUAGUGGAUCAACAUCUUCAAAGAUAUAAUCAAGGCUGAUAGGAUUAAAACUAGCAUUUAUAUCAUCAGUGCUCAUUCUUUGUUGAUGCCUCAUCUUAAGCCUCAUAUUAUAAUAGGUAAACACUAGUUUUUCAAGUUUUUUAUACUUUAACCUAUUUCUUGCCUUGGUGUGAAUAUAACUAAAUGUGCUCCAAUUUCGUUCGCAAUUUGAUGCUGAAGUUGUUUGACUAAGCACUUUAAUUGCUAAUUUUUGUAAUUCGGGAACACAUGUGCCAUAUAUCAUCCACCACUCAGCUGCAUAAUAUUAUUUAAAUUUCAAAAUAACUUUAAAAUGUACAAUAUAAUUAAAUAAUAUAAAUUAAAUUAAAUAAUUCAAUUAACUGUUUACCCGGAUUCAUUUGCUUCCAAGCUCUUUGUGCUUGUGGAGUACCGAAUGUCUCAUGUUUAUCUCUAAAUAAUAACAACUGCAUAAAUAAAAGAUAGAGUAAAAAUAAAAAUAAAAAUUCUAUUUCAAAUUAUUUAACUAAGUUACAAAUAAUAGUAGUUGAAUCUAACCUGAUUAACCAUUCUGACUUGAGUAUCCAUAGAAGGUUCUAAUCUUUCAAUUACUGAUCGUGUACCUUCUAAUGUUUCUAUUAAUACAUUCUCAGAAUGCUCCACCCCAAAUUGAAAUUGAGGGUUGAGAAAAUAACCUAAGUAUAAUUUAUAAGAAUAUCAUCAAAUAAUAAUAAUCUAAAGCUUAAAAUAAUAAAAUAUAAAAAUAGUUCUUAAUUAUAUGAAAUAUUUUAUCUUACCAGCUGAAUGCAAGUCGGAAUGCAUAAAAUUCCAUCUAUUGUCAAUAAUCUUUUCAUACUCUGUGAAAUAUCGACAAUUUUGUUGAAUUGCUCGUUUAGCCCUAUCAACAGCCUCAUAAAUAAAGUCCAUCGUUGGUUUUUCAUUGCUAUCCACAAGUCUCAAUACUCUUACUAAGGGCUCAUAAACUUUUAUGAGGUCAUUGGCUUUUUUCCAAAAAUCUUUUCCCAAAACAAUUUUUUUGGCUUCAUAAGCAGGCCCUGACUUUUGCUUUCCCCAUUUUGAUUCUUUAAAUUCCUAUAUAUUCAUAAGAAAAAUUUUAAAAUAAUAUAAUUUAAAUUAUUUGGAACUAAUAAAAUCACUAAAGGUUACUAUAUUUAAGUAAUUAUAUUAACUAAUUAUAAAAUACUGACCUUUGAAUUAAACAUUUCUCUCAAACCUUGCUUUUGUCUUGUUAUCUCUUCAAGUUGAAUGAAAUGAGUUGCAAAUCGAGUAAGAGCGGGUCGAAGUAUUUGUUUCCCUUGUGUAUACUUCUUCAUCAAAUCAACAGUCCAAAUGUGAUUGUAUAUAAAGCAAGUCACUUUCUUUGCCUCAUCUAACACUUUUGCUACACUGGGCUUUUUCCCAAUAUCUUCAAGGCAUAAAUCUAAACAGUGAGCUGCACAUGAGGUCCAAUAUAGAUGUUGUCUUUUCAACAUUAACUUUUUUCCAGCAGCUUUCAUUGCUGCCUCAUUAUCAGUCACUAUUUGGACAAUGUAAUUUUCUCCAAUUUCUUCUACAACUGAAUCUAACAAACGGUAGUAGAAUUCAGCAUCUCUACUACGGACACUUGAGACAUCUACCGAUUUCCAAAAAAUGGUUCCUUUACUGCAAUAAACAAGGAAAUUAAUGAUGUGCAUUUGAUUCAAACUGUUGGUCCAACCAUCACACAUUAGAGUUGCACCCAAUUCUUUCCAAUGAGUCUUUAGUACAUUUACCCAAUCAUGAACUCGUUGAUACUCUGACUCCAAAUACACAUCUGAAACCUCAUAAGGUGUUGGGAGCUUUACACCUUGUCCAACUUCUGUUGCCACUUGAAUUAAGUUAUACAACCAUGGAGAGCUUGCUAAUUGAAAAGGAAGUCUUUCAUAUAUUAUAAAUUUAGAUACCGCUUCACCUAUCUUCCUUCGAAAACUCUUUAAAAAAGAGUCAUUGACCUUUGGUUGCUUUGAACUUUUGCUUCUAACCAAUUCAGGUAUAGCUCCCCUUAAGGUAAACUCAGACUCACCUAGAAUAGAUUUACUUGUUCUUUCUCUAUUAUGUUCUCUAGCUGAUCCAUGAGAAGAUCGCCCUUCUUCAUAAAUGUUAUCCCAACCACCAGUACUUCGUCUGAAUUCUUCCCUUCUAUGCCACUCGUGUUGUGAUUGGAUACUUUCUCGAGUUGCUUGCCUUAUAGCAGAAACCUCAUCAAUGAAUCCCUCAUGCUCAUCCUCCUCUUCUAUUAAUUGAGAUAAGAAUUCAUCUUUUCUCCUCCUUUUGUCUAUUUUCUUUGUGUUGCUUUCUUUUAGUACAUUCAUCAUACUUUCUCUAAUGACACCUGUUAAUAAAAUAAAAAUAAUUCACACUUUAUAUUAUUAUCAAUUAUAUAUAAUCUUUAUUGAUAAAUUUACAAUAACAUUUAAUAAUAAUAAUAAAGUAUCACAUACCAGUAACAUUAGGGCAUGGUGCAACAUUGCCGGUUUUAUGAGCAAUGUGCUCUUUCAGUCGUGUUAUUCCUCCUUUCACAACUUUACCACAAAGUUUACAUACGAUACUUCCUCUCGCAUUUGGCACUAGAGUUCCAAAGUGCCAACCUAUAUCAUUACUUGGUGCACCCUCCAAUCCUUUAGUCGGGAACUCUUCACGUGGUGGCAUGCUUUAUUUUUAUUUAUAUAAGAAACAUAAAAUUAUAUUUAGAAAUAUAAGCAACUCAUUACUUAUAUAGUUAUAUUAUCAACAAUAUAAUACCAAAAAAAGUAAACAAAAUUUAAAGCUAAAGUAAAGACCUAAUAUUAUAGAAAUAAAUAAAUAUUGUGUAAAAAAAUUUAAUAAUAAUAAUACUGGUAAUAAAUAAUAAUAAUAAUAAUAAUAAUAAUAAUAAUAAUAAUCAUGAUGAUGAUGAUGAUGAUGGUAUUAAUAAUAAUAAUAACAAUAAUAAAAAUCUUAAAAUUAAAAAUUAUAUGAAAGGAUAUACUAUAUAGAUAAAUAAAAUGAUAUAAUAAAAUAAAUGUAUUUAAAAUAUUUAGGUAAAUAAAUAUGAAAAGAAAUAUAAUUGAAAUAAUAAUGCAAAACUAAUUAAAUUUUAAUAAUAUGGUAAUAAUAACAAGUAAAUAAAUAAUAAAAUAAAAAAGGAAAAAUAAUAAUAGUAAUAGUAAUAUUAAAUUAAUUAAUUUAAUAAUAAAAUAGCAAAAAUAACAAAAAGGGACUAAAUCGAACUUAAAACAUAAAUUUGCGGCAAAUCCAAAAUAAAUAAAAAGAAAAAGGACCAAAUUGAAUGCACAAAUAACAAAAAUGGAUCAAAUGGGAAAUAAUCCCCAUCCUUCAAAACGCACAGCUUCAAGGUGGACCAAAUUGAAAUACGAAAUAAAUUAUAGGACAAAAUUAAAAAAGAAAUAAGCUUGAUUGUAAAUAAUAAAAAAUAGGAAGGGCUAAAAGCGCAAUUAACCCUUCUGUUAAAAACACGCGGAUCCUAGGAAACGGGUCGGGUAAGUGCGCGGGUUAGGCCGAAACGGCGUCGUUUUGGUGCCAGAGUGGCCUGCCCAAAACGGCGUCGUUUUGAAGGCCUAUUUAAAUGAAAAAAUUUUCAGAAUAUUCAUUUCUGCCAUUCUUCAAAAACUUGCUUUUGCCUUUUUCUCUCAAUUAUUUUCUUCUCUGCCGUUGCCCAGAAUCCGGCCAUCGGCCACCGUGGCAGCCGCCGAUCACCGGCGACGGCGCCGCCGUGCACGGUGGUCGAAAAUCGCCGAAAACAUUUUAACCCCCCUUUUUUUGUGUAGAAUAUAGAUCUAGGGAUAAAAAUAUCAAAAAAUCACUCUAUGUUGCAGAUUCAAGACAUGCAAGUACUUUACUGGUUAGACGGUUAGUUUUCUCUACUUACUUGAUCUAUUGCUUUGCUUGCUGCCUGUGCCCUGUGGCUGUGUUUUUUGCCUUGCCGAAAUAUGGAGAAUGAAGAAAUAUAUUUUGCCUUUUCGUUUGCUUGUGAAUCUGUGAAAUGUGAGUUUGUGAGUGAGUUUUGAUUUUUUUAAUCGACUUUCAGAUUCAGUCUUUUACUUUACUUUGUUUUGAUUGCAGGUUGGGAGGGAAUAUAUUCCCUUGUCUUUUGUUUUAUUAUGAAGUACAAUUAUUCAGUCUUUCUUCUCAACUUGAUUUUUUUUUAAUUUACGGAAACGGAAAAUAACGGGAAUAGCGGCCCGUUAUUGCCGCAAUUGUCCGUUAUCCGUUAAAUUGCGGCCGCUAUCCACCGUUAUCGGUGUGAAUCCGCUUCCCUCCGUUAUUUUCAGCAAUAGCGGUUUCGGUCGGCGGCGCUACCGCUAUAUAACGGCCGUUAUUCUAAAAACGUUCCGUUAUUUGAAUCCCUGCUCAUCGGCAAGUAGAAUAGCAUAUUUUAAAUCUAAAUUGAUCUGAUGGUCAGUAUUAGAUGAUCAAUGAAGAAAAUUGUUUGAAUUUUGAUUUGCAAAUUUGACUAAGUAAAAGAGAAGGGGAAGAAGAGUUUCAUUGUUGCGAGUGAGGUGAACAAAAAUGUUAUACAAUAGUGAUUUUAAUAGUUAAAUGACUUAAAUAAAAUUUUUUGAAUAGUUUAGUUUCUAUUUUCUAAAAUUGAAUAAUCAAAAUAUAAAUUUAUUAAUAAUUUAGUGACAUUAAGUGUAAUUUACCCUAAAUAAUUAACUCAUUCGUAAAUAAAAUUUUAUUUUUAUUUAAUAUUUAUUAAUUUUAUAUACUUUUUAUUUUAUAAAUUUUUAAACAUAAAUAAUUUAAAUGUUUUUUAUAUUUACAAUAUAAUUUAUUUUUAGUUUUCAUGUAAUUUAAAUUUCAUAGUUCAUACGAGUAAAAGAAAACUAAGGUUAGACUUUGACAUUAAAAUGGGCAUACCAAGGCCUCCCUAUAACCUAAAUGGGUUUAAUAUUUUGCUAAACUUAAUAUUUUUGUUUGAAUCUUCAUAAAUGUGAAGCAGGCAUUUGUACAUAAUCAGAUACCUCGAAUUUUGAAUGAAUUUAAUUUGAAUAUUUAAAGCUAUUAUUAAAUUUAACAUUUUUUAUUUUAUAUUUUUAUUAAAUAGUUGGGUAAAUUUACGUUUUGAUAAUUCAACUUCAAAAAGUUACAGAAUAGUUAUUAAAUUAAUCAAAAAAUUUUAUUUAAGUCACCGACUGUUAAGUUUUUUCUUCUUUUCAAAAAGUCCAUUACUAGUCGUCGAUGAGUAGAAAUUUGAAUUAAUCUAAAGAUGUUCCGUAUUAAAAAAAAAACUAAAUUGUAAAAGAGAAAGGGAAGAAGUUUUUCAUUGGUACGAGCAAUACAAACAAAAAAAAAGCCAUACAAUAAAGAUUUUAUUAAUCCAAUGAAUUAAAUGAAAACUUUUUAAAAUUAAAUAAUCAAAACGUAAACUUACUAAUAAUUUAGUGAACUUGAGCUUUUAUAACCUAAAUAGGUUAAAUAUUUUUGUUCGAAUCAUCUCAAAUGUGAAGCAAAGUAUUUGUACAUAAUCAGUAGCUGGACUUUUGAACAAAUUUAUUUUGAAUAUUUAAAGCUAUUAUUAAAUUUAAUACAUAAAAUAUAAAAACUAUAAUUGUAAAAAAUAAUUAAGAUAAUAUUAAUUCAAUUUCAAACUAGAAAAUCAAAUAUUUAAUUAAAUUUCCAAUAAAAAUACACAUAACAAAACAACAAAAAGCAAACCCAUAAACCAUUUUCAGUGCAGAAUUCAAUCUAUCGUCCUUGAAUAUAUGGUAAAACAAAAACUAUAAUAAUAGUUACUUCCUACACCACACAUGGUGUGCUCAAGAUGACAUUCAACAUUUCACUAAAUCCUAUCCCUAAUUGAACAAGGGCUUAGGUUUAUUAAUGGCAAACAAUGACAACAACAUUAUAAAAUAAAAUAAAAACCCAGAACCAUGCAUGAUUUGUGAAGAAGAAAAACACAGGCAAACACAAAGGAUGAUGGUAGGUGGUCAUACACGAUUAGUCUUGCUACAUUUGACACGGUCCAACACCAUUUUCCCAAACAAAUGACUGUGCAGAACUGAAUAAUGUCUUAAUAUGAAUCUCACAAGUUUGUCGUACAGAUCUCCCUGAAUGUAAAAAAAAAAACAACAAAAUAAUUAAAAGUUCAGUAGAUAACUGGAAGACUAUGACUAUGAAUAUAAAAAAGAUGGUCAAUUUCUACAAAAGGUCCUUCUACUAUUAUGUUUUUUUCCGGAAAUUAAAAAAAAAGGACAAAAAAUGAUAUAUAGAGAUUUAUCAAAUUAAUAGAGGGACUAAAUUGGCUAAAAAUGAAUAGUAAAGGUAGAGUUUGACCUAAAAAAGGAGAUGCAAGAAAUGUAAGGUUGAAAAUGAAGUUAUAGUAAUAUGGUACCUUGGAAACACGCAAGGCAGAUUGAAUAACAUAAUUUCCAUAAGCAUCUUGAAGGACCUUCAAGAAAUCAAUGUCGAACAUGAUUUCUUUGAUGAUCAUUGAUGCAUGUUCACUUGAACAUUUCAUGCAUUUCUCCACCACAUUGCUGCCAUAUUUGUUCAUUGAAAGGGAAACGUAAGUCCCUCGAAGCUGCAUGAUUAAGUUUGAGGUAACAUGACGAAGUCUCAUUCCAACUACAAAUUGCACAACAUAGUUCCUGCAAAUUUAAGAUAAUUAUAUCGUAUGCGUAGAGCACUUGCUGAUGCACCACAUUAGUUAUAUAUAUAUAUAUUAUUUUGUACGUGGAGUAUUUUUUAGAUUCUACACGUAGGAUUAAAAGUAUGAUAUGCGACUGUAAUAUAUUGUAAAAAUAAAAAAUAAAUAUAUAAAGAAAUGAGGCAUAUGUCACCCUUUUAAUCUUACUAAGGGAAUUUAAAAACUUGUGCAAAGGUGGUGGGAAGAGGCAGGUAUAAAAUUUAUAAAAUUUUAAAUUAGUAUAUAAUGAAAUUACAAUUUAAACUCUAAAUUAAUACAUUUUUAAUUUAAUUUUUUAAAAAUUAUAAAAAUAUAAAUUAAUAAAAUGAAUAAAUUAUAUUUCACCUUCCAUAAAAUUAUACAAUUUAAAAGCUAAUGAGACAAUGAGUAAAGUUCAACCCACCUAAUUAAAACCAAGAAGGAAAAACACAACUAAAUAAAUUUUCCUUAAACCUAAAAAAAAAAUCCCCUCAAAAUCUUGAAAAUUUAUCAUUAAUCCUUUUAAAAUUUUGAAAAUUUUCCUUAAAACCCCUAAAUUUUUUGAAAUUCUAAUAAAGCAUUAUAAAGAUUUAAAAAAUUAAUUAAACCCUCUAAAAUUUUCCAGAGUUUUAAUUAAUUUUUUUCAAACCUAAAAUUUUUGAAAAUCAUCAAAUUAAACCAUUCAAAAUUUUUGAAAAUUUUAAUGAGGUCCCAAAACUUAGAUGGUAAUUUGAAUAGAAAAAGGAAUUUGAGAAGCAAACCCAUAGCAAUGCUCGGAAAGAAUAAAGGCAUUUGAUAUAAUUUCAGCGAGCAUACGGUCCCUAGCUUCUAUUUGGACAUGGCUCAAGCAUUGAUUCAACACACAACACCCACUUUUAUCAGUCGCAAUGUCCAUACAAUUAUUUGCUAUUUCAUCCGCAAUAUGCUGCAACGAAACAAACAAAAACAAAAACAGAAAAAAAAUUAUUUCGUCGGCUCCUUACUACAAUUGAGAUCGAGUUGUAUGAAACAUGAAUAUAACUGAUAUUGCAUUAAACUAUUAAAAAAAUGAUACAAAUAAUACAGUCACUGUAUUAUACAAUCCUUCCUUUGAUAUCAUUCGUAAUAAGGAUUGUUAUAUAAGGAGAACUUGGAUUUAAACCUUAGAAAUUUCAUGAUACAAACUAUAAUAUAAUCAUGUUAAUACUAAUAAUUAAGUUACAAUCAAUAUCUACAUAUAUAGUAACAUUAAUUUCUAAGUAUAUACAUGCAAAAAUAUACGUGUGUAUAUAUAUAAUCAUUACUGGUACGUAAAGAUAAGCAAAUAUAGGAAACAAUUAUACCUUGGUAUCUUCAUUUGAGAAAGUAAAAAUGCACUGAUCAAUUAUAUGAUGACCAUGGAUGUUGUUCGUCAAUGUAACAGCAAUAGGUUUCAAAACCGACAAAAGUAUCGAUAUUUGUUCUUGAGAUUUCAUCCGCAGCAUAAGCUUUUGAACCGCCCAAGUCCUGAAAAAGAAAAACACAUACAAUAUCCGACCAGAAGAAAAGCUUACAGUUUCAUUGAGAAAGAAACCCUAAUGGCAUGUUCUUGGUUCUUUACCCGAGUGUAUCAGUGCAAACUUCCAUGAAUCUUUGUUUUCUAGUGACGAGUACUAGGAGUAGUUCGGUCGUUUGUUGUUGAUUGAUCACUUCGAAGAGUUUUUGGAUGACAUAAUUAGCGAACUGGUGUACCAUUAACUCGUGAAGUUGAUCUUUAACUUCGGAUAUAACCAUAUCGAUGUCUUCACGUUGGAUGAUUUUGUCGUCGAAUUUCUUUUGCAAUAAACGACAGCCCUUUUGGUCUUUGGCGACGGCGGAGAUCCGACCUUUUAGUUCCUUCAGUGAUGAACACGUGAACCAUUCUUGGCCACGAUUGUUGUACAUUGGAGGGAAUAAAUUAGAUUUAGGGUUUUCGGGUUGCGAGCCAUUAGAACUCCAUAUAGAGUUGUUGGUACCCCAGUGGGUAUUCAUCGGCCAACGCCGGUUAGUGUAAGGCAAUUCAUUGAAAGAUCGGCUCCUCUGUCGAUACACGUCAAAGCCAGGAAAACUCGGUUGCCGCUGCGGCGGUGGUCGAACCAUAGAUGCUCCUAGAAAAUCAUAGCUUCCAAACCCCUCAUUGUGAAACCCUAAUCCUAUUUGCCCUCUCACAGCAGAUUCAACCCUCAUGCUUUGUAAACGAGAGCUAUUGUGAUCAAUAAGAGUCAUUCGUCUAAAAGAAUCUUCAAGGCUUUCAAAGCUUUGUUGGGAAGGUAAUGGAAGGUUUGGAGUUAAGGGAUAUGAUCUUUGGGAAGAAUAAACAGUAGGGUUCUGGAACAGACCAUGAGUAGGGCUUUGACGGAAACUAGGGGUAGAAUAUGGAGGAAGAAACAGACGGUUUUCAUAGGUGGUUUUCUUCAUGAAAGACCAGUACAAGCCUUCAUUAUCUAUUCUCACCAUGGGGUUUUCAGAGGUGGUUUCCUCCAUGUCCAUGAACGGAAAUUGAGAACCUUCCAUAUCAUCUUUUUUCUCCAUUGGGAGUGGGGGUGGGGUUAGGGUUAGUGUAUUGGUUACAACUUGGGAAACAAAAAAGAGGGUUUUAAGGAAAGAAUAUAAUGGCAAAAUAAUAGCUGGAGUGAAAGGAGCAACUAGUGUUUGUAUCAAACAAGGAAACAUACAUACCACGUUAACUACUCUGACUAUAAAUAUAUUAUAUAUUUAUUAUAUCAUUAAAACCAUAUAUAUAUCUUCUUCUUUUUUAAUCCUUUAAUUUUGUUUUUCAUAAUUAAUUAAUCAUUAUUUCACCAAUUACCUAUGGGUUUAAACACAUCAAUUU
rnacentral:lncRNA from 1 species